UGGGGUUUGACCGUGCAACUGUGCUCCAAGUGUUCUUUGCUUGCAACAAGAAUGAGGAACUUGCAGCCAACUACCUUUUAGAUCAUAUGCAUGAUUUUCAGGAUUGAGUUGGUAAAAGAAAUGGCUUGGGGAAGUACAAUAUCAUUUUCUCUUUCGUUCUUUGGGGGUCCAUUGUCAUUCAUGUUCCCCCUCCCCUCCCCCCAAAACUUUACCGACUUUAUUCUUAAUCAAGUGAUGUAAGUGUUUGGUGUAGAGACAAGGGAUGUGAAGAUGUUAACUUCAUUUUUUUUCCUUUUGUCUUUUUAUUUCCGAAGGACCCAUUAUUUAUAACGUUAUAUACAAGUUUCUUUCUAAGCUUGUGUGUUUUGUACUUCACAUUUUAUGCUAUUAGAAGCACUUGCCACAAGGAGCUCCACCCAACUUUCAAGUUUUUCGAUCAACACUCUUCCCUAUACCUUGUGCAUGAAUUUGGUAGCCCGUCAGAAUGGUUAGAGUUGGCAGUGGAAACUCUAGAACCGUGGAAACAGUUUGAAUAAUAUGCAGUGAAAUUUAUGGUCGCAAAACAUGUAAAAUUUUUCUAUUUUCCAAAUAUGUUGGCCAUGUAUAACACCUUUAGUGUAUUCGUAAUAUACAUUAUCGAAUAUCAAAAUUAUCGACGCCUCCUCAAAGUAUUAGCAUCUUGUUUCAUAUUACGUAAAUAAAUCUCAAUCUCAAUAUCUUAAAUAUAGCCAAUGAUAAUUUAUAUUUCAUAUUUGUUUAAUUAUUUUGGCCCCUAUUAAUUGACUCAGACUCAAGGAUGGAUAUACAGAUCAAACCAUCAACACACCAGAAUAUGCAUGUAACACCUCACACUUGACUCAAUAGUCGGAUCCAAAUAUGUGAUGCCACAUUAUGCUGCCGAAGUAACUCAAGUUAUCUCAUUACAUAAUCAUAAAAUUUAAAUCAUAAUUACCAUUCAAACAAAUUUAACCAUAAUCAAUCAUACUAGCAAGUAUUCAUUUGUAAUGUUUAAGUUUCAAAUUCAUCGCUAUACGGAGUUAGGAAAAGUCAAAUUUAGAGUUAGAACUUGAAUCCAAACUCAAUUAUUAAAUUUCAAUGUUGUGUCUCGAGACAAGUCUCAUUUUAAUUUAGGUAUUUUAGCUUCAAAUUUAAUCUGUCUCGAGACAUUAGAAAUUGUGUCUCCAAAUUAUGUCUCAAGAUCAACCUCCUAUGUUUUCCUAUUUUUGCUUCAAUGUUUGAAUGUCUCGAGAUAGGGGGUUCUUGUCCUGAGACCUAGAGUAGGACAAAAUCUAUUUAGUUUUGAUGUUCUCCUGUCUUGAGACAAAGAUCAUUUGUCUUGAGACCUAGGAACAAUUGUCUCGAGCUUAUACAAAUAUGUCUCGAGACCUGAGGCUCUUGAAUGCAAAAUUUAAAUGAAAUUUGAUCUAGCGUCUCAAGAUUCGGUGAACAAAUGGUCAAAAAUCCUAUACUUCUAAGUGUUAAAUACCUUAACCAAAUGAACUUAAACCUACCUAAAACUUACCACUAAACAUAUUCAUCCUAUUAACCUAUCUAAACAUGUUUAAACAUUACCAAAUUAUAACCUUCAAUAGAUCAUUUUCAAACCAGCCAAUUUGCACAUUCAAACUCACAUAAUCAAGCAUUAUUAACUUGUAAUAAAGAGAUGAAAUUCAACCAUAAAGACAUUAUAGGCCAAAUUACCAAAAGUAUCAAAUCAUCGUUAAGAGUAACAACCAAACCAACUUAGGUACAUGCCAGAAGACUCAAAACACAUAUAAAUACAAAAAGUAUUGAGAUGCCUUCUGAGCUAAGUUAGAGAAAUUAGAUUCUUGGGCUUGAGUCUAUUGAAGCUUUUGCUUGUGACCUGCGCACAGAACAAACAAAACUAUACGCUGAGCAAUAAGGUUUAGUAGUUCUAACAUGAUAUAAAACAACAAUCAAUUAUAAGAAAAAUAAACAAAUACAUUUAAAAUGAAAUUCAACCAUAAUCUAAAUCAUUUUUAAAUUCCUUGUCUCAUGCUUUUAUUAUCUUGCUUUAUGCUUAUUAUCAUUUCAUAUAUCAACAUUUAAAUUCAUCUAUCAUUCUAUCUCAAUUACAUGCAAAUUUAGGCAUAACAUAUAAGUCAUUUCACUUUUUCAUUUCUUACCCAAAUCUAUUUAUUCGUAUUAUCACCAUAUCGAUCCUUGAUCACCUCUCGAUGUGCAAACGUCUAGAGUGUAAAAUCGUGCAAAAAUAUAAAGAUAAUAAUUAAGUACAGUUUCUGCAAGCAAACAAGUCAUAUUGUAAUAUAGUUAGUUUACAACGAAACAAUUGGUAAGUAUUCCGAGGAUUGUACCUAAAGGAUGGCAGAUUGGAGAAAUUCACUAUGAAAUCAAUUACAAAAAAUAAUUACUAAUUUAAUCGAGUUACAAAUUAGUAGUGUUAAUUAACUAAUACUAAAGCUAACCCUAGGUUAAGUCAAUAGGUUUUUCCUAUUCCUUAUUUCGAUUACGCGAGCUACUUAGCCUAGGAUCAAUUGUGCUGCCUGAUUAUUAACUAAGUCAAUAAUUACCUUUAAUUAAGUAUUUACCAUUAUUAGCUACGAAUACCCUCUUAGUCCCAUCUUCACUAAGGAUUACCAUCUAAGAUACCCCAUCGGUCUCACUUAGGCAUACGGAUACCCUCUCGGUCUCACCACUUGGCACAAGUUUUACUCAACAAGAUACUCUCUCGGUCUCACUUGUGUAGGUCUUCUACUAGGGGCGUCACUUCCUAGUACACUAAGUACUGUUGAAUAAAUACUCAAGUUCAGGUUAUUAUUUACUUAAUCAAUUAAUUAGGUUAAACAGUUGAAACAUGCAAGAUAUGUAUAAAGCAUAAACUCAUUUUGAUAUUCAUACAAACAUUCAAUAAUCAAAGUUAAAGAAAGAGAUAUAACUAAGAGAAUAAGGGAAGAGAAUGCUCAUGGAUUAAUCGAUGUAAAAGUGCAACUCCAGAACAAUAUCUGUUCACGAUAGUCUCACUUUGAAAUAUGAUCUUCUAAUUAAGCAAACAUAAAAAUAACUAAGUAAAAACUAAGAGAGAAAUAAAAGCUAAAUAAUAAUCUAUGUAUCCCUCAAUUUGUGUUUAAUGUGUUGCUUUGAGAUAUUAUUUAUAGAUUACAUGUAUUAUGACCUAAUUAAGUUAAGUAAAGACGACUAAACAUGUUAAUUUAGGUUCUACAUACAAAAACACCCUCAGUUGAUAUUUGGCCUUGUUGCAGCUGUGUUGCGACACCCUCUAGCUUGUGUCGUGACAUUGAAGGCAGUAUAUUUUUUUUGGCACGUUCAGGGCUACGUCGCGACAUCCCCUGGUGUGUGUCAUGACAUAGAAGGUAGUAUGCUCCAUAGGUAGUUUGGAAGGUGUGUUUGCGACAUCCCAGCCGUGUGUUGUAACAUCAAAGGUAGUCCACUAACUCCUCGGCCUAAAUUAAUGUCAUGCACACUUAAUCAACACAUUAGUCUUCCCUUAGGCCCAGAUUGGCCUAGAAGGUCAUAAAACACAUAAAAAUGCUCAUUUUAUUAACUAAAUACUCUAAAUAGAAACUUAAGAAAAACAUUACUUAUUUGCUAGAAAACAAGCUCCCUUAAGUGUCAAAAAUGACCUAAUUUGCCACAACAAAUUGUGGCAAAUCAACCCUCAAGGCUCAUAAUAAUCGUAUCACAUGGUCUUUCACAUGCUAUCAUUAAUGUUAUAAUGAUCAUAUAUAAAUUUCAAUUCCACAUUCAAUAUCAUUUACCAAUUUUCAUGUUUUAUAAUCCCUAUUAACCGGACAUAUACUCAAGAUGGAUACACGAAUCUUUCAACCAUUACAACAAUAUAACUAGCACUGAGUGCAUCAUUGGUACAUCUGAAGUAUAUUGCGCUCUGUGUCUUACCGGUAUAAACUGAAGUAAAUAUAUAAAUGUGCCUAGCACCUCAUCAGUACAUCCAAAGUGUAAUGUAUGCUCCGUGCCUCAUUGGUAUAAAUCGAAGUAAAAUACCAUACACUAAUCCUAUGGCAUGCCAACUAUACCUGACUAAAUCCGAAACUGUUAAUUGGGUAUUCAAUGUUUCAAAGCACAUAUUUCUCAUGUCACAAGUCAACAUAUUCGAUGGAGAAACUUUUAGAAACACUUUCUCACCUAUGACAUAUUCAAUUUCAACACUGGCCCCUUGUUUGGUAAUUUUAAGUUGGUAAAAUUUUUGGAAACCUUUCAAGAGUGGAGGUUCAUUUCUUUGGCAGAAGUCUAUGAAAUAGGCUAUAAGGAUCCACCAAGACAGGGUCGAUAACUACCCUGGUGCGAUGUUGUACUCUGAAAGCAUUGAAAAAGAACGGAUGUAGGGGCAGAUGGAAGCCAACUUCUAAUAGAAUAAGAGGAAGGAUGAAAUCUUGAGUGUUGUCAUUGAGACAACACCUCGGUGGUAUUUUGAUGUCGUAGGAAAAGUUCAGACAACAAAAGCCUCAGGCUAUUUAGAAUCAAUCCGUUUCUUCUUGGAUUGUAUUACAUUCAUACAUAGGAGUGGAAGCUCGGGGAAGAGUAUUUUCAAGCUAUUGAGGUCCAAAGAUGGUGUAAUUUGUGGGGGAUUAAAGUUUGGCUACUGUAACACCCCUAACCCAUCUCCGUCGUCGAAUUAGGGUUACGAAGUAUUACCGUACAAAGCAGAACGUUUAACUUCAAUAUAGAAUAUUAAUUCAAAUUACAAAGUGAAUAACAAUUACACAAUUGAAUCAUAGCAAUAAUACUAAUUUGGGCCUUAAACCGAGCAUUCGGGGCCCUAAAAAUGAUUUAAAAAUGAUCGGGGAUUGAUUUGAAUAAAUCAUAAAAUUUUGAGAAAAACAUAAAAAUUGUGAAAACAAGGGUCACACGGCCGUGUGACAUAACCUAGACCAUGUGACUCCAAACAUGACCAUGUAGCUAUCCACACGUUUGUGUGACUAUAACACAUGCUCGUGUGUGCAGACCGUGUAACUCACUGACUUGGUAUACACGGUCGUGUGUCGGACCGUGUACCAGAUCGUGUAACUCACUGACUUAGUACAAGGUUGUGUCUUAGAUCGUGUGUAACCUGUACCUAAAAUAAAAAGUGACACACAACUAUAUAGCCAAGCCAUGUGAGUUACACGGCCGUGUGACAGCUCGUGUCCCAGGCCGUGUACUCCAUAAUUAACCCCUAAAAUAAUCCAUUUCAAAACCAAAACUUGUCCAACAAGCUACUCCAUUUGUACAUACAUUCAAUGGACCUAAACACACUUCAAACAUUCAUAAACAUACCAAUUCAAUCAACCUAAAUCCUAUAACCAUAUGCCAAUCAAAGGCACCUCAUUUCAUACCAUAACAAUAUCAAUUAAGAACAAAACUACAAUGCCACAUCUCAAACACAAAACAUAGGUAAAAUAGCUACCUAAUGACAAAAAUUGUCAAUCCGUUCCACCAUUCAAAUUAAGCAUACCAAAAUGACCAUAUUCAUAUAGCUUUUAACAUAUAAACAAACCAACUACACCAUAUAUGUAUACAACCAUUUAUAAAAGUAACCAAAACACCCAAAAGCAUAAAUGACCUUAAACCCGAUACAUGCCAUUUAUAACCAUAGUUCAAAAUAACCAAAAACAACCAAAGUGAUUGUUGGAUAGUGUGAUAAGACUCCAGAAAGGUUCCAACCGAUCGAGCUUCUGAUGAUCUACAAAACAAAGGAAAAACAACCACAUAAGCAUUUAAUGCUUAGUAAGUUCGUAUUAGGUAAACUUCAACUUACCGAACAUCAAUUAACAAUCCAUACAAACAUGCUCAUUUCAUCAAUUAACAUAAAACUUUCCUAUGCACCAUAAUUCACAUGGUUAGUAGAUAUAAUGAAAACAUAACAUCUCAUAUACUAAGAAGUAAAUUCCAUACAUUUCUUUGUCAUCACAUAGCAACAUCUCAUUCAUUACAUUUCAUAAAUUCAUACCAAUUUUACCUUUUCAAAUGAACAUUAGCAAUAAUGGAUUCUUAUACAUGCUUUUCCAUCAUCCUUUUCUUACCCCUCGAACCAUUUAGAAUUUCAUCGGAUACUUGAGAAUGCCCAGACAUAGUGUGCCUUUUCAUGUAAUCGUAACCAUUCCUUUUCAAUAGUGCUCACAUGAGCUGUAAAAUAGGCUUGCUCACACAAGCAAUAAGUCCGAAUGUUAGCUACUCGGUGCUAUUCACACGAGCUGUAGAAAAUUCGUAACAAAUGUAGGACCUCGCCAUCGGUAGAACAUUCAAGACCAACACCCAAAAUCGUAUAACCCUAAUGACAUGUCAUUUGUAUCCUAAUAAUUCUUAAGGUUCAAACAGGAUUACUUAACCAUUAAUUGUUCAAAACAUCGUGAUAUUUUCGAGUCUGAUUUAUAUUCAACAUGUUAUAACAAAUAAUCAAAUCAAACUAUAAUUAAUAAGAUUAUAAUUCAUACGAACUUACCUCGCUAUCACGAUCAUUUAACAGAAUCAAAAAUUAAUCCAACAUCUUAGUUUUGCCUCGAUUUAAAACCAGUUGUUAUGUAUCUUGAUCUAAAUAAUAAUUUCAUUCAAUCAAGUACUUCAAAUAACUUCAAUUAUUCAAUUUAAUAUAUAAUUCAUAUUAUCUUAAAAUUACAAAAUUACUCCACCUAUUUUAACUUUUUCACAACUUAGUCCUUAAGCUAAUAACUUGAAAUUUAACCAUUUUUUAACCUAAUCCAUGAUAAUCGAUUCUUUCCUAAGCUUAAAUAAUCUACAUUUUUUUCAUUAUUUCAUACAAUAUACAUGAAAUUUAUGAAUUAAGCAAUUGAAUCACUAAACUUUACAUUCAAAAAAAUCCACUUAACAAAUCAUGAUCAUUUAACAACCAAAUUUAAUUAUCUUACACUAAAUAGAUUAAGCUAAAAGGAUAACAAAACCAUAAAAAUCAUUAAAAAUGGGACUAAAAAACGUACUAUGCAUGAACAAAACACCAUAGUUGAAAGCUCCCUAUUCUCUACAAUGGUUUUUUGUUUGAGCAAAGCAAAAUUGGAAAAUAUGAUAGCCAUUCAUCUUUUCUUUAAGUCAUUUAUUUAAUUAUUUACUAUUUUGCCCUUAUGUUAUAACUUAAUAAUAAACAUAAACAUGCCCAUAAUUGUCCGCUAUCAACAUGUAUGGUGUAAUUACCAUCUAAGUACAUCAUCUUGAGAUUCCAUAGCCAUUUGAAUCCUUUAACUAAUACAAAUCAACUUUUGUACUUUUUUUAAUUUUGUAACACCCCGACCGGUGUCCGUCGUCGGAUUAGAGUUACGAGGCAUUACCAAUCAAAAUUUGACCCAGAAAUUUUUUUUUCUUUUUUUUAACUCAACCACAAAAUUUCAUUCCAUAUAUAUAUAUUAUCACAUAACCAAUUAAAAUCAAACAUUUAUCCAAGCAUUUAUUUCAUUUCAAUUUACUAACUAUACAACAUAUUACAAACAUAGGUAAUCUACCCUGUUUGGACAGCUCUUAUACACAAAAUUUGAUAGCAUGUAUAUACAAAAUUUGACAGCAUUUAUACACCACAAUGGAGCAGUAUAUACACAAUACAUCAUAUACAUAUAAUACACAUAUUAUUUUCGAAGUACGCUUAAAUAUAACUAAUUUAUACAACUAUUAACAAAUAUGCUAAACAUAUCACACUUCCAUAUAAAUAACCAAAAUUUGCAUAAGCUUAAACAUCGUAUAUAUAUACCAAAUAGAUCAAAAACAUAAAACCAAGCUUAAUCAAAAUGAGUAAGCCAUUUUCGCAUGGCUCAUAUUCACAUAUCUCAAAAUUAAACAUAUUAACUAGACUAUACAUGCCAUAGUUUCGAAUUCAAAAUUUAUAAAAUACCAAAGACGGUCGAUAGUGUGAUAGACUAUGCUGAUGAUCCCCGAGCUCGUAACGCGACUCCAAAAUCUAUAAAACAAAGGUAAACAAAUACAAACACACAUUAAGCUAUUAAAGCUUAGUAAGUCAUAAGAAAAAAUUCAUAUAUAUAUAUACACAAAUACUUAUUCCAUCAUUAAGUUAAAAUAAACCAAAUAUCCUAAUAUUUUGUACUAUAUAACACUUUAACAAAAAAAUCACAUUGUAUUUUCAUAUAAACAAACCAUAUGGCCAAAUACACCUAAAUAUUUAGCAAAGCCAAAUAUUCAAUAAAUCAUUAUGCCAAAACAUACUUAUACUCAAAUGGUUAACUCAUACUCUAUAUUUCAUUUGAAACUGUUAUCAAAUUAAAAUAAUCAACUUCCCUUAACACAAAUUAAGCAAAUAGCUAACACAUACUUGAAUAAUUUAGCUUUCUUAACACAUUUAUUUGCUUUUACUAUUGCUCACAUAAGAUUUAUAUAACAUAGAGCCUUGUAUAAAACACCGGCAUAAAGCCUGCUAGGCACAAAGCCUGAUACAUUUCACCGACACAAAGCCUGCUAGACAUUAAGUCUGAAUAAUUCACCGGCAUUAAGCCUGCUAGGUACAGAACCUGGAUAUCACAAAUACGAGAAUAAUUUCUCAUAUAUAACCCUUACUGGCAUUACACAUGUUUAAAACAUAUAUGUAUAAUUCAUGUAGAUUAACCACACUUUCAAGAAAUUGGCAAACCAUAGCUCAGUUACAUCUGCACUUACAAUCCAUACUUUUAGCUCAAUACAAAUAAUUGUAUAUACGUUUAUACCCAUUCAAACCACACUCAUUCCAUAAUAUAUAGUUCAUACCUUAAAUUCAUUUCAAGAAUUUAUACAUACUCGUACAACUACUUCAACCUCAUACAUUUUUGUGUAUGUAUUUCACAUCUUUAAUUUAACUCGAAAACCUAUACAUAUAUAUAUAACCGAACUCACAUAUGCAAUAUAACAUACAUACCUUAAAUCAAUUCCAAAAAUUUAUACAAUUAUAUACAUAUAGAUAUUGAGACUUCAUAUACAUAUUUUCAUAACUUCCAUACUUCAAUCAAAUUCAAAAACCCUAUAUACUUAUAUACACAUAUAUUCGAACAAUAUAUAAAUAUCUUUAAUUCAUAACAUUAGAUUCAGUUCACAGUAAUUGAAACAUACCUUCGAACCACUUUUAUAUAUAUAUAUAUUAUAAUACUAAUUCAACUUACUGAACUCAAGGUAUACUUUGGUUAACAUACACCUAAUUUAUAAAAUAAAUUCAAUAUACCAAAAUUAAUAAAGUUCAUUACAGAUUAUAUACCAUAAAUUUCAACUUAUUGAAUAUAUAAUAGAUAUAUAAAUAUAUUCUGAUUUAAUAACAUUUAUUCACUAUUAGACUUACCUGGGACAAUGAAAAAUCGAAGUCGGGUGAUUUUUCAGUUACUUUGGCUUUUCCCCGAUCUAACUCUGAUUUCUUUGGUUCUCGAUUUAAAUAUAUUCAAAAUGAGCUAGUUUAAUUAUUAACACAUUCAAUUUAGUCCAAAAAAAUAUAUAAAUGGGAAAAUUACCAUUUUGCCCCUAAUAUUUACACUUUUUACAAUUUAAUCCCUAUUGGAUAAAAUACAAAAUACACAAAAUUUGUUCACAACAUACAAGGGUCGAAUGUUCCUUGUCUUUAUACAAGUCCACACAUUUCAUUUAUUUCAUGUUUUAGUCCCUCAAAAAUUUAUUUUCACAAUUUAACUCUAAUUACUCAAAUUCACUAAAAAUUCAAAGACAAAACAUGUUAAUCUAACACAUAUAUUUCAUAUUUCAUCAACUAACAUCACAAAACUCAAACAUUCAUCAAUGGCACAUUUCAAAAUCAUCAACCAUUCACAAAAUUAAUACAUGGGUUUUGAAGUAUUCGAAGCAACGAUCUCAAAAACGUAAAAAUUAUCAAAAACCGAACAAAGAACUAACCUUAAAUUUAAACACAACAAUGGCCGAACCUAGCUAGCUUUCUUCCUUUUUUUCUUUUGUUCAAAUUCGGCUAGAAAAGAUGAUAAAAUGGCUUCUUCUUCUUCUUUUUUUGUGUUUUAUUUAGCAUAUAUUAUCAUUUAUUUUAGUUACUAAAAUAACCUUUAAUAAUUAAUAAACAAAACAUAUAUAAUAAGGUUAUAUUAGUCUUUUGCCACCCACUAUCUAUGUUUUAGUCUAAUUGCAUCAUAAAUCCCCCAUUUUAAAAUGACAAAAACAAUUAGGUACUUUUAGAUUUAACCCCUAAAUUUUUAUUUUAAGCGAUUUAAUCCUUUUAUUUAACCGGACACUCAAACGACGAAAUUAAAACACGAAAAUUUCACACAAUUAAAUUCACACAUAAUAAACACACAAAAUAAUAUUAAAAUAUUUUUUUGACUCGGACUUAUGGUCCCGAAACCACUAUGUCCUAUUAGAGUCAAAACCGGGUUGUUACAACUCUUCCCCCUUAGGGAUUUUCGUCCCCGAAAAUCUUACCGGUGAAUAGGUUAGGAUAACGCUCUUUUAUUGUAUAUUCUGACUCCCAAGUUGCUUCUUCAACUCCGUGUUUAUGCCACAAUACUUUAACUAACAGAAUUUUCUUAUUUCCGUAAUUUUUUGAUCUCACGAGCCAGAAUGCUAAUCGGUUCUUCUUCAUAUGACAUAUCAGAGUUAAUUUCAAUCUCCGUCGGACUAAUCACAUGUGAAGGAUCAGAUCGGUAUCUACGGGAGCAUCGAAACAUGGAAUACAUUGUGAAUCUUUUCUAACUCCGGUGGCAGCAACAAUCUAUAAGCAACCGGCCCAACACGUUCUAUAAUCUCAUACUCUAUAUUUCAUUUGGUAUCAUGAUCGGCUGAAGCAAUCCAGAUGGUACUUGAUGCUCAGCUUUUACUUGCUGACAUAUUAAACAUUUCGAAACAAAGUCAGAAAUGUCUCGUUUCAUACCAUGCCACCAAUAGUGCUGUUUCAGAUCGUUAUACAUUUUUCUGCUACCCGGAUGAACAGAAAAUCGACUAUUAUGAGCUUCAUUCAAAAUUAUCUGAAUUGACUCUGAAUUUUUUUGGAACACAUAAUCGGUUUCUGAAUCUCAAACAAUCCUCAGCAUCAACUAAAAACUCCAGUCAACAUUUAAGUCACACUGAGCUCGUUUUGCAAUUAAAUCAUCAUUGACUUUCUGAGCUUCACAAAUCUGUUGAACAAAUAACAGUUUUGCUUUCAACUCAGCUACUAUCGCACCAUCAUCAGACAUAGCCAUAUGUGCAUUCAUUGCACGCAAAACAAACAGUGAUUUUCGACUUAAGGCAUCAGCAACAACAUUAGCCUUUCCCGGAUGAUAGUCAAUCACAAGCUCGUAAUCUUUCAAUAAUUCUAACCAUCGGCGUUGUCUCAAAUUCAGAUCUUUUUGAGUCAUCAAAUAUUUCAGACUUUUUUGAUCGGAAUAAACAUGAAAUUUUUCGCCAAACAAAUAGUGACGCCAUAUUUUUAAUGCAAAUACAAUAGCGGCCAAUUCCAGAUCAUGCGUCGAAUGGUUCUUUUCGUGCGGCUUAACUGUCUCGAGGCAUAGGCUACAACUUUGCCUUCCUGCAUCAAAACACAACCCAAACCAUUUAAAGAUGUAUCACUAUAGAUAACAAAUUCUUUACUCGAUUUGGGCUGAACUAAGACUGGAGCUUCGGUCAAAAGAACUUUCAACUGAUUGAAACUUUUCUGGCACUUUUCUGACCACUCAAACUUAACGUCUUUUUGUAGUAGCUUUGUCAUUGGGGUCACAAUCAUAGAGAACCCUUUCACGAACCGUCUAUAGUAACCAGCGAGCCCUAGAAAGCUUCGAACUUCAGAGACAUUUCUCGGAGGUUUCCAAUCAAGUAUAGCUGAAAUUUUACUCGGAUCAACCUGAAUACCCGAUGCUAAUACAACAUGGCCAGAAAACUGACUUCGCGUAACCAAAACUCACAUUUACUAAACUUUGCAUACAACUGUUUAUCUUGCAAAGUUUGUAACACAAGUCUCAGAUGUUCGGCAUGCUCGGUUUCAUCACGAGAGUAGAUCAAAAUGUCAUCUAUAAAUACUACCACAAAUCGAUCAGAUACUGUCUAAAGAUUCGAUUCAUCAAGUCCAUGAAAAUAGUAGGUGCAUUACUAAGUCUGAAAGGCAUAACCAGAAACUCAUAAUGUCCGUACCUCGUUCGGAAAGCAGUCUUUGGCACAUCAGAGUCUUUAACUCGCAACUGAUAGUAGCUUGAUCUCAGAUCUAUUUUCGAAAACAUAGUAGCCCCUUUCAACUGAUCGAACAAAUCAUCAAUCCGUGGUAACGGAUACUUAUUCGUUAUAGUCACCUUAUUGAGCUGUCGGUAAUCAAUGCACAUUCUCAUCGUUCCGUCUUUCUUUCUCACAAAUAGAAUGCACCCCAAGGAGAGAAACUCGGUCGUACGAAACCUUUAUCAGUCAACUCUUGCAACUGUACUUUCAAUUCUUUUAAUUCGGUCGGUGCCAUACGAUAUGGAGCUAUCGAAAUUGGAGUCGUCCCUGGUACUAACUCAAUACCAAACUCUACCUCUCGAAUAGGUGGCAAACCCGACAAUUCUUUGGGAAACACGUCUGAAUACUCACACACAACUGGUACGGAUUCAAUCUUCUUUCCAGUCACUUUACUAUCAAGAACAAAUGCAAGGUAAGCUUCACAACCUUUUCUCACAUACUUCUGAGCCGACAUCGAAGAUAUUAUUGCUGGUAAACCAUUUAGAUCAUUAGAUUCAAUCCGAAUAAUCUCAUCAUUCUGACACCGUAGAUCAAUAGUUUUCCGUUUGCAAUUUACAAUAGCAUCAUGCAGAGUUAACCAAUCCAUACCUAGAAUUAUAUCAAACUCGUCGAAUGGCAACAACAUCAAAUCAGCUCGAAAACAUAAAUCUCGAAUCAUCAACGGACAAUUCUUGCACACUUUAUCAACCAAAACACACCAGCCCAGGGGGUUCGAUACUUUAAUUACAAACUCAGUAGACUCAACAGGUAAAGUCGUACUGAAUACUAAAGUCUCACACACAUAAGAAUGAGUCAAACCAGGAUCAAUCAAUGCAAUAACAUUAGUAUCAUAAAGAGUGAAAAUACCAGUAAUAACAUUUGGAGAAGAAGCCUUCUCUCGAGCACGGAUGGCAUAUGCUCUGGCAGGUGCACGAGCCUCAGAUCGAACUGUCGUGUCCUUUGUCCCUCUCUGACUACCACUUACAUUACCCGUAUGCCUGGGUGGUCUACCUCGUACUAACACGUUACUCGGUCUGGUACUCUGUAUAGUAUUUUGCUCGGCCACCAUCGGACACUCUCGAAUAAAAUGAUCCUUGGAUCCACACUUAAAGCAAGACCGAUCAUGUAAUCUGCAAUCUCCUGGAUGCCAUUUACCACAAUGCUUGCACUCUGAUCUAUUUUGUCGAACAUUACCAACACUAGCAACUGAAGUAGCUCGUGAACUCACAGGGGUUCGAUCUCGAUCAUAUUUAGGAAACUCUGUAGUAGCUUUAGAUCGGCUAUGAUCCUCUCUGAAUUUCUUUGAGGCUGACUGGAACGAUUUACUAAAUGAUCUUUUACGAGAAUCUCGAGCUUCAAAGUCAGCUUUUCUCUUCUCUUUCCUGAGCUCAUCGGCUUUACAAGCUUGUUCAACAAGUACUACGAACUCUUUUAUUUCAAGUAUGCCAACUAACAGUUUAAUAUCUUCAUCCAGCCCAUCUUCAAAUCUUUUACAGAUAAUAGCUUCAGUCGAAACACACUCUCGGGCAUAUCUGCUGAGUCUAACAAAUUUUCGCUCGUAUUCUGUCACUAUCAUCCGACCUUGUUUCAAUUCAAGAAAUUCAUUGCGUUUUUGAUCAACGAAUCUCUGACUGAUGUAUUUUUUACGAAACUCAGUCUGAAAGAAUUCUCAGGUUACUCGCUCUUUAGGAACCACCGAUACUAGUGUAUUCCACCAGUGAUAUGCAGUGUCUCGUAGCAAAGAUAUGACACAUUUCAAGCACUCAUCAGGGGUGCAAGAUAGCUCUUCAAACACUCGAAUAGUAUUAUCAAGCCAGAAUUCAGCUCGCUCAGCAUCAUCAUCAUCAGUGGCUCUGAACUCUUCAGCCCCGUGUUUUCGAAUUUUUUCAACAGGAGGCUUAAGUAAUCUCAUCGGAUCACUCACUUGAGGUAUAACAGGAACCAAACAUGGAUUAGUCAGGGGUAGAGGUUGUUGUGCAACCGGAUUAGUUCGGACAUAUUGAGUAAACCAGUCAUUCAUCAUUUGGUAAAAGGCUUGUUUAGCCUCUCCCUCCUGGUUACUCGAGGUCGGUCGAGAAUCUACCGGCUCUGUCCCUUGCGCAGGAGCAGGCGCUAUACUCUCAACAUCAUCGGCUAUGGCUCGAUCGGGAUCCAUUACUAUACGAAAACACAUUUUUAGACGUCAGAAGUCAUCACACUAUCUCAGUAUAAAAUAUGGCAUGUAUAGCUAGACUCAUACAUGCUACGUUAGUCCUAGAAUCGACUAAACUGUAGCUCUGAUACCAAUCAAAUGUAACACCCCGACCGGUGUCCGUCGUCGGAUUAGAGUUACGAGGCAUUACCAAUCAAAGUUCGACCAAGAAUAUUUUUUUCUUUUUUCUUUUAACUCAACCACAAAAUUUCAUUUCAUAUAUAUAUAUUAUCACAUAACCAAUUAAAAUCAAACAUUUAUCCAAGCAUUUAUUUCAUUUCAAUUUAUUAACUAUACUACAUAUUACAAACAUAGGUAAUCUACCCUGUUUGGACAGCUCUUAUACACAAAAUUUGACAGCAUUUAUACACCACAAUGGAGCAGUAUAUACACAAUACAUCAUAUACAUAUAAUACACAUAUUAUUUUCGAAGUACGCUUAAAUAUAACUAAUUUAUACAACUAUUAACAAAUAUGCUAAACAUAUCACACUUCCAUAUAAAUAACCAAAAUUUGCAUAAGCUUAAACAUCGUAUAUAUAUACCAAAUAGAUCAAAAACAUAAAACCAAGCUUAAUCAAAAUGAGUAAGCCAUUUUCGCAUGGCUCAUAUUCACAUAUCUCAAAAUUAAACAUAUUAACUAGACUAUACAUGCCAUAGUUUCGAAUUCAAAAUUUAUAAAAUACCAAAGACGGUCGAUAGUGUGAUAGACUAUGCUGAUGAUCCCCGAGCUCGUAACGCGACUCCAAAAUCUAUAAAACAAAUGUAAACAAAUACAAACACACAUUAAGCUAUUAAAGCUUAGUAAGUCAUAAGCAAAAAUUCAUAUAUAUAUACAAAUACUUAUUCCAUCAUUAAGUUAAAAUAAACAAAAUAUCCUAAUAUUUUGUACUAUAUAACACUUUAACAAAAAAAUCACAUUGUAUUUUCAUAUAAACAAACCAUAUGGCCAAAUACACAUAAACAUUUAGCAAAACCAAAUAUUCAAUAAAUCAUUAUGCCAAAACAUACUUAUACUCAAAUGGUUAACUCAUACUCUAUAUUUCAUUUGAAAUUGUUAUCAAAUUAAAAUAAUCAACUUACCUUAACACAAAUUAAGCAAAUAGCUAACACAUACUUGAAUAAUUUAACUUUCUUAACACAUUUAUUUGCUUUUACUAUUGCUCACAUCAGAUUUAUAUAACAUAGAGCCUUGUAUAAAACACCGGCAUAAAGCCUGCUAGGCACAAAGCUUGAUACAUUUCACCGACACAAAGCCUGCUAGACAUUAAGUCUGAAUAAUUCACCAGCAUUAAGCCUGCUAGACAUUAAGUCUGAAUAAUUCACCGGCAUUAAGCCUGCUAGGUACAGAACCUGAAUAUCACAAAUACGAGAAUAAUUUCUCAUGUAACCCUUACUGGCAUUACACAUGUUUAAAACAUAUAUGUAUAAUUCAUGUAGAUUAACCACACUUUCAAGAAAUUGGCAAACCAUAGCUCAGUUACAUCUGUACUUACAAUCCAUACUUUUAGCUCAAUACAAAUAAUUGCAUAUAUGUUUAUACCCAUUCAAACCACACUCAUUCUAUAAUAUAUAGUUCAUACCUUAAAUUCAUUUCAAGAAUUUAUACAUACUCAUACAACUACUUCAACCUCAUACAUUUUUGUGUAUGUAUUUCACAUCUUUAAUUUAACUCGAAAACCUAUAUAUAUAUAUAACCGAACUCACAUAUACAAUAUAACAUACAUACCUUAAAUCAAUUCCAAAAAUUUAUACAAUUAUAUACAUAUAUAUAUUGAGACUUCAUAUACAUAUUUUCAUAACUUCCAUACUUCAAUCAAAUUCAAAAACCCUAUAUACUUAUAUACACAUAUAUUCGAACAAUAUAUAAAUAUCUUUAAUUCAUAACAUUAGAUUCAGUUCACAGUAAUUGAAACAUACCUUCGAACCACUUUUAUAUAUAUAUUAUAAUACUAAUUCAACUUACUGAACUCAAGGUAUACUUUGGUUAACAUACACCUAAUUUAUAAAAUAAAUUCAAUAUACCAAAAUUAAUAAAGUUCAUUACAGAUUAUAUACCAUAAAUUUCAACUUAUUGAAUAUAUAACAGAUAUAUAAAUAUAUUCUGAUUUAAUAACAUUUAUUCACUAUUAGACUUACCUGGGACGAUGAAAAAUCGAAGUCGGGUGAUUUUUCAGUUACUUUGGCUUUUCCCCGAUCUAACUCCGAUUUCUUUGGUUCUCGAUUUAAAUAUAUUCAAAAUGAGCUAGUUUAAUUAUUAACACAUUCAAUUUAGUCCAAAAAAAUAUAUAAAUGGGAAAAUUACCAUUUUGCCCCUAAUAUUUACACUUUUUACAAUUUAAUCCCUAUUGGAUAAAAUACAAAAUACACAAAAUUUGUUCACAACAUACAAGGGUCGAAUGUUCCUUGUCUUUAUACAAGUCCACACAUUUCAUUUAUUUCAUAUUUUAGUCCCUCAAAAAUUUAUUUUCACAAUUUAACUCUAAUUACUCAAAUUCACUAAAAAUUCAAAGACAAAACAUGUUAAUCUAACACAUAUAUUUCAUAUUUCAUCAACUAACAUCACAAAACUCAAACAUUCAUCAAUGGCACAUUUCAAAAUCAUCAACAAUUCACAAAAUUAAUACAUGGGUUUUGAAGUAUUCGAAGCAACGAUGUCAAAAAUGUAAAAAUUAUCAAAAACCGAACAAAGAACUAACCUUAAAUUUAAACACAACAAUGGCCGAACCUAGCUAGCUUUCUUCCAUUUUUUCUUUUGUUCAAAUUCGGCUAGAAAAGAUGAUAAAAUGGCUUCUUCUUCUUUUUGUGUUUUAUUUAGCAUAUAUUAUCAUUUAUUUUAGUUACUAAAAUAACCUUUAAUAAUUAAUAAACAAAACAUAUAUAAUAAGGUUAUAUUAGUCCUUUGCCACCCACUAUCUAUGUUUUAGUCUAAUUGCAUCAUAAAUCCCCCAUUUUAAAAAGACAACAACAAUUAGGUACUUUUAGAUUUAACCCCUAAAUUUUUAUUUUAAGUGAUUUAAUCCUUUUAUUUAAUCGGACACUCAAACGACGAAAUUAAAACACGAAAAUUUCACACAAUUAAAUUCACACAUAAUAAACACACAAAAUAAUAUUAAAAUAUUUUUUUUGACUCGGACUUGUGGUCUCGAAACCACUAUGUCCGAUUAGAGUCAAAACCAGGUUGUUACAAAUUUAGUCAUUUUUACCUAAUUAACCUUUUAAACUUCAAAAUUUCUUAACAAAAAUUUAAUAAUACCUUAAAUUAACCCUAUAGACAUUAAAUAAAUAUUAAAAUAAUAACUCAUUUGUCAGAGUCGUGGUCUCAAAACCACUAUUUUUGAUACCACUAAAAAUGGAUUGUUACAGCUACUCUGGUUACGGCCUUUACCAUGAAUACUCAUCCUUAACAUUCUUGUAUGAAAAUAAGAAAAAGGAAUGAUAAAUAAAAUUAAAUAAUAUUACCUUUAAAAAAUCUAGAAAAUCGGAGAAGACGAAGAUAGAAAGAGAAGUCGAGAAAACUGUUAAGAAAAUAUGAAGGUUUGACAAAUGUGUAGAAGAAAGCUUAGAGUUUUUGUUCUAUAGAGAUAAACGUGCUCAAGAAGUUACUUUGUGAAAAUUUUUUACAUUCUCCAAUGCUAGCUUGACAUUGGUCAAAGAGGUAACCAUGCGGUGUCUAUACCAUAGUGUUUAACUGCCAAAAUUUGAUUUCAUUUCGAGAAGCAGUCUGAUGAUAUCUUUUUAAUACUUUUGAAGGGUAUGUCAGUAAGAGGGAAAAAAACUUGAAGUGUGGGUGAGGGAAUCUAUAUCGUCGUUGAUUUAUGCUUGGCGUGAGCAACCAAACAUCAUGGUAAUUAAAAUCCUACAGGGGAUAAAAAUUUCGAGGAUAAAAUUUUAUUAAGGGGGAAAGAGCUAUACCAUCCCAGUUCUAGCGGGCACAAGGUCCGGCGUAGUCAUUUAGAAAUAUGUUGGCGGAGUAGUAUUCGCCAAAGUACCCCUUCUGGCAUAUUGAGUUGGCGGAUACAAGUAUGAGCUUAAGUUAGCGAGUGCUCCGUGCUAGAUUGCUAUGAUUUGUUGAAAAUAGGAUGUAAUCAAGUAAAUCAAUAUUGAGGGUAUGAAUCAACGUCAGAGGUAUAGUGCACCAUUUUCUUUGUUGUAUUGUGCAGGUUAAGUUACAAUGUAAGCUGGUUAAGGUCUAACCGAACGUGAACCAAGAUAGUUAAUUGACGAGGGAAAUACUUAAUUAGGUUUCUCGAAAGUUGUAAACUUUGAUAAGACAAUUCAAUAGUGAUGUGACAUUUGUCAAGUUCCAAUAAAGGCCUAGAUUAUAUUAAUAGGUUUUCUAAUUUGAAUAAAGAAAGUUCUCUUCUUCUUUCUUCAAACAUUGAAAACUAAUGCUGGAUGGAAUGGAAGAAUUCCUUUAAGCUGGAUCUAGAACCCUGUAUUCUAUUAGUGAUUUCUCCAUGUCGAGGUGAGCUUUAUGACUCUAGUAGAUCUACAUGAAUGCCUAAAUAAGUAAGGCCUUGUAUAUGGGUUAUUUGUGUUUCAAAUUAUGGGAAAGGUUAUUUGAAUGAGUUUUGAUGGUGUCCUUUCAUUUUUAAAAGGCAGUGGUUGCAGCAGUUCCUGAGUGGGUCUUGGAUCUAGAACUCAAGUUGCUACAGAUUUUUGUCAGGUGAGUCUUUAAACUGACUCAUGUGUGUAAACUAUUUAUUUUAGAUGAUUCCAUGAAGAAACAUAUAAACUACAAACUGAAACUAAAAAAGAAUGGUAUGAUGAAUAUGUUGAUGUGUGAAUAUUAUUCGAGGGUUGCAUGUAUGACUCGUAUGAAUCUUAUUGGUAUAAAGUAUGUGAUAAAUAAUAUGAAAUUGAAGCUUGAUUGUAUGGCCAUGUUUUGAAUGUAUGAGGUAAAUAGUCUAUUAAGUUUAAUGGUGUUAAUGCAUGAAAGGCCUUUAAGUGUUUGUCUAUUCAUUGCGGUGGAGUCUAAAGAGGUUCGUCGAGACUUUAAACAUGAUCUCUAAAAGGAAAGCCCAUGGCCAUGGCACCAUAUUGUGUAAGACAUAUCUAGUGGUCUAUUACAUCAUAUGGAAAAAACUAAAGAAAAGUUAUUACCUAAUGGGGUUCUCUGCGUGACCUAGGAUGAUGAGGGGCAAACUUCAUGAAAUGUGAGUCUAUACGAAUCCCUGUCAUAAAAACACCAGAAAAAUAGAAUCCUUUGUGGUGAUAUAAAAAAUGGAUGCCUUUGUGGUGAUCUAAGAAAUGGAAGCCUUUGUGGCAAUCUAAGAAAUGAAAGCCUUCAUGGCAAUCCAAGAAAUAGAAGUCGUCGUAGCAAUAUAAGAAAUGGAAGCCUUUGUGGCGAUCUAAAAAAACUGGAAGCCUUUGUAGUGAUAUAAGAAAUGGAAGCUUUAUGGCAAAUCUUGUAAAGGAUUCCUUUAUGGCGCACUCUAAAGAAUGGCCCUUAUGGCAAACUUCUAAAGGAACGCCUUUUUGGUAGACCCUGAAAGAAAGAAAUGAUUACCAUGGCGUAUUAUGAAGGAAUGGAAUUCUUGGCAAAUAAGAAAGGAACAAUAUGAAAGGCAGAUCCUGGACUUAGAGCCUUCGUGGCAAAGAAUCCUGUAGAGAAAGUUUUUACGACACAUAGAAAUUGGGCUACUCCUAUGGCGUGUUCUAGAAAGGCUUUCAAGAAUAAACCAUGAAGGACGCCCUUUGUAGCAGACUCUAUACUAAGUUAUCGACGUAUCUCUUAUUAUUCUUAAUUGCAAAUAGUGGGAUUAGUAAGUACAAAACGUAUAUAUGAGUAUUCCGAUAAGGUACUAGUUACGAUUAAGAUUUGUAUAGAGAUAAAGUUUUUAAGAGACAUAACAAAGUAAUGAGGAUGUAUUCUAAAAAAUAAUGUAAACAAUAUACGCUCGAGAGGAAGUAUCGAUCAUUUUUGUAUGGGUCUCUUCCUAAAGUUGAGGAAGUUAUGGCUUACUGAAUGAAAAAUGCAUGUGAGGUCUCAAAGGCACUGAGGAGAAGGAAAUGGUCUCAGAGUAAGGUAUGGUAACAAAUGUGAAUAAAGAAAUAAAAAUAGAGGCAGCUUUUGUUAGAGAUGUAAUGAAGAAUAAGAGUAACAAAAUGGUUCUGGAAACAUUAGAUGUGGCGUGCAAGUAUGGUUCAUGUAAAUGGUUUCUGCUUCACUAAGUCUCUUCAAACUUAUCUCUAUGUGUUAUGUUUCAGAAGGGUUUUUAAGGGUCUUGCUUAGAAGGACGAAGACUACAUUGAAGGAGUGGCGUAUUGGACUAUUAUGCAUACAGAGCGAGCUUGAUGGCUGGAUCAAGUUUGCGUCAAUAAUUAUAGAUAUUCCUACGGGAGAUAACUAUAUAGACCAGGGCAUCAAUUCAGUCCUAAUUGUAAUUAAAUUCUCUAUGUAUACCAUUUGAAUUUCCUCAUUGUUUACACUUUUGUAUUUUAUUAAAAACUUUGAAAUUUAUUAGUUGUAAUAUUUGAUAAUUUGAAUAAUUAGGCUUAAGUACUUUGUAUUAUAGUGGUAUUACCCAAUAUUCAGGUUUGAUUCACCGGACCAAGUUUGAGGUGUUACAAGUUUGGUAUUAGACUUUGAUUUAGCCAGUUCUCAUAUCGAGAAGACAAAAAAGCCUUGUAUACAUAAUACACCGAACCUAGUAGAGUUCUUCAGGUAUGUUGAGAAUUUUCUCAUUUAUAAGAUUGAUGCGUUAAUAGUGACUUAAUGAAGAGUAAUUAAAAAGAACAAAAAGAUAAUAGAAAGUAAAGUAUCACUUCAUUAAUAAAAAGAGAUGUUAUACAAGGCGGAAGACAAUAAAAGAAAAAGAUGGGAUAAAAAGAAAGAAAUUAGUCCUCUCCUUUUGAGUGAUGUCCAGUUGCCUUGGCGGGGACCUCUUACGUUGGCUCCAUUUCCCCUGGAAUUUGCUCUGAGUCAUUGAGCUCCUCAAGAUUCUUAUCACCCUUUAUUUUGGGCGAGUUAGGAAUAAGGAAACCAAUAAUUUAUUUCCAUUUUGAUUGGAAAUCUUCCCACUCUUUUAUCUUGGGGUUGUAAACAUCGAAGCCUAAUGAAUUUGUAGAAACAUCUCGAAGAAAGUCAAAGUCCACUUGACUCAGGUCCAUGGGACCAACGACCACUUUGGCGUGGAAAAUAGGUUAGCCUUCCAUUCUGGUAGCGCCUCAGUCAAGUUCCUCUUCAUGUCCUAUUGAUAUUUCUUGAAGGUUUCUUCAUUGGAUUGGCAAAGAGUAUCCAACUUAGCCUCAUAGUGCAGCUUUUGGGAUUGGAGUUGUUACCUCAAUGACGAAUCAUUCUUCUCUAGUGACUUGACUCUAUUUUCCAACAGUUUGCACUUAUCCUUUAUUUCCUUGUUUUUAAACUUUCAAGCCAUGACACAAGAGUCAAGGUGCUCAACCUUGCUUUUAAGAGCCUGCUCCCUACUGCAUUGUUCUUUUAUUGUCUUAAAUUUCAACUGAAUCGACUCCUUGAAGUUGGCAACUAUGGCCUUAUAGAAAUCAUGGAACUCUUGAAGAGAUCCACUCAAUAGCCCGUACUUGACAGAUAGAGCUUUUGCAGAUUUGGCCAACUGAAAAAAAUGAGAUGAACCUGACUUGGACACAACGUGAGAACCGAAAGCCUCUUUCCAUUUUUGAGGGAUCAAAUUGUAUUGGCUUUGAAAGAUCAAACUUAAAGAAAAAGGGGAUGACCCUGAAGCAUAAAGGUUGCACUGAGGAAAGAACUCAUCACUUCCACUAGAGGAAGAAUGUGGUGGUUAAGGAAUUGGAAGGAUCAUAGAUCGAUCUAAUAGUAAAGGUUCGACUGGGAUAUCAGCUUAAGAAGGGCACGUAUUUUGGAUAAGGGAACCUACAGUUUGGGCAGACUGGUGCAGCUGGUAAUGAUGGAAUCAACGAAAAAAGAACUUUUGGACUAGGAUUUCCUUUCUUCAGUCUACGCCACUUGGGUUGUGGGGGUUCACUUUCCUUAGUAUUUGGGGCAUCAUCACUUGCCUUAGGCCUCUUCUAAUGCUUCUUAGUCAUAGGUUUCUUGGAAUGAGCAAUUGAAUCACUCUCCUUAGUACGAGAUUGGUCCAUAAUGGCCCUAAUAUCCAUCAUUGGUGUUUGAGUGGGAAAAAGUAUGAGAAUUUGGAAUGGAUCCUGCACCACCAAUGUAAGUGUUAGGUUCACUUGAAGAAGAAGAAGUUAGAGGAUGAAUACUAGGAGUAAUGAACCAAUUCUGGGAACGUGUAACAUCCUAUUUUUCAAUGGUGUCAGAAAUAGUGGUUUUGGGACCACAAAUCUGAAGAGUAAUUUCAUUAUAAUUAUUAUUUAAUUCAUAUAAGUCAACUAUAAUUUUAUAUUGAAUUUUGAUUUGAUAAAUUUUAACUUAUUGAACAAAUAGUAUAUAAGUGGUUUGUUCCGAAAGUUAACUGGUUUUGGAAAAUGAGGUAACGGGACCUCAUUUCUAUAAACCGAACUCAUAAAUAUUUUAUUAUUUGAUAUGUGAAAUUCUGGUUCAAAAAUUUUAUUAUUUGACUAGUUAAUUAAAGAAAAAUGACUAAACCAUAAAAGAUGAAAAACUUAAUCACUAUUGAACUUUAUUGAUUAAAUAGCUUAAUUAGUGUAUGUGUGAGGAUUUAUGAAGUAAAUAUACCAUCUUUUAUUGGUGUGGACGGUUAAUAGGUUUUUUGUUAUAUUUUAUACAUUAAAUUAAAAGUUAAAAUAUUAUAAUAAAGGAAAAACAUAAAAAAUAAUGGGUUAUCAUCUUCCUUAUGGAACUUCCAUCGAAAAACCAAACUAAAACCUCCAUUUCAAGAGCUUGAAGAUUCAGUGGCUUUGGUUGUAUGCAUGUAAGCAAUUUUUUUACCUGUUUUUAAAAAUUUUUAUGUUUUCGAGGUCGUUGUGGCUUAAUCUAGUUAGCCCAAGGACUAUUUCAUGAAAGUGGUAAAAGUUUUGAAACUUACCAUUGAUGAAUUCUAGAUUUUUUUGAGAUUAAAUGAUAAAUUUGUAAUCUUGGUUGUUGAUUAGGACUAUUUUGUAAAGUGAUUUUAGUUAAUUUUUAGUUAAAAGCCUGAAAUGAUAAAAUAUCAAAUUUGACAUGAAAUUCUUGUGAAUUUUGAAUAAUUAUGGGCUGUAAUAGUUUAAAGGAAAAUCCCGCUAUCAUGAAAAUUGGCUAAAUUGUGAUUAUUUGAAAGUUUCAGAUUAAGGGACUAAAUUAAAUAAAAGGUAAAAAUUUAGGGUAAAAGUGUAAAAUGUUGAUUAAAGGUCAAAUAUGUGAAUUUAAGUGUUUAAAGUAUUUGAAUUGGUUAAUUGAAUGAAAUUAUUAUAUUUAGAUUAAGAAACGAAUCAAACGGACUGUAAUCAUGGAAAAAGGAAAGUUGGCGGAAUGAAUAUCGGUGUCACGCUCAUAGCCAUUUUUCAUUAGGUAAGUUCGUAACUUGGUUAAACUAAUUAGUUAUUAUUUUGGUAAAUUAAUAUCUAUUUGUGUAUGUUGGGAUCGAGUUCAUUGACUUGAAAAAUGAAUAAGACCAUAGUUGAAAUACACUAUGACACUACACCGGAAAUGAAUAAGACCAUAGUUGAAAGACACUGUGGCACUAUACCAAAAAAUGAAUAAGAACAUAGUUGAAAGACACUAUGGCCCUAUAUCGAAAAAUGAAUAAGACCAUAGUUGAAAGACACUAUGGCACUAUACCGAAAAUGAAUAAGACCAUAGUUGAAAGACAUUAUGGCCCUAUAUCAGAAAAUGAAUAAGACCAUAGUUGAAAGACACUAUGGCAUCAUGCCGGAAAUAAAUAAGACCAUAGUUGAAAGAAACUAUGGCAUCAUAUCGGAAGUGUGUAAGACCGUGGCAAAAAGACGCUAUGGCAUCCUUUGUAUAGUUGUUUAUCAAGUAAUAUGUAUCGGAUGUUAAAUACAUUAUAUAAUAUGAACAUGAGAUGGUUGUUUUGAAUUUCAUGGGUUAUUGAUGAAUGUUAAAUGUAUAAAAUGAAAUGGGUAUAUAAAACAGUUAUAUGGAAUGAGACAUUGAAUGAAGAAAUUGAUAUGAAUUAUCAAAAUGAAAUAUGAUUUGGAAAAUGAUUAUGUGUUAAAUGUGUAAUAUGAAAUGGUUACAUGAGAUGGCUAUUCGAAAUGGUGAUAUAUAAAAACAAUAUAUGAAAUGAUUAUAUGAAUCGGUUAUAUGGAAAUGUUAUACAAAGUGUUUAUACAAAAUGUUUAUAUGGAUAGAUAUAUUAAAUAGGACAUUUGAAAUGAACACUUGAAAUGAGAAAUGUGAAAUGUUAAAUGAAUAGAUGUUGAAAAAAUGGUAUAUCUAAUGUGUUCACUUGUAUAUGUUUUAUAACAUGAAAAGAUUAUAAGUUUUGUAUAUGUGAACUCACUAACCUUGUGAGACUUGUGAUGUGUAUAGGUAAUGAAUGAACGCAUGACCAUGAUAUUGAAUUAUCUUGUAACUCAUGACCAUGAUAUUGAAUUAUCUUGUAAAAUGUUUAAACUACAUCCUUUUCGGUAAGUUAAAGUUAAAGUUUAUUAAGAACUUACUAAGUUUUACGUAAGCUUACCUCGUGUUGGUUUUUCUUCAUUGUAGAUCAUUGGAUUUGAGCUAUCGAUUGGAUUGCUUUUGGAGAUCACACUAUCUGACAACUUAAUCGGUAACUAAUUCUUCACUUUGGUCUGGUUAUAAAUGGCAUGUAAAUAGGGUUUUGGUAUAUAUAUGUUAUAAGCAUUAUGCAUAUUUUUUGUAUGAAUUGAGGUAUUAGAUGUGUUUAUUGAUGUGAACCUUAAUUAGUAUUUUGGUUGAUUGUGGUGUGUGAUGGCAAUGGUAUGCCUAUAUAGGUGUUUUUGACCAUUUGUUAUAUGCCUUAUGGUAGUAGUUGAUGUUUGGUUCAUUGGAUGUGUAUGAAAUAGAUGUUUAGAUAUGUUUGAUUGGUUUAUAAGGUAGGAACAUGUGUAUAUUGAAAGUGAAUUUGGAUUAGUGUUUGAUUUUUGGUGCCAAUGUGGACAUAUUGGUUAAACACAUAGGUUGUAUGCUUUUGGUAUGUUUUUGGCAUGUUUAGAUGUGUUUUGAAAAGGUCAAAAAGGUUGGAUAUGGUUUGUUUUCGUGCCUAAGAAAUGGUUGAUGAAUUGGCUUAUUUUUUGGGUCAAUUUGGAUGCACACAACCUGGGACACGGGUUUUCACGGCCGUGUGCCACAUGCGGCCACCUCAUACGGUCAUGUGUCAUAUUGAUUUUUAAGUGAAAGAUUUUUCACAUGGGUUCAGUUUGUUAUGCGACCUGGCGACAAAGAUGUGUGGCCCUAUUUUUUAACUGUACACGGUUUGGCCACAUGGCCUAGGUUUUGUCACAUGUCCUGGCCACACGGCCGUGUGACCUCUAUUUUCAGUUAUUUCUACAUUUUUUUGUUUUGUUUCAAAUUGAUCCCUGUGUGUUCCCAAAUUGAUUUUAAGGUUCUGUAGGCUUGAUUUAAGGCCAUUUAGGUAUGAAUGCUAUGAUAAUUGUAUGGACAUCGAUUUAACGGAUGUAGGGGAAGAUGGAAGACGACUUCUAAUAGAAUAAAAGGUAGGAUGAAAUCUUCAGUGUUGUCAUUGAGACAACAUAUCGGUGGUAUGUCGGUGUCAUAGGCAAAGUUGGGACGACGGAAACCUCUAGCUAUUAAGAAUCGGUCCGCUUCUUCCUGGGUUGUUAAAUUCUCUAUGUAUACCAUUUGAAUUUCUUCAUUGUCUACACUUUUGUAUUUUAUUAAAAAGUUUGAAAUUUAUUAGAUUUAAUCGUUGGUAAUUUGAAUAAUUAGGCUUAAGUACUUUGUGUUAUAGUGGUACCACCCAAUAUUCGGGUUUGAUUCAUCGGGAUAGGUUUGGGGUGUUACACAGAUUUUUUUGAAUGAUCAACUAUAACCCAUAUGACAUUUCUAUUAUUCGGUGAAGUUGGUAAACCCACAAUAAAAUCCAUUGUGAUUCAUUCUCAUUUCCACUCAAGAAUUGAAAUAAGUUGAAGUAAACUAGAAAGAACCUGAUGUUCGACUUUAACUCAGUGGUGAGUCAAACACUUUGAUACAUAUUCAACAAUUUAUCUUUUCAUAUCCGGCCACCAAUACAACUCUUGAAGUCACGAUACAUUUUCGCACCACCAGGAUGCAUAACAAGUGAACCAUCAUGAGCUCCAUGAAGAAUAAAUUAUUUUAACUCAACAUUUUUAUGUAUACAAAUUUGAUUAUAGAAUCAUAAGCAAUCAUCGUCAUCAAUUAUGAAAUUCUCAACACUACCCUAUUGAGCAAGUUUUCUUUUCUUAAACAACUCGACAUCCAAAAAUUGUGCUUCCUUGAUUUGGCCGACCAACACUGAUUUCACUUUCAAUUCAACUAACAGGCUACCAUCGUCGUAAAUGCUCAAUCGAGAUAACAUUAAUUAACAACCUAAUUUUUAGUGGUGCUAGAAAAGGUGGUUUUAGAACCUCAUUUUCGUAAACUAAGUCCAUAAAUCUUAAUAUUUAAUAUUUACGAGGUUAGUAUAGAAAUAUACUAAAGUUUGUUUUAGUAAUUUUUUCGAAUUGAUAAUUAAUUUAGGUACAAGGACUAAAUUAUAAAAAUCUUAUCGUUAUAUAUUUUUUUAAAUAACUAAAGGAUUAAAAUGGUAAUUAGACCAUUUUAAAUUGCCAAAUGUUGGUGGAUGAAGUUAAAAUCCACUAACUUUAGUUAAUCAUGCCUAAGGCUUAAUUAAUUAAUGUUUAAUUAAAUUAAUCUUGAUUUAUUAAGUUUAAACAAAGUAAAUAAGUUGAAUAUAAAAGAAAAAUACACAUUAUAGCCAAGAUAUCAUAACAUUAUCACAAUACAAUUUCACUAUCACAAGUAUAUACAUGUUCAACAUAUCUCAACUGAAUUUGAGUAGUCAAGUUUAAACAUACAUCAUAUCAUGAUGGAUACCAUUUUUAUUUGAUUAACUACAUAUUAAAGCAUAAUUGAAAUCAAAUUAUGAGAGCACAAAACUAGAAUAAUUAUUUGUUGAUGGCUAUUGUUUUUUCUUUAUCCUUAAAUGUCUCGACAUCGUUUUUAGCUACAUUCGGUAAAUUCAAAUACGAAAAUUCACUAGUUUCACACAUUACACAUUGUAACAUACAAAUUAAACAUAAAAUGCACUUUUUUCAAUUUAGUCCCUCAAAACUCUAAUAUUUGAAACGCUCGUAUCUCAUUAUCUACUAGAUUAAAUCUAAAUCUAAUUUCGUAAAUAUACUACGGAACCUCAAGCUAUCAAUAAACACAAAAGAUCUUACUCACUAACCUUAAGCAUUCAACCAUCGAACUUCAACCAAAACCUUAUCACUUAAACUAUCUAUACGCAUGGGCUAUGCUUAUCAAGUUUCAUAAAUUAAAAUACAUUCAAAAUUCAAAUGGUAAUUGGAGGAAAGAUAAAAAGAAGGAAAACCAAAGAAAUUUCCUUUCUUUCUUAAGCAAGUUCGAUGGAGAAGAAGGGAUAAAAUGAAGCUUAUUUCUCCUCUCUCCCCCCUUACACAUUCCUAUUAAAUUUACUUUAACUAUCAUAGUUUAAGAUAUAAUCAAUGGCUAGAAUUUUAUGCAUAAAUAUCUAGAUUGUAUUCAACACGUGACUAGUCAAUUCUAAUUUUUAACCAACUCGAUUUAAGAAAUUCGAUCUUAAAAUUGAAUUUUUCAACACUAUUACAAAUUGGAUCAUUACAAGUAAUGUCUUAAGUAACUUAUUACAUGCAACUAUAGCAACUAUCCCGAGUUAUUACAAGCAAUGUAGAUUAUUACUGGCUAUUAUUUUGGAAAGGUUGAAUCGAAUAAAUAGGAACUUUUUUUCUAGGGUGUCUCUGAAGAAUCUAAGAAAAUUCAUCUUUCGAGCUGGGAUAAAUGAACACAAACAAAGGUUAAUGUGGGCUUGAGAUCAAAGUUUCAAAAUUCAGGAACAAAUCUUUUAUGAUGAAACUGGCCUAGAGAAUUCUUCAUGAACAAGAUAAGCUUUGGGUUAGAGUUCUUUAUAUCUCUCUCCUCAGAUCUGUUUCACCUACUUGGGCAGCUCUUAAAAGAGUCUACAUGCUUUUCCAAAGUGGGCUACGGUGGUCCAUUUGUAAUGGGCAUUAUGUGAAUUUUAGGGUGGACAAUUGGUGCAGGCUUGGAUCGCUUAGAUCAUUUGUGAUUGGCCUAUCAAUGAAGAUGAUUUUUCAAUGUCUUUUAAAGCUGCCAAAGACUUGUUGGAGAACAUUGGCCCUAAUGCUUUAUCCGUUCAAAUUCCUAACGAUUUUCUUGUUGUUGCCCUCAACACCCCAAUUUCCUUUGAUCUGAACCAUGGUGAUAUAUUGUGUUGGAAUCCUUCGACAGAUGACACCUUCUCCCUUUCUAGUGCUUAUAUUAAAGACCAUUUGAGAAUGAAGAUAAAUGGAACUGCCUUUGGAAAUCUAGAAUCUCCCCCAAAUUAAAAAUUUUCCUCCGAAAAUGUGUGAAUCAUACUCUACCUACCACAAGCUUUCUGAAUCGUAGAGGAUUGAACUUUAAUGACUUAUGUACUUUUUGUAAAUCGAGCAAUGACAACAUCUCCCAUAUCUUGAGAGAUAGCGACAUGGUGAAUGAAUGGUGGUUUGUCACCAUGUUGCAUAGCCAUCGACUUCCCCCUUUGUCGUGUAACUGGGAGUGUAGGAUUUUUUCCAACCUUAAAUCCUAAAGCUGGACCUCUAAUCCUAAACUUCCUUCGUACCUCAUCUUCUGUUUUGCUCUUAGGGAAUUAUUACUUCUUAGGAAUGUUGUCACUUUUAAUAGUAAUGCUAGGAAAUGUAGUACUAGGGAGCGAGCUUUGGCUGGUGCAUGUGAAUUAUUUGUUGUCUCACUAGCUUUGAAGGUAAAUACCGACCCUCUCAAGGGAUGGUUAAUUGGCAGUCGCCUUGUCAGGGAUAAAAAAGGCUCAAUACUAAUGGAUCAUCACUUGGCAAUCAUGGUAAAGUAGGGGCAGGGGGAUUAUAAAAAUCAUGCUAGUGGUUGAAUUAUAAAAAGUAAUCAACAUAUCCCUGAAGUUUGUAGCAUCGAGUAGAGCUGAUCAUGGGCCGGGAGGCCCGGCCCUGCCCGACGGCCUGCCCAAAAUAUGGGAGGGUUCGGGUAAAAAUAUAGGCCCGAAAUAUGAGCUUGGGCAAAAAACAAAGUCCGUUUAGAAAACGGGCCGGGCCACGGGAAAAAUUCUUGGCCCAGCCCGGCCCGGCCCGAAUAUAAUAUAUAUUUUUUUAUUUUUUGUUUUUUAAAACAUUUCUCAAUUCCCCAUUAACAUUUUUGCUUUAACACCCAUUUCCCCAUUUCCCAUUUCUCCCCUGUUCCACAAAUCCCUAACCCCGUGUCCGACUGCCCUCCUCCCUUUUUUUCUCAACCUUCACCUCCGACACCAAUCCACCUCCACCGAUCCACCUCCGGUCCUCCACGGCUCUACCCAUUUCCAGAAUCAGAGGUUAGAACAAAGCUACAAACGUCUUCUACCUUUGAAUUUCAAAGGUAUAUUAACAAUGUUUUUUUUCCUCUCUUUUAUGGUGCUUAACUGCUUAUGUAAUCUGUAUUUGUAAAAUGUAAAUCUUCAGUUCUCGAAUUAUUUCCCCUUUGAUUUGUAAAUCUUCAGUUCUGCAGUCUACACCUUUUCUGCAUGUUAUUUUGUUAAAUUAUAUUUCAUGUUUUUUGCUUUUUGCUUUUAAGACACUGAAUAUUUGGGGGGGAAUUAAAUCUGGAAUUUUGGAAUAUGUAUUCUGGAUUGUAUGCUCAAUUUGUAUUCUGGAUUGUAUGUUCAAUCUAUAUACUGCUUAGUUUAACAAAAUUAAUAUUUGUUCUUUUUAAAGUUUUCUAGUAACAUUUCCAGCAAUAACCUCAAACAUUUCAAACAAAAUGGAAUUCAUUUUUGUCCAAAUAAAAUUAUAUUAAAUUAAUGAAAAUAUUUGGGAAUUAGUUCCCCUUCCUUAAUCGGUCUCAUAGGUCAUUCAGAGUACCUUGAGCCUUGAAAAAGGAUCUCAAAUAGCCUUUUGUAGUAAACCUAUUGGGAACCAUGCAGGUUAAAGGAGACAAAAUUCUAAUGGGAGAUUUUAAUACAUACAGUGGCUGUUAAUGAUUUCUAGAACUGAACUUGUUGUAGUGUUGUGUGAUUUUUACACUUAAUGUGGAUUUGUUUCGCUCGUGAUUCUCCCCAUAUCAAUUUAAAUAAGGAAACAUACUUUUGUAGAGACCAUGUUGUGUUAAAAACUCAAAUUUCUGAACCUGAUAGUCUUCUCUGCUACCUGAUGUUUUUCAUCUUCGCACUCAAAUUUUGUUUAUUUUGUUAUUUGCUAACCAAAUUUCUUCUGUCUUCAUAUUCAUUCUUUUGUUUUGUAGUGACCAAAUUUAAAUUUAAAAUUUCUUUAAUUUUUAAUAUCAUCCAUUGUGGGCUAUUAGUAGCUCGUACCGCUUCUCUAGUUCAGGUAGUUUAAGAGUUAAGCUAGCUUAGUGAAUCAAUUUCAGUAUGCAACUCUUCCCCUUCAUCCCUUGCUUCUUUGAAAGUGUUAGUGAAGUGUUACUAAUUUUAAAUGAUGUAGUAAAGUGUUAUAUUACUAUAUUAAUCCUUUUCUUAAAAAUAAAAUAAUUUCACAUGAACACAAAUGUCGGUUUAGAUGCUAUAUUUUUCUUCGAAAUUGAGUGAGUGCAAUUAAGAUCUUUAAUUACCUAACACUCAUUUUUUUUAGCAUAUGGUUCCUGAAUCCUGACAACUGGAAACUUGUUUUUUCAUUUUUAGAAAGCAACUUAUAUAUAUAUGUAUGUAUAUAUAUCAUUACAGUAAAAUUGCCUUGAAGUGAGUUUUGUAUUUCAAUACGAGGCUAUAGGAUUAAGAGUAGCUGAGCACAAUUAAGAACAAAAUUGUGUUAUUCAAUUAUUAUUGGAUGAGAAUUGAUUUAUGUUUUAUAGAGCAUGUAAUUUGCAAGGUUGAGAUCACAAGCUUAGUUUCUUCAUUUAAUCUCAUCAUUUUUGUUUUUACUUUGUUUUAUUGCAGAAGCAAGCUAUUUAGUGAGGCAGAAAUACAGCAAGCCCAGGCACGUUGCUAUCACUAUCUCACACCCUUUCCUUUGAAACAAUCAACCUUAGCGACUUUUCCUAAAUGAUGUGUGUUUUUUUAGUAUUACUUAAAGACAUGUGACAAGUUUGAUCUUGUAUCACAAGGCUAGCAUAGUUAAAUAACUAUUUUAUUAUCUCGUGCAAUAUAUGAGUUCGGUAUUAUACUAUUAUGUAAUAUGUAUUAAUUAAAAUAUAUUAUAUUUAUUUUCUCAAAACUGUUAUAAAAUUUGUAACUUUUUGAAAAAGUAAAAUAAUAUAAUUCUUCACUUUUAUAUUUGAAAAGUAAAAAUAAUAUAGAUAUAUCACAUAUAGAACAUUUUCUUUUGGUUUUGGAGGUUGAAAUAAUCUUACAAACUAACACAUGAUUUUUUUUCUUCUAGGUUUGCUAUGUCUUACCCCUUUUUUGUAAUUUUGGAAAAAAUGAAUAAAUUUUAAUUUUGGUCUCUCUAUUAUGCCUAAAUUUGAUAUUUAACUACUACACCUUAAUUUUUAAUGUAAUAUAAUGUUUUAAUAUACUGUUAUAAAAUUUGUAACUUUUUGAAUUGUUCGUUUUAAGUUGUAUUUUUUCUAUCAAAAAGAAAUUCACACAUUAAAUGUUGAUGUCAUAUAAAUAUAGUGUUACUUGUCAAACAUUAAAAAUAUUUAAAUUUAAAAUAAUUACUUACCGUUUUUAAUAAAAUACUAGAAAACUAUUAACUAUGUCAUUAAUUGCCCAAAAUGAAAUUUAAACUCCAAUAAUUUUAUGAUUAGAUGUCGUAAAUUGUAAUUUACCUACAAAUGUAGGGCCAUUUUGAAGGUGCAUGGAAUUGAUGAAUCCUCAAAUAGAGACAAUAUUUAUGUUCAGUUAUUUAAUUUUAAUACAUGUAUAUAAUUUUAAUACAUGAAUAUAUAUAAUAUAUUCAAUAACCGAGUUAUAAAUAAGAUUAUUUUUGAAUUUCAGGACUUGAAUUUUUAUGACUAUGGCUAGUUCGAACACACCUAUACCUAUGGACGAUGGGUUUAAUGAGUAUGAAAGUGCUCUCAAACGUCAAAAGUCUACCACUUCAAAGGUGUGGGAUGAAAUGACAAAGCUUGAAUGCGAGAACAAAAAUGAAUUGAAGGCACAAUGUAAACACUGUAAGACUAUCUUCUCUACUAAGUCUUUUAGUGAAACCUCUAAUUUAAUACGUCACCUAGAUAGCUAUUUGAAAAAAAGUUAAUCAGGACAUCACUCAAUACACCAUAGCCACUCAACCAUCACCAGAAAGUGUUCCAUCUAUAAAAAACUACAAGUUUGAUGUUGAUGAGUGUCGUCAAGCUAUUUCUUCUUUUCUUGUGUGUGGCAAGCAUUCAUUUAGGACAGCCGAAGAACCGGGAUUUAGAUACAUGAUGAUAAUUUUUAGUCCUAAUUUUAAGAAUAUAAGUAGACAUACAGCUGCUAGGGAUGUCCUAAUGUAUUAUGCAAAAGAGAGAGAUCAUGUUAAAGAAGAGUUGGCUAGAGCACCUGGUUUAAUUUGUCUAACUUUCGAUAAUUGGAACUCGGAGCAUACUAAUGAUGAAUAUAUUUGCAUUACUGCUCAUUGGAUUGACAAAUAUUGGAAGCUACAAAAGGGAAUCAUAAGGUUUAGAGCUUUAUUUCCUCCGUAUGAUGGUUUGAACAUAGCGGAUGAACUUGUUUUAUGUUUAUCUCAAUGGGGUAUAGAUAAGAAAAUUUUUAGCAUCACUUUUGAUAAUGCUUCUUAUAAUGAUGUUAUGGUUUUUUGUCCUAAAAAUCGUUUUUAUGCAAACCGAGCUAUUUUGUGUGGUGGUGCUUUUUUUCAAGUUAGAUGUUGUGCACAUAUAUUGUAUUUUAUAGUUAAAGUUGGUUUGGAACUUGUUGAUGAUGUUGUUGGUAAGAUUCGAAAUGGAAUUAGGUACAUAAAAAAGUCGAGAAUUCGUAGGAAAAGAUUUUAUGAUGUGGCCGACAAAAGUUUUCAUUUGAAUGUGACCAAAAAUUUGCGUCAAGAUGUGUGUGUGAUGGAAUUUUACUUAUUUGAUGCUUGAAUAUUCUCUUUACUAUAAAGAUGUGCUAGAUUAUUGGGGCCAACGGGAUAAAGAUUAUCAAAUGUUUGCACUUUCUAACGAGGAGUGGAGAAAUGUUGCUAUUCUUUGCAAAUUUUUGAAAGUCUUUUAUAAUGUGACUUGUGUUUUUUCUGGUUCUAAUUAUCCAACGGCUAAUCUUUAUUUUAGAGGGGUUUGGAAGGUUCACAAGGUCUUGCUUGAUAUAGUUAAAGGUCAUUAUUCAUUUUUAACUCCAAUGGUUAAGCAAAUGCAAGAGAAAUUUAAUAAGUAUUGGGCUGAGUAUUCAUUGAUAUUGUCAUGUGCUGCAAUUUUAGAUCCUCAUUACAAGUUGAAUUAUGUGCAAUAUUGCUUUAAAACAAUCUAUGGUAUUCAUGCUUCAGAUUUUGUUGAGACCAAUCUUAGCAAUCUUAGACUCUUGUUUGAUGAGUAUGUUAAGAAAUUCAAAUCCACAUCUUCCUCUUUGGCUGGGAGUUCUAAUGUUUCGGAUAAAAAUCUUGUUGAUUCUGGUUUGGAUGAACACAAUGUUAAUAGUUCUGAUUUUGGGGGAUAUUUUGAUGAGAGUGAUGAUUAUAAGCGGUAUUUAGAUGAAUCUAGCACUAGGAGUGAAAAGUCACAGUUGGACAUCUAUUUGGAAGAACCGGAGCUUGAGUUGAAUAGUCAAAUAGAUGUUUUAGAUUAUUGGAGCAAAAGUUCAGUUCAACACAAUGAGCUUUCAUUAUUGGCUCGUGAUCUUUUGGCAAUUCCAAUAUCGACUGUAGCUUCCGAAUCGGCUUUUAGCAUGGGUAAGAAAGUUAUCACACCUUUGAGGAGUUCACUUAAGCCAAAAACAAUUCAAGCCGUUGUUUGCUUGGAUGAUUGGAUGCGAGCUAAGGGAUUUUCAACAGGUAAUUAUUAUUCUCGUUUUAUUGUUAUAAUUUUAUAUUAUUUUUUCAUCAAUUUGAUUAUCUAAUUAUUUAUUCUUAUUUCAUGUUAGAAAUUGGUUGCAAAAAAGACGAUGAGGACGAUGAAGACGAUGAGGAUGAUGUUUCUUCGGCUGCUUUUUAGGAUAUUUCCUUUCUAAUUGUUGAAAAUUUAAUUUAGUUUACAAUUUAUAUUUUGUUAUAAAAUUAAAUAUGUAGAUUGGUUAAUGUAUGGAUAUUUUGGUUGUUUGCUUAUAUUUUGCAAGUUUUUUUUAUAAAAUUUUAGUGUUUACCAAAAAAAAACGGGCCGAGCUCGGGCUCAGGAAUUUUUUCUUGAGCUGGGCCUGGACAAAAUUUGAGGCCCGUAUUUCGGGCCGGGUCAGACUCGGGCCUAGGAAGCGGGCUAAAAAUUUUUUAGGCUCGGCCCAAACUCGACUCGGCCCAUGAUCACCUCUAGAAUCGAGGCUGAGUUGUGGCAUUGUACGAUGGCAUCAAACUUGUUGAUUUGAAAAUCUCUCACUUGGAAAUAAAAGUCGACUAUAAUUUCAUUUAUUUCUACGGUGUUUAUUAUUCGUGUCGAAACCAUUUUUAUUUUGAAAAAUGAGGUUGACUUUUAAAACGAAAAUAGAGUUGCCACCAAUCUUUUUUUCGAGGUGUGAUCGAGUCACCUUGAGAUUAAUCAUUUUAAUAAAAUAUUUUGAUUUAUUAAAAUAAUGAUUUUGGUCUACAAAAUUCGAGAAAACGGGCUAGGGAGUCGGUUACGCACGAGGAAAGAUUAGCAUCCUCGUAACGCCCAAAAAUUGGUACCUAAUUAAUUAAUUAAUGUCCUAAUGUCGAAAAUUUGAAAAGAUUUUAAAAUAAGAUCCUCUUUAAAAACCUGAAUAAAUUGAAUUUGAUGUUAAGACCUUUUUGUCCCGAAGUAAUAAGAUGUCACAUCUAGUAAGUUAGGAUACGAUAUUUUAACCCUUGAAACUAAGCUUGUCUCAUGCAUUAAAGUUUAAAAAGGAUAUUUGGUUAUUUGGAUAAAAAAAAUCGAAACCCAGUAAGUUAGAGAUUUUCUCAAAGCUCUAAAGUAUCGAAUAUUGCCUUAUUUUUAAAAGUUUUCUUUUUUAAAAUUGGGGAAAAUUGAUGCAAUAUUAAAACGAUGCGUAAAAACUUUUAUAAAAAAAGGCAAUAUGAAAAUACAAAUAAACAAUUUAUAAAACACGUAAUGACAAUUAUUUAAAUACUAGCAUCAAUAAUCAAAGACCAAUGAAUUUAAAACAAAGAGUAUAAAAAAAUAAGGCAAAAUAAAAUGUAAACAAAUUUGAAAAUGAAUAAUAAGGGAAAAAAAAUUUGAAAUCAACAAUAUACAAAUCAAUAAAUAAAAAAAGGUAGGUAAUAUAUGUAUAAGUUUGGAAUAAAUAAUAUAUAAAAAUGAAAAUAGGUAAUAUAUAAAGUAAUAAUAUAUAAAUGAGUUUAAAAAUAAAUAUUGUGUAAUAAGGAAUUUAGAACAAGUUAUACACAAAACAUCUUAAAAAUAAAUGGUAUAUAAAAUAGAUAGUAUAAAAAAUUGCAAUUGAUAAUAUAUGGAAAGAAAUUUAAAGCAAAUAAUCAAACAAUUUAAAAUGGAUGAUUUAUAACACGAGUUUUUAAAAAAUAAACAACAUUUUUGACAUACUAUUAAAAACAAAUAAAGUAUAUAAUUAAUGGAAGAAAAUAAAAUAAUGAUAAGAAUGGUUAAAUGAAUGAACAUUAUGUAAAUAAGAAAGUUGAUGAAUAAAUAAACGUAUAAAAGUAAAAUAAUAAUUAAUGAUUAAACAAUUAAAUGGAUAGAUAAAAAAAGGUUAAAAAAACACUUAAGUCAGCCUAACUCUCACAAUAUGAAGAUUCAGCGAAAUUCCUCCACCAAAAUCCAACUCAAAUGAAAGCAACUUAAAAAGAAACGAAGAUGAACGAAGAACAAAAUAAGAACAAGCCACAGAAAAUAAGAACGCAAUAGAGGGAAAAUUUUGAGUGAAUGCUUUUAAGAAUUAUUAUCACUCCAAACUCAAGUCUUUUACAAUGAAGGGAGAGGCCUCUAUUUAUAGUUGAGCCUCCCCAAAUCCAACGGUACAGAUCAAUUACAUCAACGGCUAAGAUUAAAGGGUAUCUACAAAUUAAAUCUUUAAGAUUACAAAAUCAUAUCUUCUAAGAUUGCAUAUCAUAUCUAAGAUUGCAUAUCCUUGAAGAUUAUGUUUCCAUAUGCGUCAAGCUUGUAGAUGGACAUUCAACCUUUUCAAGUAAUGGGCCAUUCCAAUCGGGCCAAAUGAUAUAAUUUUGGACUGGACUUGGACUUUGUUUUAUUAUUUUGGGGUUUUUUUUGUGAGCCCGGGCUAAAUUGGCCUAUUACAACUGCCCCUCUUUGCUCAUUUUCAUGUAAUGAGAAUGUAGCAAAGACUAUAAAAGGGUCAAUUUUGCUUGGUCUUGCUGGGUUCUAACUUCUUUGAGUGCUCGUCUUCUUCAAGUAGUCUCAUUCCAUCCCAUUACAUCUUCAGGGGCAUAGGAAUUAGUGCUUUUAUCUGCUCCAAUGUGAUUUCAAGGAGAAGAGAUUUCUAGCUUCGAUCUUCUCCGCUUGAACUUCAAGGAGGUAGGAAUUGGUAAUUUCAACCUGCUCCACUGCAAUUUCAGGUAGAUAAGACUGGUGGCUUAAAUCUGCUUCCCUACUACCUCGGGAAUAUAAGAUUUGCCGUCUUUGAUCUGCUCCACUACUACUUAGGGAGACAUGAUAUACAAUCUUCAACCUACUCCGCUACUGCUCAGGGAGAUAGGACUGGUGGUUUAAAUCUGCUUUCUACUAUCUCGGGAAGAUAAGAUUUGCCGUCUUCGAUUUGCUCCACUACUACUUAGGGAGACAGGAUCUACAAUUUUCAACCUACUCCACUGCUACUCAGAGAGAUAGGACUGGUGGCUUAAAUCUAUUUCCCUACUACCUUGGGAAGAUAAGAUUCGCCGUCUUUGAUCUGCUCCACUACUUCUUAGGGAGACAGGAUCUACAAUCUUCAACCUAUUCCACUGCAAACUCAAAGAGGCAAGGCUGGUGUUUUCGAUCUACUUCAUUGCCAGUACAGGAAGACAAGAUCUACUAUUUUCAGUCUGCUCUGCUGCAAACUCAGGGAGGCAAGGCUGGUGUAUUUGAUCUGCUUUGCUGCCAAUACAGGAAGACAAUGUAACAACCCGAUUUUGGGCCUAGUCGUAAUAGUGGUUUCGGGAUCACAAAUUCGACGAGGAAAAAAAUUAUUUUUAUUAUAUUUUUAUGGUCUACAAUUUCACUAAAUAAUUUUGUGAAAAAUUCGUCCGAAAAUUUUGACGUUUGGGCACUGAAUUUAGUCAAAAGGACUAAAUUGUAAAAAGUGCAAAAGUUGAGUUCUACAUGUUAGAGGUGUCCAAUUGUUAUGAAACUUUAAAUUGGAGGUCUUUAUAUGGUAAUUAGACCAUUGGUUAAGUUAUGGACAAAAAUAUACAUGAGAUUAGUGAAAUAGGAAAUUUUUAAGUUAGGGGCAAUUUGGUAAUUCAGUAAUAAAAGGAAUUAACAAGGGAAAAAGAUGGAAAAAUGUGUUUAUCUUCUCCAUGAUGAAUGAAAAUAACAAGGGGGAAGCCAUAGUUAGGGUUUUCAAGCUUCCAAGCUCCAUAGUAAGUGAUUCUAAUCCCCGUUUUUAAUGUUCUUUACGAUUUUAGAGUCAUAGUAACUUGAUUUAAGCUUAUUCUAGCAAUAAUUUAACCUAGGGUUUAUAUUUGGAAAAAUACCCAUAGGUGAAAUGUGUUUAUUUUGAUGUUUUAUGGUAGAAUGUGAAGCUUGAAAUUAUGUUAAACAACUUUUGCUAAGUGAUUUUAAGUGAAAACGAGUAAAACGACAUAAUCGGUAAAAAUACCUAAUGUUCAUAAGUGUUAGAGUGGGAAUUUGAUGUUGCCAUAGAAGGGAAAAAUGUUCAGCAUGUCAUAAUACAUAAGAAUAAGGGAUGAAGUUUAAUUUACGAGCUUUGGGGAAAAAGUGUAAAUAUGCAAAAAUUUAGGGGCAAAAUUGUAAUUUUGCCAAAGUUUGAGUCAAGAAAUGUUUUGAUAAAUGUGAGUAUUAAAUAAGUCAAAUGUGUUAUUAUUGAUCAAGAAAGAAGUGGAAUCGACCUUGAUCGGAGAAAAGAAAAGAUUAAAAACUAAAUUGUUAAAUUUUUAUAUUGUUGCAUCAAAGUAAGUUAUGUGUAAAUAAUAGCAAUAUAUUUUUAUAAAUUGUGAAUUAUAUUUGAUAUGUGAAUUAUUAUUGAAUGUGGAAGAAAAAUUGUUCAUGAAUUAUUCAAGUGAUAAAGUGUUUAAAAUAAAGUGUUAAGUGUAAAUUCCCGGUUGAACUUAGGAAUAGAAGUGGAUACAAGUGACAUGUCACUAGAGACCAGUGUUACAGUGUUAUAGUGAGUCCCGGGUGCUGGGUGAUCUAGCAUGUGUUGCAGACACCUGACAGCUUGUGUAAGCAGGCCCGUGGACAUUUCCAGUGUUAUUGAUCAGUGGUAGUUACGGCUACAUAUCAGUGGUAGCUUCAGCUACAUUUUAGUGGUAGCUAUGGCUAUGUAUCAAUGGUAGCUUCAGCUACAUAUCAGUGUGGUACUUAUGUGCUAAUUCUCUAUGUAUCCGUGUAUAUUCCAAUUGUUCAACGGGAAAUCGACUAAGUGAAAAUAUAUGAUAUUAUGUAACGACUAAGUGUAAUUGAAUGAUGAAUAUAUCUGUGGAAUUGAAUUGAAUAGUGAUCGAAAGUGAAAAAGUGAAAUUAUGAAAUAGUAGAAUUAGCAGUAAAAUAGUUUUGGACAGAAACAGUUGCAUGACUUUGAAAAAUCACCAAAAAUGGUGGAAAUCGAAUUAGAGAGUGAAUAAGAUAUGAAAUGAAAUUUUAAUGAGCCUAUUUUUACAUAAUAGAAAUAGAGUAAGAAAAAGAGUUAUAUAUUUUGAGAUAUUUUAUAUUUAGUGAGACAGGGUCAGAAUAAAUUUGGAAUCCCCUGUUCUAACUUUGGAAAAUUGUUAAAAAUUGUACAAAAAUAAUUAUGGGCUAAACUUUAUAUGUUUAGAACCCUGAAUGAGUCUAUUUUCAAGUGAAAUAAACACAAGUACCUCCAAAUUCUGUAAAAUGAGAUAAUUAAUUUUUAGUGAAGAGAGGUCAGAACUGUUAAGCAAUGAAAUAGGGGAAAAUUGAAAGAAUAAACUGUACUUAUUGGCUAAGCCAAAAAUUAUGAAAAUUUUAUGGUAAGAAUAUAUGUGAAUCUAGUUUCAGGGAAAAUUAAUGGAUCUUAAUUUGGAGCUCUAUAGCUCCAAAUAAAAAUAAUUUAGUGACUCUGACUCGGAUAGACAACUUUGAAUAUACAUGUGAGUGAAUAGUAAAAUUAUAGAAAAUGUUAUUUAUAAGAGUGUUAUGUACAUUAAGGAUGUGGAAUGGAGAGGAGGAGGAGGAAAUAUAAAAUAUAUGAAUGAUUUGUAUAUAAAUUAGUCAUAUGCCCGAUUAUAUUUGAUAAAAUUUGAAUUUAAAAUGACAUAAUGUUUCAUUUCAAUUAGUUAUUAUAAAUUGAAUUGUAAAUUCAUAUGGCUGAAACCAAACAAUUAUUUGUUAGUAUUAUGCAUGACAUAAUGUAUUAUUCUAUAUACAUAUUCAUGGUUGAAUUAUGAUUGUUGAGAAAGAUAGAUAAAUUGGAAUGAAAGUUCAAAUUGAGUAGAACUCAGGGUUGAGUACUUUCGUUCAGUGAUAAAGAUGAAUUGACGGAAAAUACCAUGGAUGGACCAUGGCAAUAAGUGAUAUGUGAUUCCAUGUAAGACCAUAGCUGGGCUAUGGCAUCGGUAUAUGUUAUGUGAUUACGUGUAAGACCAUAGUUGGACUAUGGCAUCGAGAAAAUAAGUGCUCAAUUCCGUAAGACAUUCACUAAUUUGACAAAGUUGGUAAGUGUUACAUGGACUCAUGUUCAAGUGAUAGAUUUAUUGUGAUUGUUGAAGUUGAAUUCAAUUAAGUGAUUUCACCAAUUGGAUAUUGUAUAUGGCAAGAUGUGUUAGUGAAUUACAUAUUUAUGAAAUGAUAUAUGAAGUUCAGUAAAUGAUACAUGAAAUUAAUAUGAAAAGAUUUAUGAUUGUUAUUGGUAUUGUUUCUGGCAUAAUGUGGAUUCUUCGAUGUUGAAAUGAUUUAAAGGAUUUAUUGAGCAUAUGAACGAGUAUGAGAUUCACACGAGUUAGUAUAGAUAUGUACUUGUGUCUUAUAAGCUUUGAAAUGAUAUGACUUGUGAAUUGUGAAUUAAUCUGUGUGAAAGUAUAUGGGAUAGAUUAGCAAAUCUUUACGAGAUAUUGAAUAUUUAAUAUAUUACAAUGGUGGUAGCUAUAAGGCUUGGAUCGAAUGAGUAUAUAUUGGGCCUCGUAAGCCUUAAUUAGCGAUUAGAAGAUAAUAAUUUGAAAAUUUUAAUUUGUAUGAAAUUUUAUAACUUGGUUUAAUACGUUUAUAAGUGUAUAUGUUCUGGUAAUGCCUCGUACCCUAUUCUGGCGUUGAAUACGGGUAAGGGGUAUUGCAAUGUGACAUUGCCAGAUUCGGCCAUAACGUUUAGGCCGGGUUUGGGGAGUUACAGACAAGAUCUGCUAUCUUCAUUCUACUUCGCUGCAAACUCAGGGAGGCAAGACUGGUGUCUUCGAUCUGUUUCGCUACCAAUACAGGAAGACAAGAUCUGCUAUCUUCAGUCUGCCCGCUUCAAACUCAGGGAGGCAAGGCUGGUGUCUUCGAUCUCCUUUGUUGCCAAUACAGGAAGACAAGAUCUGCUAUCUUCAGUCUACUCCGUUGCAAAAUCAGGGAGGCAAGACUUGUAGCUUCCACUUGUUUCACUAUAAUUUUAAGGAAAUAAGGUCUGAUGCGAUCUGCUCUACUGCAACUUCAAAGAGAUAAGAUCCAUCAUUUUAAUUCGCUCCACUACAAAUUCAGGGAGAUAGGAUUGGUUUCUUCAAUCUGCUCCACUGCAACUUCAAGGAGAUAAGAUUGGUUUAUUCAGUCUGCUCCACUGCAACUUCAAGGAGAUAAGACUUGUAAUUUCAUCCUAUUUCACUGCAACUUCAAGGAGAUAAGGUUUGCUAUGAUCUGCUCUAUUGCAACUUCAGAGAGAUAAAAUCUAUAAUUUAUAGCUUCAAUCUGUUCUACUAUAACUUCAGGGAAAUAAGAUUCGCUAUCUUCAGUCUGCUCUACUGCAACUUCAGGGAGAUAAGACUUUACUUCAAUCCGUUCCACUGUAACUUCAGGGAGAUAGGAUUAUUGGCUUUAAUCUACUCCACUACAACUUCAGGGAGAUAAAAUUUUCCAUCUUCUUCAAUCUAUUCCACUGUAACUUUAGUGGUAUAGGAUUUGUAGUUUCACCGAUCUGUUCUCUGGGGAAUAUGACCUAUAGAAUGGGUUUGUGCUUAUGUCGAAUGACUAGGAUGCCAUGAUCGAAAUGAGUCAAAUGGUCCUAAUUAGAUAUGCUAUGAAUGAUAUAUGAAUGAAAAAUGAGAAUGAUCCCUUUUUUAAUGCUUAGGGUGUCAUCAUUCAUUGUUCAUCAGGAGUCUUAUCACUGAUGUAUUGCACUACUAUCUUAUUCGACUGGUAUUUUCCAACAGAAAACUCGAAGAAACAAUCACAUUCUGCUCAACAAGCUUGCCCCGUUGUAAUUUCAGAGUCCUUUCCACUGUAUUGUCUGGGACAUAAAGUUUGUACCUCCUACUGCAACUUCAAGGAAAUAACAUUUGGUUUCCACCAUUCCCUGGGUGUAAUGACCAAAUGUAUAUGCUUGAAAUUUGCAUGAAUGCAGAGUAUCAUUUUUUUUCCCAAGAAUAAUCCCCAUUUACAUUUGGGUUGACAUUGCUCAUUAUUUGUCGAGAUGGUAUCACCGACAAAAUAUCUUGUCUUUUUGUUCAACCAAAAAAAAAAUCCAAAGAGAUAAUCAUCUUUCAAUAUUUCCAACCCUUAGGCUUGGUGAGUUCUAAAUAAUAGUCUUGUUUCAGAUUCUCGUAUUAUUUAGAAGCUUCUAGAGCAAUAUGCGAAACUCCUUUUAUGAAAGUAUUAUUAUUUCAUUAAUCGUUAUUUCAAUAUAAAAUGCUUGAAAAGAUCAUAACAAUAGACAAGAAGGAAAUUAAUUAGGAGUAUAGCUCGAAACAAUUAAAUUAAUCAAAGAUAACUAAGGCAAUAAAAAGAAAUUGAUUGGGGCGUAUCUUGAAAAGAAUAAGGUAAUCAAAGAUAGCAAAUUCAAAAAUGGGUAAGAUGGAAAACUAGGUGCCCUAGAUAUUGCAGCCUAAGCUUCUCUGUACGAACUUCUUGAGGACCAUUUUGAGCUUAAUAUGUGUUUAAGGGAUCUGGAGUACUUUGUCAAUGCCCUAAGAUGUAGCAUACUUCCUCAUUGUUAAUUCAGGCAUAGCAAGACUACCACAUGCCCCACUUUUGAUCAAAAUUUAAGCUACUUUUUUCGGGUUUUCAACUCAAAACCCCUUUGGUCUCAAAACGUCUUUUACGGGUUUUCGCCUUGGCCUCUCCCCUUUUUCUUUCUUCUCUUUUUUUUGAAUUUUUUUUCUCAAGGCGCCCUUUGCGGGUUUUCACCUUGGCAUCUCCCCUUUUAGGUAAAAUACUUUUUGACUGAAUCUGAAUUCACCGAAUUGGGAAAGUUUUUGGUAUCCAUCUCGGUCAAUAUCAAUGCUCCUCCAGAACAGGUCUUCUUUACAACAUAAGGUCCUUCCCAAUUUGGCAUCCACUUUCUUUUAAAAUCCUUUUGUAUAAGAAGGAUCUUUUUCAACAUCAAGUCCCCCUCGUGGAAUUCUCUAGGAUGAACCUCUUUGUCGUAAGCUUGCAUCAUUUGACCGUGACGGAUAGCUUUUAACCCUUUUUUUUGGGUUCAACAUUCCAUAAACCAAUGGGCCAGGUGUUGCCCCGGUAAAGGUCCUGGCCGACGUUUGAUGAGCAUAGAAGGUAAAUAGUAACUUUUUUAUGCCAAUCUUUACAAGUCACGGUCAUCUUUCCCAUGUUCCUUGUUUUAUUUUUUCUUUUUUGGCUGCCUAUGGUGUCUGAUCUUUGAACAGACUACAAACUUUUGACAUUGUCCUUUUUGGCAUUCUUUAUCGGUGCCUGAUCUCUUUUUUUUUUAAAUUGGAAUUUAAUGACUUCGACCUUUUAACAUUGGCAUAUGAAGCUAUUUCUACCCUCUUAGUGAAGUAAUCGAAGACCACAAAAAUGAAUCGAUAUUGGCUAAAAGCUUUUGAAAAGAUUGGCCCCAUCACAUCCAUGCCCCACAUAUAAAAAAUUUGUGAAGAAAUAGAGGAGACACAUAGGUUUUAUCUUCCUCAAAUUGGUAUUUACGGCAUAACUAAUAUUAUUCACUUUCAUGGUGGACUAGCAAUACUGAAACUUCGUGAUUAACUUGGCUAUCGUAAAACCAUUAGUAUGUGUUCUUCUGACACACUUAUGGACCUUUUAGCCUUAACAGCAUCCACAAGUCUUAGUAAGCCAGGCAUAUCUUGAUAUGAUCGUGCGAAAACAUCUUUGAAUUCUUGGAAUAAUUUAAUGACGUUUCACUUUGUUUCGAUGGUAAGAAAGCUUCAAUCUCUUUCUCUUCUCCUAGGCUCACUGUCCACUGACUUUUGUAAGGUAGGAUCUAUUUUUCAUCUUGUUCUACCAUCCUUAACAAAUCAAGAGAUAGGCUACAAUCUCAGUCAUAUUCAAAGUCUUAAGAUCCCCUUAGACACAUAUCUUACUCAAAAGGAGAUUCUGAGUUAGUAGCAACAUCGCUCAUGUCGUUGAUAUUUGAAGACCUAUUGUAGGUACAAAGGCAUAUUCCAAAGGAUAAAUAAAUCUAAGGACAAUUAUUUGUAUGAAUAAAGAAUAAAAUAAUAUUUAAAAGAGAGUCCAAAGAACAAAAAGAAUCUAUAAAUGAAAAGAAUGAAAGAAUGUUUACUAAAAAAGAUACAUUUUAUUGAAAUAAAGAUUUUGGACAUAAGCCUAUUUCAAAAAAGGAUUCUUAUUGCCUCUAGGCUUUAAAGUAACAAGUGUGUUUUGAAUAUUACUCUAGAUUAUCUCUGAAAAUACAGUGAUCUCUUCCACAGUCUCGUUGUUCAAAACACUCCCAAGUAUGCAAGGGCUUGGAAACUUUAUUCCUCAGUUCCCUCUUCGGAAACAUCAUUAAUGUUCAGAUUCUCUGAUAUUCCCUCUGGGCUUUUGACUUCUUCAAGGAGUCGCAACUUUCUUGCCUCCUCCUUCAAUUAUCGCAUUUACUGCCUCGUCAAAGUGAUUAGGUUCUGAUGAAACGUCAAACUUCGCAAUUCCCAUUUUAAUGAACCUUUCGACCAACUUUUUAAACGUAGUGCAUUUUUCAAUUGAGUGACCCGUUAUCCCACGUGGUACUCGCAUUGGGCAUUCUCAGUGUGUAUCAAAUAAACUUUGGUACAGCUCCCUAUACGACAUUGGAAUUGGCUUGAACUAGAGCUUCUCAGUGUCUUGUGUCGGACUCUUGUCUUGAUGAACCUUGUUGGUUAGCAGCCACCUUUCUUGGUUGAUUCACCGUAAUCGAUUUUGAGUAACCCUUUCUAUAUGUACUCGUGUUGUUCACCUCAUUUUCCUUUUUCUUCGAGGCUGACCUUUUGUUACUUUCUCCAGCAUUAAUCUUCCUACUCCUUAUGGCAUUUUCAAUCAUUUCACCAUUCAUGAUUAUGUUAGAAAAGCUUUUUGUGGCACCUCCUAACAUAUGUGUGAUAAAUGGGGCUUUCAGUGUGUUAAUAAAUAACAUUGUCAUUUCUCUUUCCAGGAGCAAUAGCUAAACUUAGACGGCAACCUCCCUCCACCUUUGUGCGUAUUGCCUAAAACUUUCAUUUGACUUCUUUUCCAUGUUUUGUAGGGUGAUUCUAUCAGGAACCAUAUCUGUUACGUGACUGUACUGCUUCAUGAAUGCUUGUGCUAAAUCCCUCCAUGAACUAAUCCUGGUACGGCUCAAUUGAUUGUACUAUUUAGAUGUUGCUAUCUUAAAAGCAAUGUAUUUGCAGUUGGUUAUUGUUAACAUAUCUAGUCAUCCGCCUACAAAACAUGGUGAUAUGAGCUUCAGGGCAACUGGUCCCCUUGUACUUCUCAAAUUCUGACAUUUUGAACUUGUGAGGGAAUACCAAAUCCGGGACCAAGCUCAGAUCUUUAUCAUCAAUCCCAUGGUAGUUCUUAGUGCUUUCCAUUGCCCUGAAUUUUUCUUCGAGCCUUUUACACCUUUCCUCUAGUUAUUUUGGCAAUUCCUCCUUUGUCUUUUCUUUUUCAGCCAUUUUAUCGAAAUUAGGGAUAGCAGGAUUAAUAGGGUUAUCUCCGGGGUUAGAGCCUGAUCCGGCUUAGAAGUUCAUUGGUAUUAAGGCACCGGCCUGAAACUGCUGAGGCCUGAUUGUGACAGAGGAUUUGCGCGGAUAUACCUCAGCUUGGGUCUACACAUGUGGAGGAGUAAAGCCUGGAGGAUAGAAAGGUCUCUCAUUGUCUCAUUCUUCAGCAUUAGCCAUAUGGCCCUUUCCUUUAUCGUUUCCCCCAGCCAACAGUUGAGUCAACUGAGUCAUCAUGUUUCUUUGAAACUCCAGCAUUUUUUUCAUCAUAUCUUGCUGAAUCUUAGUUAGCUGCUCUUGCAGUUGCAGCUGAAGUUGGUCUUGCAUAUCCUUUUAGAACUGUCCAAGUCUUUUCAAUCUUUGGUCCAUGUCAUUGGUUUUUGCUCGAGUACCGUAAUGAUGCUUAGUCGAUAGACUCUUUUUCGGUUCCCAGGUUAACUAGAAUAAUUUUACCUAAUUAGGGUCAUUUUGUGAAAAUCUAAUACAUAUGAUGCAAUGUAAUGCAAAUGCAUGGAAUGAAUGCAAAAAGAAAGAGAUGCAUUGAUUCUGAAUUCAAUUAUAUUAGAACAACUUUUCUAGAAAACAAAUUUCUUUACAUAAAACGAAUUACAUAUGUAGCUUUGCCCUUAUAUUCCAGGCAAAGACAUCGAUCUUUUUCUUCAUAUCUGGAUGCUAGGAUCAAAUCUUGCAAAUUUUCCAAAAUCUAUCUUUACUAUCUCCUUUUUGUUUGAUCCGAGCCAUGACCUAUUACUCACCCCGCGAUGCUCUUUAGUUUCUUUGAGAUGUGACAACUCUCGAAUAAUCUUUGUCGGUUUGAAUCCUCAGGCAACGAAUCAUAGUCGUAUAUUCCUCCACGAACUUCUAGCCUUCUCUCGUUGUGUUUAAUCAGACCAUAUUUGGGUAGUCGCAUUAUAUUCCACUUUCAAGAAAUUCGUUUUCCAUGACAAGAUUUUCUAUUUAGCAAUUAAAUUUGAAUCAACACCUCUUUCUAUGAUGAAAAUGCAAAGCAAUCAUAAACAAAAUAAAACAAAAUACAUCAGUAGAGAAGAAAUAAACAACAGAAUAGAACACCUAUCUGGGUGACCACUAGGGUUUGGCGCGGCUUUACCUAGGGUAGGUUCUUAAGGCUCUCUAUAUGUGGUUCGGUUCUAAGGCAAAGGUACCUAAACCAGCAUAUUCCUCGAUCCUUACCCAUUAUAGGCUCAUAUGGACCGAGUUCAAUUCAGGGGAAUACAUUUCCCUAUGGCUGCACGGAGAUAAAAAUCUCACGAAGACAUAGGUACGGAUGAUCCCGGAAGCGAUCUACUAUCCUGCACGAAGGUGAAAACCUCACGAAUGAGUAGCUUCUCACUUCCACUUGAAAGGGUGUGACCAACGGUCAUGCAAUGCAAUGUGUGGAGAUAUAAAAAUUUAAAAUACAAAACAUGAUGAAAACUAUAACUCAAAACAGAUGAAAUGCAAUGAGAAGCUUAUAUGUUAAAAACCAAAAUUUCAACUUUCGACAAAAAAGACAAAAAUUAAUCAAUUUACGGCUUGACACUAUUAUGGUCCCUAGUAAAGUCGCCAAGCUGUCGAAACCAUUUUUAUUUUGAAAAAUGGGGUUGACUUUUAAAACGAAAAUAGAGUCGCCACCAAUCUUUUUUCGAGGUGUGAACGGGUCACCUUGAGAUUAAUCAUUUUAAUAAAACAUUUUGAUUUAUUAAAAUAAUGAUUUUGGUCUACAAAAUUCAAGAAAACGGGCUUAGGAGUCAGUUACGCACGAGGAAGGAUUAGCACAUUCGUAAUGCCCAAAAAUUGGUACCUAAUUGAUUAAUUAACGUCCUAAUGUCAAAAAUUUGAAAAGAUUUUAAAAUAUGAUCCUCUUUAAAAACCUGAAUAACUCGAAUUUGAUGUUAAGACCUCCUUGUCCCGAAGUAAUAAGAUGUCACAUCCAGUAAGUUAGGAUACGACAUUUUAACCCUUGAAACUAAUCUUAUCUCAUGCAUUAAAGUUUAAAAAUGAUAUUUGGUUAUUUGGAUCAAAAAAAUCGAAUCCCAGUAAGUUAGGACACGAUUUUCUCAAAGAUCCAAAGUACCAAAUAUUGCCUUAUUUUUAAAAGUUUUCUUUUUUAAAAUUGGGGAAAAUUAACGCAAUAUUAAAAUGAUGCGUAAAAACUUUGAUAAGAAAACAACAAUAUGAAAAUACAAAUAAACAAUUUAUAAAACACACAAUGACAAUUAUUUAAAUACUAGCAUCAAUAAUCAAAUACCAAUGAAUUUAAAACAAAGAGUAUAAAAAAAUAUAAGGUAAAAUAAAAUAUAAACAAAUUUAAAAAUAAUGAAUUUGAAAAUGAAUAAUAAGGGAAAAAGAAAUUUGAAAUCAACAAUAUACAAAUCAAUAAAUAUAAAAAAGUAGGUAAUAUAUGUAUAAGUUUGGAAUAAAUAAUAUAUAAAAAAAUGAAAAUAGGUAAUAUAUAAAGUAAUAAUAUAUAAAUGAGUUUAAAAAUAAAUAUUGUGUAAUAAGGAAUUUAGAACAAGUUAUACACAAAACAUCUUAAAAAUAAAUGGUAUAUAAAAUAGAUAGUAUAAAAAAAAUUUGCAAUUGAUAAUAUAUGGAAAAAAAUUUAAAGCAAAUAAUCAAACAAUUUAAAAUGAAUGAUUUAUAACACGAGUUUUUAAAAAAUAAACAACAUUUGUGACAUAAUAUUAAAAACAAAUAAAGUAUAUAAUUAAUGAAAGAAAAUAAAAGAAUGAUAAGAAUAGUUAAAUGAAUGAACAAUAUGUAAAUAAGAAAGUUGAUGAAUAAAUAAAUGAAUAAAAGUAAAAGAAUAAUUAAUGAUUAAACAAUUAAAUGGAUAAAUAAAAAAAAAGGUUAAAAAAACGCUUAAGUCAGCCUAACUCUCACAAUAUGAAGAUUAAACGAAAUUCCUCCACCAAAAUCCAACUCAAAUGAAAGCAACUUAAAAAGAAACGAAGAUGAACGAAGAAUAAAAUAAGAACAAACCACAGAAAAUAAGAACGCAAGAGAGGGAGAAAUUUGGGUGAAUACUCUUAAGAAUUAUUAUUGCUCCAAACUCAAGUCUUUUACAAUGAAGGGAGAGGCCUCUAUUUAUAGUUGAGCCUCUCCAAAUUCAACGGUACAGAUCAAUUACAUCAACGGCUAAGAUUAAAGGGUAUCUACAAAUCUCUAAGAUUACAAAAUCAUAUCUUCUAAGAUUACAUAUCAUAUUUAAAUUUGCAUAUCCUUAAAGAUUAUAUUUUCAUAUGCGUCAAGCUUGUAGAUGGACCUUCAACUUUUUCAAGUAAUGGACCAUUCCGAUCGGGCUAAAUGAUAUAAUUUUGGACUGGACUUGAGCUUUGUUUUAUUAUUUUGAGUUUAUUAUUAUUUUUUGUGAGCCCGGGUUAAAUUAGCCUAUUACAGCUAGUUAUUUUCUUGCAACGUUGAUUAAUAAAUAUAGGAUGUUUCGUUCUUCUAUUCUAAAUACUAGAAUCAAACAUAUUUCCAAAAGAAAGAAAUUAGAGUGGGGUGAUGUAGCAAGAUUAAGAAUCAACCUUUCUGUUUAUGACCUAUGAACAUAUUAAUUAUGAUUUCACUAUUGUAUGUAAUAAAUCCUUGAUGAGAUUUUGUCCUUUAGUUUAAAAGAAGCCUUUGACCCAACCGUUGAGAGAAUAAUUAUGUAAUCUUUCUUUUCUAUCCAAAUUCCUUUUAUUACAAAAAAAAAAAGAAAAAAAAAAGAGUGGCGUCUUUAGUUUUUUUCUAGUGCUACCAUAUAUUCCUUGCUUGCCAGCAUUUCUCUCCCCCUCUCUCUUCCAUAUAUAAAGGGUUAAAAUGUGCCACAAAUACUUAUAAUUUCAAAAAUUAAAAAUUUAAUCCAUUUAUUUUUAUUUUGUAAUUUUAGUUUUUCUUUUUUUUAGAUUUUAAAAUUCAUUCAAACUCAAUUGUUACCAUUAUUAAUUUUUUGGAUAAGUUUAAAACAAAAAAAAGUUCACUUCAUAUCUAUAUAAUUUUGGAUAAGUUUAAAAUAAAAAAAUUCACUUCGUAUCUAUAUAAUUAAACACUUAAACUUAUAUUUAAUUUAAAUUUAAUAAAAAUUAUAGAUGUUAGCAGUUUAAUCAAAAAUAAAAACUCUAAACAAAAUUCCAUUAAAUAAAACUACAGGACCGACGGACUCGUAAUUUUCCUAAUUUUUAUGAAAUAAAGAAAAUAAAAAUGUUAACAAUUUAACCAAAUAAUUUGAUCUAAAUUCCUUAUUUUCGAAAAGCAGAUUCGUGGAACAUUUUAACAUAUAUAAAUAGGACCGGCGGAUUUUGACAAACGUAGUGAAAGAUCGAAAUUGGCAGAAAAUGAAGGUUUCCGUCAAAACUCUCAAAGGCACUCACUUCGAUAUCGAAGUCAAACCCGAAGAUGCGGUUCGCUUCUCUCUCCCUCUUUUCCCAGGGAUUUUACGUUUCUUGACUAGGGUUUUCCGUUUUCCCCUAUAUUUGAACAUUAAUUCGCGUUCAUCCAGGACUGUAUUAAUUGGACUUAUUAUGCACGUAGUUGAAUUACCAUGCCUGACAUGUAAAAUCGGAGAUCGUGAAUGAUUUGUUCAAUUUUAGUGUCUAAUUCAUUGAAUAUGUUUAUUUAGCUUGUGAAUAGUCUAGCUACUUCGAUUAAGUUUUAGUGGACUGAUACUCGUGUAGCUUGAACGGCAAUAUCAUUUUCUUCUGGCGACAAUUAGCAAUUAAGUACUUCUUCCUACGUAAUGCUUUUUACUAGUUCAUUGAAAUUAGUGAAUAAUACUUUGAUUUGUGGGCUUCAUUUUUGUAUUAGUAUUUCAUUAACUUGUAUCAUUGAAUAUUAAUUCAUAGAUUGCCAUGUAAUUGCUAGUUGUAGUUUGCUAGAUAUAAGUUUGAACUGGGGUAUACACAAGCUUUGAACAUUGAAAUGUGCUAAUAUCUCAUAUUUUGCAAUGUUCUUUCACCUUUUUAAAAAAAAAAAAAAAAUUUAGUGUGGCUAUAAACACCGGAUUAAAUGUACAGAGGCUUCUUUUAAUAGAUCUUCUAUAACCAAGGAUCAAGUUCUGCAUUCUAUGGUUACAUCUAAUCAAGGGUUGUGUUUUUUAAUGAUGUGGAUUUUCUAACUAUAUAAAUAAGCUAUUAUUAUUUUUAUUGUUUUCUGCUACUUUUUAUGCUUUUAAGGCUUAUAUAUGCAUAUAUAUAUGCACAGACAUGAAAUUCUUGGGAUAAAAUGCAUUCUGCCUUCUGCCUUUUACAUUACUUUGUCACUUGGUAUUAUACUAUUCUGCUGCAAAUGCUUGUCAAUUCUUUCAGGUUGCAGAUGUAAAAAAGAACAUAGAAACUGUUCAAGGGGCUGAUGUUUAUCCUGCUGCACAACAAAUGCUUAUCUUUAAGGGAAAAGUUCUUAAAGAUGACACGACACUGGCUGAAAACAGUGUCAAUGAAAAUAGCUUUAUUGUGAUCAUGUUGACAAAGGUGAGUUUGGUUACAGUAUCCUGAUUUUUAUGUUUGUAAUCUUUCAUCUAACUUGUUCUAACUUUUCUGAACUUUGUCCUAAUAAACGCCUAACUGACAUAAUUAUUUUUCACACUGCUGUUGAACUUGAAAGUUAUCUUAGAUAUAACUUAUGAUGGAGUGUUGUAUCAUUAUAUUUUUUUUUUUUUUGAAAUCUGGUUGUUGCUUUCCUUUAGGUGCAUCUUAAAAAUCAAAUUUUUGCUAAACUAGAAAAUUUUCUUUGCACUAUUUUUCGACCUCUUACUUGUAUUGUAUCUGAAUUUAUUUUUCAUGACUGUCAUUUUCAUACGAAUAAUGUCCUUUUUGCUUAAAUAAACUAGAAUAAGGGUGCAUCUGGUGAGUGUUCAACUGCUUCAACAGCUCCUACAAAGAAAGUAAGAUUAUAAUUUUGUUACCUCUCUUACUGCUACUUGCAUGCAUUUUUAGCUACAUUUCUAAAGGCAUUUGUGACUGAUAUAACAUGAAAAGCUUUGGGGUUCUGUUUUUGCCGUGAUGGUAGGUGUUCUUUACUUCAAUGCUAUGAACUAGAACUUGAAGUGAUAGUCAAGCAUCUUGAGCAAAUAUACUUUGUAUACGAGUAGAUCAUCUAAAAAGUUAUAGGUAGCAAAUAGAAUGCUUUUAAGAUUUUGGGUUUAUAGAUAUAGCCCAGGUUUGAGUUGUUUUGAGUCCAACUGAUAGAUAUGUUACACUAUUGAGCUACAAACAUAAUGCAUAAUUUGGAGUUUGAGUUGGUGUUAUUACCAAAUUCAACACCUUAAAUGUUUGAGUUAGUCACAUAAUGUCUGUUUUCCCCCCACUAUACAAUCUUUAGGGUAUGUUGCUUCAAAACCAUGCCUGUUUGCAAAGAUUAUUGUUGAGUAAGUAGUGAUUUUUGAUUCUUUGUAGGCUCCUGAGGCAAGUAGUCUGCCAACAGCUACAGUACCAGCUUCGACUGCACCUGUUGUGACGUCUGCUGCGUAAGUCCCACUAUUCAACACUUUUGGUCAGAUACAGCACCUUUGCAAUUGAUUAAUUGCUUAUUAAUUUCUUAUUCAGGGCUGCACCUCCCGCUGAAUCUGCUCCUGUUGCUUCAAGUACUCCUCUGUGAGUAACUUAUUCUUGAUAGUAACUUUCAUGCUUCUAAUUUGAAGGACAAGCUUGCAUUUGAUUUAAUCGAAUUGCUUUUAGUAGGAGAGAUCUUGGUUUUUUUCCUUGUUUUCCUUUGCAUAAUUGUAAUAUCUUGAAUAAUGUCUUUGGAAACAGGUCAGAUUCUGAUGUUUAUGGCCAAGCAGCAUCUAAUUUGGUUGCAGGGAGUAACUUCGAGGGAACAAUCCAACAAAUUCUUGACAUGGGUGGAGGGACCUGGGACAGGGACACUGUUGUCCGCGCCCUUCGCGCUGCUUAUAAUAACCCAGAGAGAGCUGUUGAAUAUUUGUAUUCUGUAAGUACCUUCUUUGUAUCUUGAAGAAUAUGUGCUUUCUUCUGUGCUUCUAGUUGCUGUUGUUUUAUUAUUCUCCUUAAUGUAGUUGCUGUUGAAUAUAUGUGCUUUCUUCUGCCCUCUCCCUCCCUCCUCCCCCCCCCCCCAAAAAAAAAAAAAAAAAAAUUGUAAACAGGAAUGUUGGAUUUCUAUCAUAUGGUGUCUUAAUUUUUCCCCCCUUGGGAAUGGUGGGUUUUGAUGAUAUUUUAUACUGCACCCUUUUCUUUUCUUCUUUUUAGUUUUCAACUAAAACAAGCAUUCAUUUGUUUCCUAAGCUGCAUCUCAUCUCGUCAUAAAUUAUUGUUGCAAAUACUAGGGCAUCCCUGAGCAAGCUGAAGCUACACCUGUGGCCCAUGCUCCUGUAGUUGGGCAAACCACUAGCCCUGCAGAACCACCUCAACAGCCUGCACAAAUGGCAGCUAUUCCUACAAGUGGACCAAAUUCAAAUCCAUUAGACCUCUUUCCCCAGGUAAAAUUGUCAUGCGGUAGACAUUUGAUAAAUUUGAUGAUGGGCAAAUGAACCAGUGACUUGAUUUCCUUUUAUUGAUACAGGGCCUUCCAAACAUGGGUGCAAGUGGUGCUGGGGCUGGCUCUCUUGAUUUUUUACGGAACAGUCCACAGGUCUCUCUCUUUCUCAUUUGGUUAUAUAUGGGCUUGUUAGCAUGACUGUCAUGUAAAUACCUACCUAGGACUACACUCAGUUUGCAAUUCUCUUUUCAGUUUCAAGCUUUGCGAGCGAUGGUGCAAGCCAACCCACAAAUAUUGCAGGUUAUUCUCUGGUCCCUUGUUUCCCCUCUUCAAUCUUCAUGUGUGUGUUUCAUUUUCUUUUCUUCUUCCUUUUUUCCUUUCACCUUUCCUCAAUGUCUCCCUUUUUAUAUUUUUGGCAGCCUAUGCUUCAAGAGUUGGGGAAACAAAAUCCUAAUCUAAUGAGACUUAUUCAAGAGCAUCAGGGUGACUUUCUUCGCCUGAUCAAUGAACCUGCUGAAGGUGGAGAGGGGUGAGUUUGUUGUUUUUAGUUGCUCAUUUCUUGAACUUAUAUACUGCAUGUAUAUCAAGUGCUUAUUUGACAUUCCUGUUGUAAAGAAACAUUUUGGGGCAAUUAGCUGAGGCGAUGCCACAAGCUGUGCAAGUCACACCUGAAGAACGUGAAGCCAUAGAACGGGUAUGUCAUCUGUUACAUAAAGGCUGACUUGGAUGUGUUCACUAUUCUCUGUAAUCAUGGAUUAUUUAGCUAUCUUCCCCACUGCCUCUGGAAAUGCUUUCAUUUCCUUGGACUUUAUCUGAGUUAUGAAAUAUGCAUCACAUCUUUCUUUUAGGCAAUGGUUUUACUUUUAGAUGAUUAAUAAACUCAAAUUUGUUGCAUUGAUCUUGUGCCUACAAAUACUUUUGUAGUCUCCUUAUUCUCUUGUUCAUUCCCCAUCUCUUGCAGCUUGAAGCAAUGGGGUUUGACCGUGCAACUGUGCUCCAAGUGUUCUUUGCGUGCAACAAGAAUGAGGAACUUGCAGCCAACUACCUUUUAGAUCAUAUGCAUGAUUUUCAGGAUUGAGUUGGUAAAGGAAAUGACUAGGGGAAGUAGAAUUUCAUUCUCUUUCGUUCUUUGGGUCCAUUGUCAUUCAUGUUCCCCCUCCCGUCCCCCCAAAACUCUACCGACUUUAUUCUUAAACAAGUGAUGUAAGUGUUUGGUGUAGAGACAAGGAAUGUGAAGAUGUUAACUUCAUUUUUUUUUCUUUUUUCUUUUUAUUUCAGGACCCAUUAUUUAUAACGUUAUAUACAAGUUUCUUUCUAAGCUUGUGCGUAUUGUACUUUACAUUUUAUGCUAUUAUAAGCACUUGCGACGAGGAGCUGCACCCAACUUUCAAGUUCUUCGAUCAAUACUCUUAGAGGUCUAGACAUGGAAAAGACUUGAGGCAGUAUGACGCAGCCAAAUUUUCCAUAAGUCGAAGGUAAAAACAAUGGACUAAGGAAUCGUCGGGUGGUGAACUCACACUUUUGAAGUGACAUUUUCUUGGGCCCAUUCCCCCCAAUUACUCCGUUGAGGUCUAACUCAAAAGUGAAAAUGAACAGAAUUUCAUAAUUGCUGGACAAUAUGACAUUCCCAGGAACAAAUGAGCAAUAGAUUCAUGUUCAACAUUGCGAAAACAACAGGAUCCACUAGGUUCAUACCUCGAAGGAUCAUAAAAUAUCGGGUUGAGAGAGGUGUCCACCCACAUUUCUAAAGGAAGAACUUUAACUAUGAAGGAAGACGAGCUUUCCAAAUCAAAUUCCAGAGUUAGUUGACUACUCGGGGAAGUGUCAAUAGAGGGAGUACUAAAUGCUAGGAUGAAAGAAUAAGCAUUAGCCAAGGUAAAAGUUCCAGAUUUCGUAAGCCCCCAACCAACAAAAUUUGAUCCCUAGAGUGCUUAAGAACACAUCAAUUAAAUCUUGCGGGAAUUGGACAAAUAUCGAAUAAAAACCACUACGAUCCUAGCUAUUGCAGACUUGCUCGAAAGACCAAAACUCCUCCAAUGGCAGCAGGGGGCCUUGUACAAGAUUGCGGAGAGGGCCUUGUCUUGACCACUUAUCACUAAAAAAAUUCAUUGUUCUACCAUCCUUAAUAACCCAUCUCAUCUCUAGCUCAAUGAAGUGGCGAAUCUUCUUCAAAGAGGGUGUAUUCUGUACAAGGUUUUGAUUACUAGGGUCAGUGAUGUAUUUUGAUAUAAGGAUUUUAGCCCAAAGGGUAGCCUUCUCCUGGAUUAGUAUCCAACCAAGCUUUACUAGCAAAGCUUGAUUUUUAAUUAUUGCUUUCGAUAUACCCAAACCUCCAUAGGUUUUAGGUUGUACGGCCAAAUCCCACUUUAGAAGUUGUCCAUGAUUUGUAUGAUCAUAACUUUCCUAAAGAAAGUUCUUGUUGAUUCAGUCUAGCUGACUAUGAAUACUGGAGGGGAGUAAACAACACUGCAUGUAAUAGUUCUGGAUGGAGGCCAUUGUUGACUGGAUAAGAACCAACCUUCCAAGGGAUAGAAAAUUUGGCUUUUCAAUAGCUUAGCUUGUUAUGGAAAUUAUCAACAAUAAGAUAAUAGUCAUGUUUAGUGACUCUCUUCAUGUGCAUAAAGAACCCAAGAUAUUUCACUAAAGCAUUGGAUAUGCUUUUUCUAGAGUCCGCACAUUUAGGGGAAAAAGCCACUUGGGAUUUCUCAAAGUUUAUAGUUCGUCUAGAUUCUACCAUGAAUAGCUAAAUGAUCCUUUGGAUAGAGGAUACCGAUGUAGCAUAAUUUUUUUGCCAACAAAAUGAUAUCAUAUGCAAAUAAUAAGUGAGAGAACCAGGGUACACUCCUAGAGGGUCGGAUAGGAGACCAAACUUGUUGAUCCACCACUCUUGAAAUUAACAAGCUAAGGAAUUCCAUGCAUAAAAUAAAUAUAUAAGGGGAGAAUGGGUCACCUUAUCGGAUUCCUCUAGAUGGUUUGAAGCUAUUCAAUUUUGAUAUGUUUAACAGCACCGAGGUGGAUGUCGUCGAAAUACAACUCAUUAUCAACUUGACCCAACUAGGGGGAAACCAAAGAAUAUAAGAACUUUACGAAUAAAGCUCUAUUGUAGCUUAUCGUAAGAUUUUUCUAGAUCUAAUUUAAUAGUCAUAAGAUCUUUUUCCCAUUACAAUGAGAAAGGGAAUGGCAAAUUUCCUGCACUAUCAUUGUAUUAUCUGAAGAUAAGCACUUAGGGAGAAAAUUGCCUUGGACCGAGGAUGUAAUGUCAUUGAAGAUGGGUUGAAGACUCAUAACAAGGAUCUUCGUGAUAAUUUUGUAGGAAGUAUUGCAUAAGCUUAUUGGCCAGAAUUGUGAGAUCGAAGCAACUUCCCUAGAUUUGUGAGUAAGCGCGAUUGAGGUUUUGUUUAGCUCAUUGGGGAUUGUAGAGUUAUAAAACACCAUCACAUCGUUGUGAUGUGGGAAGACUCCUCGUCACGAUGUCGCCACCGUGAAAAUCCUUCCCACCUUCAUCGCAUCGUCGUGAUGAGAGAAAUCUUCUCGUCACGACGUCAAGAGUAUUUCUGGCCUUGGCAGCUUCGUUGCUCUAUCAAACUGCCUUGUCUCGUGGCCCAAUGAUCAUCCCUUGAAUUCUUGGACCUGAAUUGACAUCCUACACACUCAAUUAGCCCAUUAGUCACUUACGGGGCCAAAGUCGGUCUUAUGAGUCAUCGAAAUAAAAGAAAAUGCGUAAAGAUACUUUUUUUAUUAAUAUUUAGUUUCUAACCUAGUAAUACUGAAAAUGCAAUAAUUAAUUAUAAGACGCCUAGAAAACAAGCUCGUUAAAUGUAGAAAUGACCCAAACUAAAUUUUACAUUUGAAGCCAGGUCACAUACCCCCACACUUAAGUCCUUGUCUUCAAGCAAACAAAACAAAUUGAAAAUGAAAACUAAACAUGCAAGAAAAGAAAGUGCACUUGAACUAGCUUAAUGCAGGAAAUUGGGCAGAAAUGUAUUAAAAAGAUAAUGUAAAUAAACAUAUAAUUCUAGCAUGAUACACAAUUGACUCGCAAUUUCUAAAAUUAGACAGAUUAGUUCAUUAAAUUACAAAUCAAAUAAAUAAAAGAAUAUUAAGUAUAGGUAUCCAUCAAAAUAAAUAUAUAAAUAUACAAUUAUGUUCAAAUGAAUACAAGUGGUAAAAAUAUCAAAACUUGGCAUGACUGCCAUCCAUAUAGAGUACUACUUAGGUCACAUAGGACUUUUUGGCUUGUAACAUUUUGCGGCUUAAGUUGGUUUGGAAUUCAAGGAACAAACUUGACAAAAUGGCUAAGCACAAAACUAGUUUGACACAUUGUAUUGUCCUUGAUACUCCCCUAAUUUCGAAUAAUCUCACCACCUUAUAUCCACUUCCAGGGGUGAAGCUAGGAAAUUUUUUUAGAGGGGGCCAAAAUGAAAUUUUAAUUUUUAAUAGUCUAUAUUUUUAUAAUUUUCAAAGGAUUAAAUCAAAUUUUUAUAAUUUUAAAGGGCCAAAGUGAAAUUUUACCUUUACUAAAUUAAAAUUUUAAAAAUUUCUAAAGGACCUAAAUAGUAAUUUUCUAUUUUAGAAGGGUCGGGGCCCCUGCCAGCCCCAUAGAUUCGCUUUUUUCAACUUCUCUCACCUUCCUUUUCUCUUCAUCAUUAAUGCCCCGUAUAGUAUUCAUGAGCACAAUCAUUCAAGCUUGAAAUAGUUUUUUUUUCUUUUCAUCGAGAUUUUUUGGAUUGGCAUUUUUCCUUAUUUUGGACAAGCUCAAAAUCUUAUACUCACUAUACCAUACACUUCCUUAGUCACUCAAUUUUUUUCUCUUUUCUUUUGAAACCACCAUGAUGCAUCUACCUAAUCCCUUAAUAUCAAUGGUCGGACAUCAAAAUUUGUGCAAGGACUAAAAAAUAAAUGAUCAAAUAGAUUAUAUAUUAGGCUUAAGGUUUCAUUUAGGGUUCAUCAAGAAAAUAGAUUCAAGCACAAAUUAGGUACUAGGGAAAAUAUAUAUAGGGUUAGCUUUUUGGCUAAAAAAAUUGCCUACCAAAUAAUGCCUUAGGUCGUCCCUAGGUAUUUCAAUGCAUGGAUUAAAUCGGCUAAGUCUCUUGAACGCCUAUAAAUGUGUUAUUUUUUUAUAGUAUAAAUAUUGCACCAAAAAUAUAUAAAAUUAAAUCUGCGGUGUCUGCAAGCGUACGAGUCAGAUUGUAAUAUAGUAAAAUUUACAACGAAACAUUGGUAAGUAUUCUGAGGAUCAUACCCAAGGGAGGAUAAAAUAAAUCUAUAAAAACCUUUUUAGAAUAAUAAAUUUAAAUAGUAAUAAUUAAUUCCUGUAUUAUGAUAAGCCAUAAAAUAGAUUAAUAAGAGAAUUUAAAUAACUAAAACAAAUAAACAAGAAAAAUAACAAAUGCAUUAAAUUAGUAAAACCAAUUAGGAAUAUUAACUCGUUUCAGGGUUUGUAUUUAACUUUGGAUUAGGGUUUUAGGGUAGAUUAGCUACCAAUUAACCAAUUAUUACCUCCCGUCCUCUACUAAUUAAUCAAUUGGUUGAUACUUGCUUAUCUCCCGAUCUCACUUUCUCAACCAGGAUAAACUAAAAUUUACUUGAUUCGACUUAUCUCCCGAUCUCGUCUCACCUAUGAUAACUUCCUAGGGUUGUCAAGCCUAAGGUUUAAGAACACGUAACCUAUACCAACUAAUCCUCUCAAGAAACCCUAAAUUCUUCGUUAAUCACAUCCCUAUCCACUCGUUAAAAAACCCUUAAGGGAUUUAGCCACUCAUGUUAUUCAUAAUCUCUAACUCAAUCAAAUAAAUCAUGUAAAUAACAUGAUUGAAUCGGAAGAGAAAUGAGAUUAGAAUAAUCGUGGAUUGAUAUCGAAUAGAGAACAGUAUAGGAAAUUAUUAAUCGUAAUAAUAAAAUAUAUUGAUUGCAAUGAAGAAAUAAACUGAAUACUUUAAUAAAAUAAAAUAACUCUUGGAUCGAAACAAAUUCCAAGAGGAAAAACAAAUAGUUUAUGAAAAGCCAAAAUAAAAUUAAUCUAAUCCUACUCUUAAGUGCGAAAAUAACACGAAUUAACUACCACAUUUGAUGGCAGGUCAAAUACCCCUACAUUUAAGUCUUUUCUUGUUCUCAAGCAAACAAAACAAAACAAAACAAAAUAAAUACUAAAUAUGAACUAAACUAAAAACAAGAAAUAAAUAUGCAAGGAAAAGAAAAUGUACUCGAGCUAGCUUAAUAAAGUAAAUUGGAUAGAAACAUAUUAACAAGAUAAUGUAAAUAAACAUAUAAUUCUAGAGUGAUAUAAAAUUGACUUGCAAUUUCUAAAGUUAGACAGAUUAGUUCAAUAAAUUACAAGGCAAACAAGUAAAAUAAUGUUAAGUGUGGGUUUUCAUCAAAACAUAUAUACAAAUAUACAUGUAUGCUCAAAUGAGUAUAAGUGGUAAAAACAUCAAAACUUGGAACAAUUUCAUCCAUAUAAAUUACUACCUAAGUCACAUAGGACUUUUCGUCUUGUAGCAUUCUGUGAUUUAGGUUGGUUUGGAAUUCAAAGAAUAGGCUCAAUCAAACAAUUAAGCACGAAAGUAGUUUGUCACAUGAUAUUUUCCCCGAUACUCCCCCGAGUAUACAUAUGCUCACCACCUUAUAUCCACUUCCCUCACCUUCCUUAUUUCUCAAUUUACUAAGGCCUUGUAUAGUAUUUAUGAAUACAAUCAUUUGAGAUCAUAAAAAAAUUAUUAUCUUUUUAUUUCUUUUUUGAACAAAAGUGAGCGUACUUUUUUUCCAGCUCACAUUGUUUUUAUUUUUCAUCGAGAUUUUCUCGAUUGACUUUUUGUCUUAUUUUAUACAAGUUCAAAAUCUUGUACUCAUUAUACCAUACAAUUCCUUAGUCACUCAAAUUUUUUCGUUUCCUUUGAAACCAUUGAGAUUUAUCUACCUAAUCCCUCAAUAUCGAUGGUUGGACGUCUAAAUUCGUGCAAGAACUAAGAAAUAAAAGAUCAAGUAAAUUAUCUAUUAGGCUUAGGGUUUCAUUUUUGGCUCAUCAAGAAAAUGGAUUAAGGCUCAAAGUAGGUACCAGGGAAAAUAUUUAUGGAAUAUCUUUUAGGCUAAAAAAUUUCUACCAAACAAUGCCUUAGGUCCUCCCUAGGUAAUUAUAUACAUGGAUAAAAUAGGCCAAGUCUAUCAAUUUCUAAAACCUAUAAUUCAAUUAAAUAUACAUGCUAUUUAUAUACCUAUUUAUCAUGUGGUAUUGUAACACUUUCCACCCGACCCGAAUCACCGAGUCUGGAUAUAGUGGGCUCCACAUGACAAUCCUACCGUGGGGUAGUUAAAUUGUCAUAUCAUGACAAGAACCACUGAUGGAGGUCGUAGGUCUUGUUUAGGGACCUUCUCUUACUCAAUUUUUUAAAAACAUGCAAGGUUUUUAAUGUUCGAUUUCAAUCAUGAAUGAAUAAUAUAUGUAUGUCAAGUACAUGUGACAUUCUUCCCUAAACUAUAUGACAUGCUUAUCGUACAUAUGCAUGAACAUACAUUCACAGUAAUAUCAAUAUCAUCAUGCUUAUCACAUAUAUAAAAGCAUAAAAAUUUAAAAGACUCUAACUAUCUAAAGUUUCCAUGAUUCCAUCCUAGAAAAAAUAAAAAAAAUAAAAAAAAUUCACCUCAAAGCAUACUUUGGGUCUUCUAUUUUGUCACCAUGGACUUAUGGUACAGUACCAGUUCACGUUUUCAUUGUCAUUGUCUUUUUGCAGCCAUUUUUGUAUCAUUGUCGCUGAACUGCCAUUACUGACCAUAGCUGGGUUAUCUCAAGUCACCAUCGAAUCGCCUCUAGCCACCGUCAUCAGCCUCCAUCGCUAACCCUUGUCGUCGAUCAUCACUGUUAGAUCACCAGUAGUCGCUUGCUGCCAGACCACUGUUGGUCUCAUGCUAGUUUGGCUGGGUCAGGUUUGCAUCGUCUUGAUGGCCUAGAUACGUCUCAGUUCUCCUAGUUCCGUUGAAAAAUUUAGGUAACAAAAUUCCUAUGUCUGUUUCCAGCUCAAAUAUUUUAUUCUAAAAUAAUAAAAUUAUUCCAUGCGUGAAGAUGAUAGUCCACGAUCUAAAAUAUACAUGCCCGAUAAAUCAAUAAAUUUAAUUUAAUUUAAUUUUCUAGGAAUCACAACUUUGGCAAAUUUAUUUUAUCAUACAUAAUAAUAAAAUAAUAUCAUAAAUUCAUUCCUUUAGACAUGCAUACAAUUACAAGAAUGACACAUCUUAUCAAAAUAAAAUUAUAAACAUAAUACAACCCGACACUCUGAUACCAAUUUUUGGAAAAAUAAAUCCUAUUCGAAAACGAUUUUCUUGCAUAGUGAAAAAAAUUUGAAAAUCGUGCCGAUUUGUGAUAUUUAUAGCAAUAAACCCUUUACCAAAAUCGCACUUGUGUUUUUAGCUAGAUGAAUCCUUCUCGUUCUUGACUUUUAAUUGACUAACCUUCUUCGUUAUUCUCAUACCACAAACUGCUUUGAGUGUGGGCUUGAACAAUUUGAAUCAAACACAAAACCAAAAAUAGUUUCCUUAACUUUUAGUGUGAAAAUGAAAAUCUCUUCUCAAUAGAAAUUGGGAAAAAUUUUAUUUUAGAAAAUAGAUUUAAUAUUUGAGAAUUAACUCUCACUAUUUCCGGGCAAAGUAACAAUAUCUUUGAGUUUUAUUUUUAACCCUAUCGAUGCCAUCUAUUUAUAAGGAAAAGAAGUUAAACCUUUGUUGAAUUAUAGAAGUGUAUUUCCAGUAGAAAAAUGAAGUCCUAUUAUAACUAGAAUUAUAGGGGAUGACAACCCUAGUUAAUAAUACUAGGGAUUGUUGUCCUUCCCUUUAACAUGCGGGGCUUUUGGGCCUCUCUCAUAACAGGUUAAAUUACAAGUACUUCCUGAACUUUUAACCUACUACUUUAUAAUUCGAUCCAACCCGAUAUUUGUUUUUUUAUUUCCCAAAAUAAAUAUAUCAAUUUAUUUCCAAUUAAAUAAUCUUCUAAACCCAAUUCUAAUUCUGUUAAAAUCAUGACUUUACCGUAAAAGAAACUAUGAGAAAAUAUAUUUAAUCUACAUUUAAUGGGUUCACUAUGACCAAAUUAUUUAUUUCCAUUUUCAAACUUCAUUUAAUUCAAAAACCAUAAAUUCAUUUUCAGGUCAUUAUAUUUUGGAGAAAAUCACAUUAAUUUCCAAAUGUUUCUCAUUUCUCCAUUUUCACCAUUUCUAUUCAUUUAAUUCAACAUGCAAUUUAUUUAUGGUUUCAACAAUAUAGUGGAAAUAUUGAUUGGACACAUAUGAUUAGGGCUCAAAUAAUUUAUAAUUAAGUUCCCCCUUUUCGCCUAUUAAUUAUAAAGUCAUUUAGUCACGAAGUCAUUUCACUAUAGUAUCGUGAUUGAGCUCUUUCCAACGGCAUACCAUUAUGAAAGCAACUACUCAGUGCUCGUUUAAUGACCUUGUCAUAAGUGUGUUACCCUUAUAGGAUAUCAUUAAUCUCUUUGGGAUAAUAUAUGUUCUCCCAAUAUGAUCCUAUUUUAUUUCAUGGUAAUCAUUACAUCUUCUUUCAUGAAAGGUCAAUCAUUAUCAAAUAGUGAUCAAACCAUCCAUCACAAAGACGGAUGAACCUUGGCCACGUUUAAUUUUCAUCAACUAUGUAAUGCCAAUGAGAGGAUAUCAUUUACCCAUGUUUUGGGCUAUGAAUUCCACAGUUGUGAAUCACGCUACAUACUACAGAAGUCGUACACCCAACACACCAGCUUUCAGUUCCUUAUAUAUUUGAACUCAGACUUUUACUUACAUCAAAGUAUACGAGUCACACAUACAUAGCCCGCCAUUCACUUAGGAUUUAGGUAUGCCACACUGUAAACAUCACAAGUAAAUAAAUACAUAAACGAAUUCAGGAUGUAUUCUUCUUCGGUCCAGUCCAAUGUACUAUCAUUCCAGUUAGUCACAUCUAUGUCUCUAUCUUUUGGGAGUCAUCCACUUUGAUGCCCAAGAUAAAACAUCUCCCCAAUUGGACUUGAUGGAUGGUAUAUUAGUCUUUUAAUCGGUUUUGCUCAUUUCUGAUUAGACUAAGGACAUGUUUAGGUUCAUCUACUAAUAUAAGUUUUCUUUUCGUAUUACAAUCCGACCACAUAAUACCGCUUAGUAUUAGUUCAAACAUUAGAAAACUAGUGAGCCAAUAUUUGCUUCUAUUUUACUUUGCAUGCAGAAACCACAUAAGGAAAAUUAUACAAAAUAAUAUUAAUGUAAUUCAUAAUUUUUUGUUAAUCAAUCUGUUUGAAAAAAAUACAAGUUUACAAACGAAUAUACUACACCCGUGGCAUGAGAUCCAACACUUCUUUCUUUUUCGUGUAACUAGGAAUGUUGAAUUUUUUCGACCUUAAAUCCAUACCUCUAAUCCUAAACUUCCCUAGCACUUUGUCUUCUCUUUUUCUUUUUAGGAAUUAUUGCUUCUUAGGAAUGCUGUCACCUUUAAUUGCAAUGCUAGGUAAGGUAGAAUUAGGGAGUGAGCUUUGGUUGGGGCAUGUGAAUUCUUUGUUGUAUCACUAGCUUUGAAGGUAAAUACCCACCCUUUUCAAUGAUGGUUAAUUGGAAGUCGCCUCGUCAAAGAUGGAAAAAGCACAAUACCAAUGCAUCAUCACUUGGCAAUCCCAGUAAAAUAGUGGCGGGGAAAAUUAUCUGAGAUCAUGUUGGUGGUUUGGUUAUAAGAAGUUAUCGAUAUAUCCCCAAAGCUAACAUCAUCAAGGCUGAGUUGCAUGUGUUGUGAGAUGGCCUUAAACUUGUUGUUGAUUUGAAAAUCUCGCAUUUAGAAAUACAAGUCGAUUGUACUGUUGUUGUUUCUUUUAUUUCUAAUAUGCUUAUUACUAAUCCUCUUGCAAUGUUGAUUAAUGAUUAUAGUUUGCUAUGUGCUUCUAUCCCGAAUACUAGAAUCAAACAUAUUUUCAAAGAAGGAAAUUAGAGUGUUGAUGCCGUAACACCUUAUACCCGACCUGAUCGCUAGGUUCGGGUACUAAGUGUCACAAUCAACCUAAUAUACUUAACAAUAAUUCUAUAUUGAUUUACUUUCAACUUUUAAAUUCUAAGAUAGGUUUCUUAUAUACACAUAACUUCACUCCAAUCUUGUAACAUCCUGAUUUAGAGCUUAGUCGGAACAGUGGUUUCGGAACCACAAAUUCGAUGAGGAAAAAAUUAUUUUUACUAUAUUUUUAUGGCCUACAAUUUCACGAAAAGAUUUCUUGAAAAUUUCGUUGAAAAAUUUUGACGUUUGGGCACUCAAUUUAGUCAAAAGGACUAAAUUGUAAAAAGUGUAAAAGUUGAGUUUUAUAUGUUAAAGGUAUUUAAUUGUUAUGGAACUAUAAAUUAGGGGUCAUUAUAUGGUAAUUAGACCAUUAGUUAGUGAUGGACAAAAAUGGACAUGAGAUAAGUGAAAUAGGAUAUUUUUAAGUAAGGGCAUUUUAGUCAUUUAGUAAAUAAAUAGAAUUAAAAGGGAAAAAGAUGUAAAAAUUGUAUUCAUCAUAUUUACUUGCUGCUGAAAUUUGAAAGAAGUCAUAGCUAGGGUUUCUUCACUUUCUCAAGCUCAUAGUAAGUGAUUUCAACUCCCGCUUUUAAUGUUCUUUAUGUUUUUGGAAUCCCGGUAGCUUAAUUUAGCUUAUUUUAGCAAUAAUUUAACCUAGGGUUCAUAUUUGGAAAAAUACCCAUAGGUGAAAUAUGUUUAUUUUGAUGUUUUAUGGUGGAAUAUGAAGCUAGGAAUUAUGUUAAACAACUUUUGCUAGUCGAUUUUAAGUGAAAACGAGUAUAUUGACAUAAUCGGCAAAAAUACCUAAUGUUCAUAAGCGUUAGAGUAAGAAUUUGAUGUUGUCAUAGAAGGGAAAAAUGUUCAGCAUGUUAUAAAACAUAAGAAUAAGAGAUGAAGUUUAAUUUAUGAGCUUUGGGGCAAAAGUGUAAAUAUGCAAAAGUUUAGGGGCAAAACUGUAAUUUUGCAAAAAUUAAGUCAAGGACUGUUUUGAUGAAUGUGAGUAUUAAAUACGCUAAAUUUGCUAUUAUAGAUCAAGAAGAAUGAAUCCGGAGCUAGAUCGGGGAAAGAAAAAGAUUAAGGACUAAAGUGUUAGAUUUGAUCACAUUUUUAAAUUCGAGGUAAGUUUAUGGUAAAUAAAUGCAAUAUUUCAAUAAUUAUUAUUAAUGCUACUAUUUUCCAGCAAUUAUGUACUUAUUUUAUGAAAUUAUUUAAUGUUGACUUAAGUAUGAGAUGACAGAGAAUCAGUGAUAAAAGCCCCGUUGAAACAUAAGGAAUGUAUCGGAUACAAAUGUCAUGACAUUUGGAUAAAGAGAUCUCAUGUAAUACCAUGUCUGGGACAUGACAUUGGCAUCAUUGAGAUUAUGUGAGGUCCCAUGUAAGACCAUGUCUGGGACAUGAUGUUGGCACCGAGAUGAGAGGUCCCCCAUAAGACCAUGUCUGGGACAUGGCAUGGGCACCAAUAUGAGAACUCCCAUCUAAGACCAUAUCUGGGAUAUGACAUUGGCAGUACAGGAAACAUCUCAUGUAAGACCAUGUCUGGGAUAUGGCUUUGGCAUGUUAUUAUCAAAUAUGAGACCCAAGUAUCCUUAUUAUUCCAAUGUGGCUCAACGGGCUAGAAAACUGAUUAUGUUCUAUGUAAGUUCAAGUAAAAGUAUAAUUAGCAGCUUCAAGUGAGUUAUAAGAGUUAAGAAUAUAUUAUGUUAUCAGUGAGAACCAAUAUUUCAGCAAGAGAAGAGUAAGUUGUAAUCUUAAGCUAUCUAAGUAGGUAAGUAAGUAAACAAGUAAAUGAGAGUAAGUAAAGAGAAAGCUUAAGAACAUGAUACUUGCAUAUCAUUAUUUAUGUUAAAUGUUGUUAUUUAUUUACUUGUAAACUUACUAAGCUUUAUGCAUACUUCUUUUAUUUCUUUUUUCUUUCAUAUAGUAUUAUCAAGCGUAGUCGGGAUCUUGAAGACGUCGGAGAGCGUUCACACUAUCAACCACCACAACUCGGUAUUUUAAGACGAUAAAUGUUUCGAGCUAUGGCAUGUAUAGUGACUUGGUCAUUUUGAUUUUAUAUUCUUAAGAUAUGACCAAAAGAUGAUAUGUAAAUAUUUGAUGAUGAAUAGUUAUUAAAAUGGCUAAGUAUGAAGGUGUUUGUUGUUAUAAAUGUCUAGGUGAUAAAUUAUGCAUAGAAAUCAUGAAAAAGUAAAAAAAAAUUGUUAGCAAAUCAGUUUUGAGACAACAGUAGUGACAUGAUUUUGAAAAAUCACCAAGAAUAGUAGAAAAUGAAUUAGAGGGUGAAUGAGAUAUAUAAUUAAAGCUUAUUGAGUCUAUUUUAUAGAAAAAUAACAUUGUAGACAAAGGAAUUAUGUAUUCUGAGAUAUUUGCAUUUUGGUUAGACAAUGUCAAAGUGGUUUUCGGAAUCUCCUGUUCUAACUUUGGAAAAUCAUUAAAACUUGUACAAAAAUAGUUAUGAGUUUUAAUUUAUAUGUCUAGAUUUCUUAUUGAGUGUAUCUUCUAUAGGAACAAGUGGGAACACCAUAUGAAGUCUGUAAAAUGAGAUAAUUAAAUUUUAGUGAUGAGAGGUCAGGACAGUCGAUCAAUGAAGUAGGGGAGACUUUAACUAAUAAACUAUACUAAUUGGAUAAAACCAAAAAUUCUAAAAAAAUUAUGGUAAAAAGAUAUAUGAUUUUAGUUUUAGGGAAAAUUUAUAGAUCUAAAUUUCAAGUUUUGUAGCUCGAGUUAUAAUUCAUUUAGUAACUACUGCGCAAGUGGACAACUUUGUUGUGAAUAGUGAAAUUAAUUUCAAAAGUAAAAUUUUAUUCCCCAAACUUUUAAGUUAAGUCAAGUAACGCCUCAUGCUCGACUCCAGCAACCGUCUCGGGUAAGGGGUGUUACAAGUAUAUUUAGUUAACAUGUUAAAAAAUAUCACUACAGAUAAAAUUUCUACUAUUUCUAAAGUUUUUAGUAUCAAAUUACCUUAUUGUGUAGGUUUAAGUUUAUAAGUGUACAACAACUUGGGAAUUAAAACUUCUAUAAAAGCCUUCUUAUUCGAACCCCGAGGCAUAGCCUCUAAGGGUGCCUCUUUAAAUGCAUGGUACAACUAUGGCACCAUUUGCGUAACUUCACAACGUUUGGCAUGGUCCCUUCCUAACCCUUGAAUAAUUCUUUAAUCCUGCAUACAAAACAGUAAAAUCAUAAGUUUAGAUGAACUUAGUGAGAUUCUGUACAUCAGAAAUUAAAGGCUCUCAACUUUUGGGUAAAUAAGAAUAAGAGUAUAGAAUUUAAAACUCCUUAGCAAAACUUAGGAAUUUUGUAGUAACACUAGAGUAGCUGAUGCUCAUGUCUUCUUUGAACCAAUCAUUGGCGGAUAUAACUGCUGAUCUGAUCAUAGGUGCACUCUUUCAAACAACCCAUUUUUGGGGCCCAACCUUGUCUAGCUCCAUCUUAGGCUCCCAUUUUACCUUUCUGGCUCGACUAAUCAAGGUUCUAUAUACACGAAUAUGCGAUUUGACAACUACUUUUGGUAGACUAUCAGGUAUCUCACCAUAACUGUGGAUCCUUACCCUAAUCUCUUCGUUCCACCCUAAACUCAAAAUAGGCUUACUACAUUACCCCGAUAAUUUUCUUUUUAUGACUUAUCUUGUGCUUAAACCCUUCUUCUAAGGAAGACCCAUAUACUGAGAAUCUCAUUUGCUAUCUUGAAUUUGAGAAUUGGCUGAUACAUGAUCACCUUGUUCUUUGCGGACUUGUACUCGUCAAUAAUCUCGGAGGACUUACCCAUUUCAGAUCGUUCUACUAAAAUACUCCCAGUAACAGAUAGUUCCCUACGAAGUAUUUCUUUUUUAGAUUUCCCUUGGCAGGCUUUCACAUUUGAUAGUCCUAAGAGGACUUCCCUGCUCUAUACAGUCAUGAUAGACUUUCGUUUCUUCUAUUAUUUCCCGAUGGACUUUCUACUCCAGAUUGUCCUUGGUGUUUUGCUUUCUUAAGAAAGUCAUCGACGGACUUCCCUCUUAUUCUAGCAACCUCUUUACCCAUGAAUACUUAGGAUUAAUAUUUGCAUAAUCAUAUCACUUUAUUACAACCAAAAACUUGUUUACUUAUCGAACUUUGGUGGACCUUUAUGGUGGAUACCUAUUUGCCAAUACUUUGAAGGAAUUUCUCUUUCCUCUCACAUAUAUCCUUGUUAAGACAUUUUUACCAGUUCUACUUACCUUCACAUUUUAGAGGAUUCUCUUAUUAUCAUGUUUGCCCGUGUUUGCAAAUGCACGAUGCUCAUUUUGUUAGACUUCUUGUCGCGCAAAUCAUACAGUGAUUUCCCUUUUUUUGUACCUUGACAGGUUUCCUACUUACUAUCCUGGGAGACUCCAUUUCACCAUAAAGUCUACUUGUUCACCACUAGAUUAUGUCAUGGCUAACCAUGGACUUUUGAUUUUUAAAAAUUAGUAAACCCAUUUCAAAAUGUUUACACAGUGUCGACUUGAAGGACCUAUAUAUUGUAGUCAUGGUGUCACCCUAAAGGACCAUUAGAUAAUCGUCAUCACGGUGUCACCCCAAAGGACCAGUAGAUAAUUGUUAUCACAGUGUCGCCCCAAAGGACAAGUAGAUAACUGUCGUCACAGUGUCGCCCUGAAGGACCAGUACAUAUCUGUUCCAUGAUACCGCUAAACUCCCUUGUAUCCCAUAACAAUUCGUCAAUUCCUUCAUUACGCUAAUUUUUCCUAUCUUCAUCCAACCGUCAUAAUAACUCCUUCCAUACUUCUCAUUUUAAAAACAUGUUUUUUUUCACUUAUUACUAUAACAUAUAACAUGCCAUAUUUCAAUACAUCAAUAUUGGUCUGCUGCAAUUUGUUCAAGGAGAUUAAACCAUUUUUCGUACUUAAGGAGCUUGAAUAAAAGCAAUUUCAUCAUGUUUUACUUAGCUUUUCACUUUUAGUUAUGAAAUAAUAAAGAGUGUGAUUUGAGUCGUUUAUAUGACUUUAGGGCCAAAAUAGGUUAAAAGAAGACUAACGUGUUUGGUGAGUGUGCAAGACAUCAUUUAGAUGUAUGGGAACACAAGACUAGUCACCAUGUUCUAACAUAGAGGUUCGACGUCGGAACAUAGUGAGAAGUAUAACCAAAAUAACAAGAUUGCCUUCAGUGUCGCGACACAACCUUGAAUCUAAGCCUGAGCCAAGUAAACUACAACCAAUGUCGCGACAUAGGGCAGAUGAUGUCAUGCCACCGGCCUGAUGUGAAGAAUUAAUGAGUUGAUGGUGUUUUGGUCCACACAAUGAACUUUAACAUAAAAAAGUCAGUCAAACUAGAGCUAUGAAUGAUAGCCAACCUUAAAUUUGUAAAUAGGUUUCACUAAACACUUCUUAGACAACUUUUCUAUAUGUUUAAACUUUUAUUCUAGUUUAGGUUGCAAAUUUUAUUUAGUUUUCAAUUUUUAGUCCUUUGUAAUUAGGAUUUCUUUUCAAUUUUAUUUUCACUUUUAUUUGACAGAGAAUCUGGUUGGUAGAUUCAUCAAAGUCUUAUUAAAAAAUGUUACUUUCCAACCUUCUUAUAUGCAAAUAUGCUAGUAGAGGGCCAAACCAAGUGACCAUAAUGUAUGUGGUCAAAGACUGGAUUGAAUUGAGGGAGAGAUGCAGUCAAUGCAAACUGAAGUGAAUCAGGUGCAAUUUAAGUGCACCUAAAUGAUAAAAACAUUGACAAGACUAGAAGAUCAGAUGAGCCAAUUGAUAAGCAUGAUGGGGGAUAACAAAAGGAAAAUUGACUCCGGGAUCCCAAGUAGUAUUGAGAAUAAUCCUCAGAGAGAAAGGAAGGAGCACAUUAAAGCAAUUAUGCUCUAUUUGGGUAAAGUACUCAGUAGCCCAAAGAACCCAACUCAAGAGGAGUGCAAGAAAGAUGUCGAUGAUCUUUGAGAAGAAGCUCCUUGAAAUGAUGAUGCUGAACAAGAACCAAAAAAGGUAGUCGAGCCGACAACUAAGUCGGUAGCUGAGCCAAACAGAGAACCUGCACCAACCAAGGUACUAUUCCCUUCACAGUUAGAGGAUAAGUGGAAACAGGAUCAAGCGAAAUUUGUAAUUUUUCUAAAAUUAUUCAAGUCGUUUAAUGUUAACUUACCUCUAAUGGAAGUAAUUGAAAAUUUUCCUAAAUACUCCAAGUACUUAAAAGAAUUUAUGGCUAGGCGUAUGAAAAUUAAAACGGAGAGCAAGCUAAUAUAAAUGCAUCAUGUAGUGUGAUGAUUUCUAAAUAGAUACCCCAAAAACUGAAAGAUCUAGGGAGUUUUGCAAUUUCUAUAGAGAUAGGGGAUAUUCACUUUAAUAAGGCUCUAUGUGAUUUAAGAGCCAAUAUAAAUUUGAUGCCCUUAUCGAUAUACAAGAAACUCAAGUUAGGGGAACUUAAAAACACACAUAUCACACUACAAUUAUCUUAUAGGUCUUCGGUAAAAUGAAAAGGAGUACUUGAAGAUAUGUUGGUUAAGGUGUGUAGCUUUAUAAUCUUGGUCGAUUUUGUAAUUAUGGACUUUAAGGAAGACCAUGAGAUACCUAUUAUGUUAGGUAGACCAUUUUUAGCCAUGACAAGGUCUGCCAUUAAUCUAGAAAAUAAUGAGUUAAUCAUGAAAAUCAAUGGCGAGAUUGAAGUAUUCAAAUGCGGUCACCAGUAGAAUGAGGGAAGUAGGGAAAGUUUAGGGAAAACAUGUUUUGAAAUAUUUGUAAACAUCCCUAAUUACCUUGAUUUGGAAAAGGUAUUUUUUUGUGAUAAGUGCAGGUCGAAAGAGAUUCAAGGAGCGGACCAAGGUGGAGUGACAUGAUGGAUUUUGGACCAACACAGAUAGAAGAUCGAUUAAAGGCACAUCUAAGAAUGCACUGACUAAGCUAACGGACGAAUCCGACAACAAUACUUGAUAUUUUUAAAUUGAGUUAAUUUUUGUGUAUUAUUGUAGUUUAAUAAACUUACGGGUAGUUUAAGAAUUAAUUUUAUUUAACCUAUCUAAAAAUAUGUUUUGAACAUUUUGAAACUCGAGAAGAAGGGCCAAAACAGAGCAGAUGUUGCAAUACGAACCUGACUGCCUCCGGACGUACCAACGUCCAGAGUUUGAAUACUAGAACUAAAAUAUAUGGAAUUAAGGUAGUGUCCGCAAGUAUACGGGUCAGGUUGUAAUAUAAUUACAACGAAGUAGAUAAGUACUCUGAGGAUCGUACCCAAUAGAGGCGAGUACUAAAUUAAUGUCAACCUAAAUACAAAUAGAAGUAAUUAGUGGUUUAAAUAAAUUAUAGUAUGAUAAAACAUAAAAGAAUUUUUUUUGGGAUUUUAUAAAGAGUGAAAUAAAAAUAACAAAAGGAAAGUGAGCUUUAGAAAUAUAAAUUCUAACUUAAUCAAAUCUAAGUAUGGGUGAUUAGUUCACUUUGGUGAUCAUAACUAAUUCCUAUUUCAGGUUUCUACUUAAUCAACUAGUUGCUACCCUAGAAGGAUCUCUCGAUCUUCCACUAGACUAACGAGUUGGCAAGAACUAAUUAUCUCUCGACUUUACAGUUCAAAUCAAUUUGGGGUAAAGGUGUUCACGGAUAGGCCAUACCAAUUUUGGGUUAAUUCCCACCUAAAUUACUUCUUAGGGUCUCCAAGCCUAAAUUUUAAGUUCUUCCUCUCCCUAACAGCUGAUCCGCUAAGAAAACCCUACAUAGCAAUUAAUGAAUCACACCUCCACCCACUAAUCCCCCAUAAAAGGAUUAGUUCUUUGUAGAUCUCAUGUACACAGUAAUCUUGAUAAUAAAGAUAAGCAUGAAUAAUGAAUCAAGAUAAAAUUUUAAGAGAACCCUGAAUUGUAUUGAUUGAAGUAUAGAAUCUAUAGCAGUUUGAUCACAGUUACAAGUCACGUUCUCCGACGAACACGGAAUAGAAUAGAACUGAAAUAAACCUAACACCUAAAAUAAAGGAAAAACUAAAGACUAAAUUUACAAAGAAAGUAAAAGUUGUCCAAAAUAAGUGUUUUAAGAGCCUAUUUAUAGAGUUAGGGUUGCCAUCAUCCUCAACCUUAGGUCAGCUGACGUUCUCGUGUUUUAAUUUCCAUUGUGCAGACCAAAACGCCUCUGAUGUCGUGACACCCUAGUUCUUGUGUCGGGACAUCAAAGGUAGUAUGCAUGGUUCAAGCCUAACUUCAGUAGUGUGUCGUGACAUCUCUUGGCUAUGUUGUGACAUCCAAGGUAGUAUAGUUGUUCUAGUAUUCUGCUCCCUAUGUUGCGACAUCGAACUCCCCGUGUUGCAACAUAGCGACCAACUUUGAGUUUCUAUGCCUUUGAAUGAUCUCUUGCACACUUAGUAAGUACGUUAGCUCACAUUUAGACCUCAGUCGGCCCCUCAGGUAAAUAAAAGACUCAAAAUGCACUUUUUAUUGAUUUAACUAAACUAAGAAAACACAUGUAAAACAUACUAAAAUUUCUCAUCUUCAAGCUCCUCAAGUGUGAAAACUAGUUUAAUAUUCUACUCCGAAUUACAAUAGAUCAAACUUUCCUACACUUAAGUCAUUGCUUGUCUUCAAGCAAAGCAAGACAUAAAUAAAAACAUAAAAGAAUACCCUUGAAAAAGUAUAGUACAAAGAUUGGUUUUGGAGUACAUAACUAGGCAUUUUCAUGUUUACACAUAAUCCUAAAAUGAUAUAUAAACAACUUACUGAUAACUCUUGAAAAGAGUUAUAUCUCAUGCUUUUAGACCCAGAUAAUUGCUUGUACUUAAGUACAUUUUGUUGCAUUUUAGAACAUUUGAGUUAGCAUUUUUAAAUAUUGCAUUAAGACUUGGAUUGUGUUGGAAUUAGGUGCUUUUAAUCGCUUGCAGUGGAGUUUUUUUUAACUAGUAGGAACAUGUUUUUGAACGAGAAAAUAAAGGAGUGAAGUUUUUUUCAAGGCAAAGUACCGACAGUUUGCCAGCACGGAUGCCGUUACAAUGCUAGGAAGACCAAGUCAACAUUUUACGUACUGCAGUUUCGGUUCAAAUUCAAACUUGUACCAGAUAAAUCCCCCUAAAAUAGGAGAAGAUAAUCAUGAGCUGUUACCCAACCCUAGCCUAAUCUAUCUAUAAAUACCGAUGAAUGGGACCUCACAAAUGACAGAAAAAAAGGAGAGAGAGAUCCUUAGGCAUAAAUAAGGGUAUGACUGCGCAAAGGAAAGGAAGUUGAAGGUAGUCCUUCUUAUCCAUCAUAGGAUGCUUUGCUGCCAAAGUGUGGAUUGGGCAAGCAAAAGCUAUUUCUUGAAGUUCUUCCGUUAUUUCCAUUAGUGUUCCUUUGAAAUAGUGAAUUAAAGUAGUGGAAUGGAAUGUCGGAUAAUAUUUUCGUUUGGAAUUUUAUUUCCCAGCCUAUGAGUUAAAUCCCAUAGGGUUGGGAUUACUUUCGAUGAAACUUAAAUUGUUUAUGGUGCAAUAUAUAUUUGAUUUAUUUUUCUGUUUCAUUUGAUUGUUUUUAUUUUGUAAUUUAAAUGCAACGAUCUCUAGACAUAGAAGGCUAUCGACAUACUAUAAAAUGAUUCUAAUUCCAGAAAGGUUGGAAUGGUUGGAUAAAAAUUAAAUGAAAUGAGCAAGUAUUCGAUAGACACUUGUAGUUGACUCUAGACAUAGAGUCACAAUCAUAAAAUAGGAACCCAUGCAAGAUAUCAAAAAUCCUAUAGACACAGGCAAGGUAACUUGAGGUUUUGCUCUCUCGAGAGGCAAGCCAUUUUAUAACUCUUCCGUGUAGUAAAGUAGAUACGAUUUUGCCAAGGCAUUACUGGCAGUAAGGGUCAAGUCUGGGUAAUCCCGACCUUCCAUAUCAAUAACACUCUAUCCUUAUUCUUUGUUGUAGUAUCUCUGCCACAACAUAUUUAGUUGUUUAUUUCUAUUCGGAUAAUCACUCUCGUUAUUGCCAUUACAUUUCUACUUUCACUUUUGCCAUAGCAUUUCCAAUCACUCAUCAAGUUUCAUCUAUCGCAUACUUUACUUCAUACUUACCUUAGUUUACCAUUCAUCAGUCUUGUCAUAGCAUUAACCAGAUUAUAAUAACUUGACAACUUUUGUGCCUCGAUCUGAUCCUCAUGGGAUCGGUACUCACUCAUCACUUUAUUACUUGAACCGACGUGUAUACUUACACAAAAUCACAUAUCAUUUUACACGUGACACUUAUCGCUCCUAAUAUUAACCACCUAAGUUCAGUAUAUUACAAAGUACACAAGCAUUAAGCUUUUCAAAUAUAUGCAUCCAUCAACAAAUCAUAUAUGUAAUUUGAUUAUCCUAGCAAAAUAUAAACAAUCGUGAAAGCAAUUACUUAGUAUGGUGUAAAUUGAUCAUUAAGUCUACCUAGGUCACAUAAGACUUUUCGGCUUCUAUCGUUCUGAAGCUUAGGACGGGUAUGGAAUUCAAGAACAAGAAGCAUUGAUUGCCUCUAGACGUACCCACGUCCAGAGUAGAAAUCCUGCACAGAAUAUAUGAAAAAUGCAAGAUCCGUAAGUAUACGGGUUAGGUUGUAAUACAGUUACAACAGAGUAGAAUAGUAGUCUGAGGAUCGUAACCAAGGGAGGCGAACACUAAAUUAAUUCUAACCUAAGCAUAAAUAGAUCUAGUUAUUACUUUAAAUAGAUUAUAUUACGAUAAAGAAAAAAGAAGGUUUUUAUGAUCUAUACUAAUAAUAAAAUAAAUAAAUAAGCCCGGGAAAUCAAAUAAUAAAAUCUAUCAAAUCUGGGCAUGGGUGAUUAGCUUGCUUCAGUAAUCAUAACCAACUGUUACUUUGGAUUUUCUUAUUCCAUCGACUAGUCGAUAUCCCAGUAGGAUCUUUCGAUCUUCCACUAAAAUAAUGAGUUGGUAACAACUACUUAUCUCUCGAGCUCACAGUCCAGACCAGUUCAGGGUUAAGGUGUUUACGGAUAGACCAUAACAAAUUUGGGUUAAUUCCCACCUUAAUGACUUCCUAGGGUUGUUAGGCCUAGGGUUUAGGUUCUUCCUUUCUUGAAUAGUUGAUCUGCUAAGAAAACCCUACAAAAUAGCUAAUCAAUCAUACCUUCAUGCACUAAUCCCCCACAGGAGGAUUAGUUCCUCAUGGAUCUAAUAAACAAUAUAAACUUGAUAAAACAAAGUAACCAUGAAUAAUAAUUCAAGAGUAUAAAGUUUAGUAGAAGCUUGAUUUGUAUUAGAAUUGAGCACAAAAUCCUCACAGGGUUUGAUUGUAUUUCACAAAUUUGAUCUCUCCCAAAAAAGCAAAUAACAAGAACUAAAAUUAACUUAAAACCUAAUAAGGGAUAAACUAAAGACUAAAUCUAGGAAGAAAAUUAUACAAUACAAAAGCCCUUCCCUAAUAUGUGUAAAAUGAGCCUAUUUAUAGACUUUAGAAUAGUCGUCGUCCUUAACCCUAGGCAACUACUGUCCUCGUGCUUAACAUUUGAUUGUGUAGACCAAAAUGCCCUUAGCUCGUAAUUAUUUCCCGAACAAAGGUGAUGUCGAGAUAGACCAGGUCUUGUGUCGUGACAUUGAGGGUAGUAUGCUCAUUUUCAAGGUAUUUUCAGGGGCGUGUCGCGACAUCCUCAUGCUGUGUCGCGACACUGAAAGAAGUCUUAGAAUUCUUCUCCUCUGCUUCCUAAGUUGUGACAUACAAUGCUCUGUGUUGCAAUACAACGACCAGUAUCGAGUUAGCACGCCUUCAUGCUCAUAAAGUAUAUUAGCUCACCCUUAGAUGUCUUUCGGCCUCUAAGGUUAAUAAAAGACUCAAAUUACACACUUUAGUAAAUUUAACUACAUUUACAAAAACAUAUUUAAAACUUAACUAAAAUGCUUAUAUUCAAGCUCCUAAAGUGUGAAAACUAGUUUAAUCUACUACAUCGAAUUACAACAGAUCAAACUCUCCCACACUUAAAUCAUUGCUUGUCCUCAAGCAAAACAAAAAAAAGUAAAUAAAAAGACAACCCUUGAGCAAGCAUGGCAGAAAUGUUAGCUUUGGAGCAUAUGAAUAAGCAUUUCAUAUUCAUACAGAAUAUUGGCAUGAUAUAUAGCUGACUUACCACUUUUGAUAUCAAGGACCUAUGUUCAGUAUAUUACAAAGCAUACAAGCAUUAAAGGUCUCAAAUGUAGGAAUCCAUCAAUAAAUUAUAUAAGUAAUUUGAUUAUCCUAGCAGGAUACAAACAAUCAUACAUGCAAUUAUUUAGUAUGAUUUCAAAUUGUGAAUAAGUCUAUCUAGAUCACAUAGGGUUUUUCAGCUUGUAACGUUUCAAGGCUUAAGAUUGGUAUGGAUUUCAAUAACAAUAAGCAUCAAAUAGUUUCAAGCACAAAAAUAGUUUGGCACAUCGUAUUGUCCCAUAUUCUCCCUUUUAGUGACCCUUUCCUGCUCACCGCCUUAUUUCUCCUUCUUUCCUCUUUCUUUUAUCUCCUUAUAGUAAAUCUUAGCAUCAUAUAGUAACUACAACUAGCUCACGAGUUUUUGUGCAAUAAUGAUCAAGUUUUUCUAUAGUUGUGACUUUGUCACUUUUCUUUCUUUUUCUUAGUACCUCACUCAUAAUUGUUUCUAUUUUUCACAUAUUCUUUUUCUACUCGUUUAAUUUUUUUUUGAAUAUAUCCUUUUUUUAUAGUUUUAAGCUAACCUAUAAUCACUAUACUCUACUAAUCUUUCAUAUCACUUUAUUUUUACAAAGCUACCGUAAUGUAUCUAUUUAACCCUCAAUAUGUAUGGCCAGACGUCUAUAAUCAUGCAGUUCAAGACUAAAGAAAAGGGUAAGCACAAAUCAUCGCUUUUAUCUCACAUAUUGUAUAGAGGUUCAUCAAGAAGUGUUUUCUGGCUCAAAAUAGAUACUAAGGAUGAAUAAAUAGGGUUAGCUUUUUGGCUCUGGGUGUAUGCCAAAGAAUGCCUUAGGUCAUCCCUAGGUUUCUGAAUAUUCCCAAAUUUAGUCAACCAAACAAUCACAAAUUUAACAAUUUAUCAUUCAUACUAGCAUUCUCGUUUCCUUGUAUUCUCUAUGUCAUUGGUACAAUCAAUUGCUUCAUACCUAUUUAAAAUGUAAUAUAUAGAACUUAAUAAUCUAAUAAUAAAAAAUUUAAAAUCACUUAUCCUCAUGCCAAAUUUACUAUAAAUACAAUCAACCUAUGUACAUGCUCCUAACCAAUCACUUGUACUUUUACAAGCUCAAGCACACAAAUGAUAAGAAAAAUCGAAGAAAAACAAAAAAAAAAUUAAAAUUUUUUUUCUAUGUUACCCCCCACACUUUAGAUAACUCAUCAUCCUCAAUGUGUAGCCCUGAAAAAAAUAAGGAACAAAGUUACCCUAUUGAUCGUGAUAGUUUCAUAGACUAUUGGUGGGUACCUCUGUAAACUCGAAAUUAUAUAGGGUUUUUCUAUAUAAUUUUACCACCUUUUUACUUAAUUAUUUUGUUUAUCUUGAGUAAUUAUUAUUGAAAUAGGUUAAUUUUAAUUAAUUAGUAAUUUUGAACAUGAAUUUUGAAAGUAUGUGAAAUCAUGCUUAAUUACAUUAUUUUUAUGCAUAUUUUAUAUGAAUUCAUGUUAAUUUAUUAAUGUAUUUAUUUUUCACCAUGUAGAAGGUCCAUUGGAGACAUGAUUUAAAUAAAUAAAAGAUGGUCAUGCACAAACUAUCCAACUGGAUGGCAAGACCAUGCAAUUUUGGGCAUGGGGUUGACUAUUUGACCCAGUAAAGAAGAUGAUGAAUGAUAGACAUAUCUGUUAAGUUAUUGGACUGAAAAAAGUUGUCAAACAAGGGGAAUUAAAAGCCCAAUUUCAGCAAUAGAAGAUAGUUACCCAAAAUAUGUUUUGAAAUAUUUAAUGGAAGGUCCUUACAGUUGGAAAAUAAUUAGAAUUCAGCCCAACAACUUCCCUAUUGAAACCGUACACUACAUAGCUAUUUUUAGCUUGAAUUUAAAAUUCAAAUUGAGAAGACUUGGUCAUCCAUUUUCCUUGAAGCAUGGUCAACCACAUAAGAAAGGGAAGAAAGAGAAUUUAAACCUAUUUUUAUUAAAUACCUUGUCAUCCCUCACUUCUAAAUCGUCCCUUAUCACUCAACAUUUCUCUCUCAUUCUCAAUAGUUUUCUCUCAAUUUCUUCUCUCUUUUUCCCUUGCAUAGCCAUUCAUACCCUCUCCAAUAUCUAGCUUCAAAAGAUUUUUCAAAAGAAAUAUUUAGUCGACUACCUUCUAAACCCUUAGAAAAAAAACCUUCAAUCAGAACGAAGGAGCGCUUCAGUCAAAAUAGAUCCGAAAGGCUGCUGAACUGAGUCUACUCUUUCCUCUUGUCAUUUAUUUUAAACUUGUUUGCUUUGAGUUUUAUGUUUUUAACAUCAAAUAUGAAGUUUUAAUUCCUAUCUUCUAGAAUGAUUAUAUUAAUUUAAUGAGAUUUCUUUAAUUCAUGUUAACAUGUUUUGUGCCUCAGUUGAUUAUGUUUUCAAUUAAUAUCAUGAUGCAUUUCAUUCAUACGUGACUGGGUGCACUUAAAUUAGCUGAGCAAUCCUAACCAGAUGACGACUAAUAGACGCAUAAUUGAAAAGUGCAAUGCUUAAUUUAGGUCAUUAAAACCGACUAAGUUAAGGUUCAUAAUAUAUUUAGUUAGCUUUAUUAUCUUGCAUGGUUUUUAGAUUUAUGUAAUUGCAAAUGUAAAUAUCCCUGUGACUUUGCAUAAAUGCCAAGAAACCCUUAGUCUAAUAUGAUCAUUAACACGCAUAUUUAACUAAGUAAAAGAUCUGAGAGGACUUAAUUUGGUUUCCGAACCCAUACGAGAUCAAGUUGCCAUGGAAAUAAUUUCGAGCAUGUUAGCAUGAUGAAAGUAAGUUGAUUUGAUUAAUAUAAUUAUCCUAGCCCAUUUAAUGUUGAUUGUUUUUGUUGCUAAAGCUCUCAUUUCAUACAUUUAGGUAAAUUACAUCUAGAUUAAUUUUGCAUUAGGGAUAACUCUUAAAUUUAAUUUAUCUAAUCAUCACUAACCAAAUUUAUUGAGUUUUUUUACAUCAAAUUGUUAAUUAUAAUUUUGCAAUUAAUUGUUUAAGCUUAUAUAGUCCCCGUGGAGACGAUAACUCAUUUGUACUUACUUAUUACUUGAACGACUAUGUACACUUGCGUAAAUGUUACAAUUCAUUACAACCUCUUCCUUUGAUCAUUGAUAGUUCAAAAUCAUUACGCUUCUUCCAUGUGAGGCUCCUGUAAAGAAAAUUUAAGCACAAAACAACCACUAGUCUAUUAUUACUCCUACUCCUAACAAUUUAACUUAAAAAAAUGAUCCCUAAAAUUAAUACAAUCUUUAAAAACAAAAAUUAUAAGUUCAAUCCUCCUCCUCAAAGACUGUCUCAUCAUCCGACGUAUAAUUAGGUACCCUAAUAUUGUUUUGCCGCACGAAUUCCUAAAAAAUAGGCCCAACUCCUGCAUCCAGUGUAUCAUCCAAUCUAGCUUGGGAUGAUUGCCCUCGCCAAUUUAUUGUUGAGUGGUCAAUUUUGCUUUCCUUUGAGAUGAAGUUGGAGAGACCAUCAUCUUUUGCUGGCGUUUAUUCUAUUCCUUAAUCUGUUUAUCCCGAAGCUCAAUGUACUAUGUAUACAAUGUUUCGCCAAUUAUACUUUGGGAUGGCUGCAUUGAUUCUUUCAUGGAUGUCAUCGAUACACCUUCUCUUUUACAUAAGGCCAUCUCUAAGUGAGGAAAGAAGGCUCCCACUCUCUAGCCACUAACGCAUCGCUUCAUAUUUUGGUAUAUCCAUGUUCCGAUGUGUACCUAUUUUUCUACAAAAUAGAAUAAAGCAAAAUCGAUUGAAAAGUAUUGACAUUAGAAACAUUCAAAGCAGAAGCUAUUCUAGUGCAUAGAAAUUGAAUCCACAUUUUUGCUUCAGGAAACAUUAUUGUUUAAUUAAAGAAGGUUGGAAUAUCAGUACUUGGGCGACAUUUGCAUUCACCCCUCCCAUCUGUUAUCAAGUUUAUAAUGUUGUCAUAUUUAUAUCUCAAAAAUAUUUCAAAUCAAUUUCUUCUGUAAAAUCUUUUUCAUAAAAUGGAGCAUUAUAAAAUUCACAAAUAACCCAAGGGGUAAUUCAUACAUCUUUCCUUCGUAUAGGUAUCGUUUCCCAUGUACAACAUUCGGCUUUUCUAGACUCUUGGUCUCAUAAAGAUACAUAAAAUUCCUGAACUACAGGGACCACGAAAAAGUCCUUUGGGAUCGUUAAAAAAUGCUCCCAUCUAUGAUAUCUAACUAAAGGUCUUAUCUCCUGACAGAGAACCAUCGAUGGUUCGAAUCCCCUCUCUUGGAUAAAUAUUUUUCCCUGAAGUUCUAGAAAAUAUUUUUCAACAGUUGGAUUUGAUAAAUUAAAGGGGUUUAGAACCGUCGAUGGUUCUGAUUCAUUGGUUCUUCUCACUUUUCUUGGAGGCAUUUUGAAUAUUGUUCAAGUUCAAUAAUUAAUGAACUAACGAACAAAUUUUCCAAUGGAACAAUAAAAAUAGGAGUUAGGAACCCUUAACCUUGGAAAAUGAUGUGUUGGAUUCCUUGUAAUAUUCAUUUGUGGUCACUUCUUUUAGUUCUUCCCAUUUGUUUCUGUAUCAAAUAGAGAAGAAUAAAAGAAAUUUUAUAGUAAACUAGUAAGAAGAAGUAAGAAAAGAGUUUUAGGGUUUAUGAAAAUUAAGAGGUUUUGAGGCGUUUAAAGUGUUAAGAUUGGUUUAGGUAGUGAUUUAAUAUGUUUUUGGAUUUUAAAUAAGGUUUUUUAUGGUUAAAAUUGGAUUAAUAAGGUGUUUUAGUUGGCUGGUUUGCGCAGUUGGGUCGGGUCAACCUUGUAAAACAUCCCCAGUAGUUUGCCCUUGUCACAACAUCGAGGUUCGAUGUCGCAACACACUCUGGAAUUUUGGAAUUUUGGGUAAACUAUCUUUGGUGUCACAACGCAUAGAGUCUAUGUCGCAGCAUCGAAUUGGUUUUCUCAAUUCGAGGGAUUCUAGCCUUGGUGUUGCAACACAGGAUUGCAGUGUUGCGACAUUGGCCCUAUUUUUGCCCAAACUUCCAAUUUCUAAAGUGUCACGGUUCCUAUAAAACAUAAACUUCAUAAAAAUUAAAAUCUAGACUAAAAAAUUAGUUAAAUAUAUAAUAAUUUACAAAGAAUUAAAUAUCAAUUUAAAUUAUCAAGUUUUACUGUCGAAUUCAUUCGAUAGCACCAUUAAUGCAUAUAAGGAUGUUUUUCUAGUUCUUUCAAUGUUAGUCCAUCGCCCGUCGUGUCACUCCACCUUAUUUCAUUUAUCUCUUUCCCAGAACCUGUUCUUUUGACCUGCAUUGAUCGUAGGAAGUACAUUCUUUGAUUCGGGAUUAUUAAGGUUAAAAGCAGAUAAUUCAUUACAAUGUUCCCCUAGUCCCUUUUAUUUCCUCACUCUGUUGGUGACCACAUUUGAAAAAAUUUGUUUCGCCAUUGAUCUUCAUAGUUAAUUGAUUUCUCUCCAGAUCAAUGGUGGAGCUUGAUGUAGCUAGAAAAUUUCUGCAUAAUAGAAUGGGUUUCUCACGAUCCUCUUCAAAGUCUAAAACUACAAAGUCCGCCGAAAUGAUAAAGUUGCGCACUUUGACUAACACAUCUUCUAGUAUUCCUUUCGGAUGUAGUGUAAUUUGUGUAUUCUUGAGGUCCCCUAACCUAAGUUCUUCACAUAUUGAUAGAGCCAUUAAAUUGAUACUAGCUCCUAAAUCGCAUAUGGCUCUAUUGAAUUGAAUGCUCCCUAUCUCUAUGGGAAUUGUAAAGCUUCCCAGGUCUUUUAGUUUUUGGUGAACUUGUUUAGAAAUAAUAGCACUAUAGGAAGCGCUCAUGUUAAUUUGUUCUCCUACAUUAAUUUUCCUACAUCUAGACAUGAUUUCCUUUAAAAUUUUGACAUACUCAAGAACUUUCUCAAUAGUUUAACUAAAGGUAGUUUCACAUUGAAUGUUUUGAACAAGUUUAAAAACCUUAGAAACUCGUCUUCAUCCCAUUUUUAUCUCUUCCAACCUUGAAGGGAGCAAUAUCUUUACAAUGAUAGGGUCUUUAAUUGUCUCUUUCUCUAGUUCAACUACCGGUGCAACUACUUCCUCUAGUUUUGGUUCAUCAUCAGCUUCCAACCUUGAAGGGAACAAUAUUUUACAAUGGUAGGGUCUUUAAUUAUCUCUUUCUCCAAUUCAACUACCGGUGCAACUACUUUCUCUAGUUUUGGUUCAUCAUCAUCUUCUAAGGGUCCUUUAUUAAGAUCACUUGUACUCCCCUUAGGUUCCUCCUAAGUAAGGUUCUCUGGGCUACUCAGUACUUUACUUGAUCAAAGCACGAUUGCUUUCACAUGCCCCUUCCCUUCUCUUCAAGGAUUAUUUUUGAUGUUGUAGGGAUACCUAUGCCAAUUUGUCUUUUUAUAUCACCCAUCAUGUUCUUCAAUUAGCUUAUCUGAUCUUCAAACUUAGUUAAUGUUUUUGCUGGAUUGGUGCAUUCAGACUGCACCUGCUUUACUUCUAUCCUCAUUGAUUGCAUUUUCCCUUCGAUUUGAUCCACACGUUGACCACAUAUAGCAUGAUCAUUUGGGUUGGCCCUUUCCUAAGGUUUUUGUAAAUAAGGAGGUUGGUAGUUAGUAUUUUUAACCUGAUUUCAAGUAUUACCUCAUCCUUGAUUUCCUCCCCAUCUUAGGUUUAGAUGAUCUCUCCAUCCAGGAUUGUAAGUAUUUGAAUAAGGAUUUUCACCCCUAUUCCCGAUGUAAUUCACAUCCUCAGUGAAUUGUUAAUAUAGUGGAAGUGUAGUUUGUCUCCUCCAUAUAUAGACGGUGCAUUGUUUUCAGAUUUUAUUUAAUUGAUUCUAUCAACUGUAGAUAUUUGUUAUCCUCCUAAAAAGCCUUCACCGUAGGUGGUCUUUGGCCAUAUUUGUUUCGUUCAAUUGGCCACUAGUAGGAGUUUAUCACCAGAUUUUCUAUUAAUUUGUACGUAUCCUCGUACAUUCGGUUCAUUAAAGCACCUCUUGCGGCUUUAUCCAAUCCUAACCUUCAGUGCACAUCCAACACAUUGUAGAAAAUUUAUAGUCGUAACCACUCAGGAAAUCCGUGGUGUAGGCAUUUCUGAAUCAACUUUUUAAAAUACACCCAUGCUUCGUGAAAAAUUUCUCUUUCUAAUUGUUUAAACAUAGAAAUUUCCCUUCUUAGCUAGACCGUCUUGCUAAUGGAGAAGUAAUUUUGUAGGAAUUUCCCUGCAAGUUCGUCCCAUGUCGUGAUUAAUCCUAAUGCCUGCGAAUCUAACCAAGGAAAGGCAUUACCAAUAAAAGAAAAAGGAAACAACCGAAGAAGAAUAGUGUCAUCAGUGACCCUAUUGUAUUUAAAGGUAUCACAAAGCUGAAUGAACCAUUUUAGACCCUGACUCGAAUCUUCUAUCAUCGUUCCUCAAAACCGCAAAUUAUUUUGAAUCAUCUAGAUCAUAGCUGGCUUGAUCUUAAAAUUAUUGGUCGUGAUGGCUAGCCUCGUUAUACUCCCUUGAACCAUAUCCAGAUUUGAUAACGUAUACUCCCUUAGAGUCCUUUCGUUAUAUGCCUUGAGAUUGUUUGCGGGUAAUUAUGGUGGUGGUGAUGGGUAGUCUAGAUUGUUAUUGUUAGCUUCGUUGAACAAUGGAUUCUCACAUGGUUGUAAAAUACCUUCAGUAGGUAGUUGAUUCUGCAUUGAUUGGGGUUGCUGUUGACAAUUUCUUCGGAUUAUUCAUUCUAAAUCUGUGACUAGCUCUAUAGGUGUUCCCCUACUACAAAUCAUACACUAAACCCAAAGAUAAAAGAUUAGUAUAAAAUAAGAAAAUAAAAUCGUAGCUAUAAUCUAAAAAUUUCCUAAUUAUUCUAUUAAUAUGCGAAAAAUUAAAUUUAUAACAGUGACGUUGCCUCCCUAGAAACGGUGCAACAACUUGACCGCCUCCGAACGUACUAACGUCCAGAGUGUGAAUACUGCUACAAAAUAUAUGGAAUUUGAGGUGGUGUCUGUAAUUAUACGGGUCCAGUUGUAAUAUUUUGUUUACAACGAAACGCUUCGUAAGAAUUCUAGGGAUCGUACCCAGUAGAGGCUAGUACUAAAUUAAUUCUAACCUACAAGCUAAUAGAUCUAAUUAGUACUUUAAAUUAUUUAUAGUACGAUAACAUAAAUAAAAAGGAUUUUUGGGAUUUUUAUAAUAGUAAAAUAAUAAUAAAGAAAUAAAUAACAAGAGAUUGAAAAGUAGAAUUAAUCAAAUCUACGUAUGGGUGAUUAGCUCGUUUCGACAAUCCCCAUCAAUUUUCAAUUUGGGUUCCUCAUAAAUCAAAUAGUCGCUAUUUCAGUAGGAUAUUCUAAUCUUCUACUAAAAUAACGAGUCGAUAAAAACUACUUAUUUUUCGACCUCACAGUCCAGACCGGCUUGGGAUGAAGAUGUUCACGGAUAGGCCAUACCAAUUUUGGGUUAAUUCCUACCUUGAUGACUUCCUAGGGUUGUCAAGCUUAGGGUUUUGGUUACUCUUUUCCCAAAUAGUUGAUCCAUUGAGUAACCCUAUAAAAUAGUUAAUAGAUCAUACCUCUACUCACUAAUCCCCUAUAGAAGGAUUAGUUCCUCAUGGAAUCAAUAAACAUUAUAUUGAAUAUAUGUAUAAAGAAUAAAACAAGAGUAGAGUUUAGAGAAUCCUAUUUGUAUUUGAUAUAUGAAGUGUUGUAAUCCUCAACCGUUUGUUUGCGUCUACAAAUCAAGUUCUCCGAUGAACACGAAUGAAAAGAACUAAAAACAAGUCUAAACCCUAAGAGAAAGAAAAAUAAACUAAAAACUAAAUUUUACAAAAGAAACUAAUAAUUUGAAAGCUCUCUAUAACAAGUGUGAAAUGGGCCUAUCUAUAACAAGUCAAAAUUCAUGUAGUUCAGGACCGAAGUAAAAGGGUAAAUACAAAGUAACAUUUUUGGCUCGGGUUUUGUAUGAAAGUUAAUCAAGAAGUGUAUUCUAACUCAAAAUAGGUACUAAGGAUGAAUAAACAAGGUUAGCUUUUUUACUCUAGGUGUAUACCAAACAAUACCUUAGGUUAUCCCUAAGCAUAUCAAUAUUCACAAAUUUAAUCAAUCAAACAAUCACAAAUUCAACUAUUUAUCAUACAUACUAGCAUGCUAGUUUCCUCGUAUUUUUUAUAUCAUUUGGUAUAUUCAAUAACUCAAUACCUAUUUAUAAUGUAAUAUAUAGAACUUAGUUGUCUAAAAAUUGAAAAUUUAAAACCAUUCACUAUCAUGCCAAGUUUAUAGUAAACACAAUCAACCUAUGUACAUGCUCCUAACCAAUCACUUAUAUUUAUACAAGCUUAAGCAUACAUGUGACAAUAAAAGAAAAGAAAAAGUAUAGAAACAAAAUAAGAAAAAAAUUCCUAUGUUACCCCUAACACUUUAGAUAGCACAUUGUCCCUAAUGUGCACCCCUAUAGAUAAGGAAAGAAGUUACCCGAUUGAUCGUUACAUUGUAGUAGUCUUAUGGUGGUUGCUUCCUACCUUGUUCGUUAAAAGCUCAAAAAUGUUGUGCUUUCUUUCAUGUGAAGUUCCUACAUAGGAAACUUGAAAAUAUAAUAUAUAUAUAUAUAAAUCUACUGUUACUCCUACUCCUAAAAUAAAAAUAAAAAUCAUCCCAAUUAUUUACAAUAGAAAAAAUUAAAAGUUAAUUUAAUCAUUCUCCUCCUCCUAGUAAUCCAUCUCAUUCCCACCACUUCAGCGUCCUCCUCUUUACUACCUUCUCCUUCCUCGGUUCCUUGCUCUUCUAAUUUAGACCACAUUUUUCUGGCUGAUAAUUUGGUACUCUCAUAUUAUUCUACCGCUCGAAUUCUUGAAGAACUAGGCCCGUUUCUUGUAACCAUCUUAUCAUCCAUUCCAUCUUUAGGUUACUACUCUCGCCUGUUUCUUUACAAGAUGUCAAUUUUGCCUUUCACUUAAGUGAAGUUGGGACAUCCAUCUUUUCCUUUCGGCAUUUUUUUCAAUCGUUUACUUUCUUUCGUUGAAGCUUCAUAUAUUGCUUGUAUAAUGAGUCUCCUAUGAGACAUGGCUUCAUGAACUACUUAGUAUUUUUCAUUGGAACUUUGGCCUUCUUGCACAAGGUAGUCACUAAGUGGGGGAAGAAGACCCUAACAUUUUGGUCACUAAUGCACUGCUUCAUAUAAUGGUAGAUCAAUGUCCCAAUGCACAUCUAUUUAUUCUUGGUCGAAAUCUUUUGAUUCCUCGUGAAAUUUCCUUGCACAUUCCUUGCUAAUGUAAUGUGGUUGUUCUGAGAAGGUUGAAUCCUUGUUGUUGUCUUGACAUUGGGAUUCGUUUACUCCAAGUGGGCAAAUGAAAAAUAUGCAACAUAGUAUAAAGGAAAUAAAGUAAAAUAAGCAUUAAAGUAAUAAAAGAAAUAAAACAAAAUUUAAAACAAGAAAUAGAAGUUCUUUAAAGAUUGAGACGUUCUGUGUUGCCACCAUAAAAGAACCUCUAGCUAGUUCUCGGCACCUUGAUCCGAUGUUUGUUUUUCUGUUGAUGUAUUUGAACCGGCCGCUUUGGUUUAUUCAAAUUAUUUUGUCUUAUUUUUUACCGUCGUGAAAUCCACAUUGUCAGUCAUUUAGUACCAAAUCCGAGCCAACCCCAAACUUUUUUUGAGGUAUUAUUGCCUCAAGCUUCCUCCUCUCCCUGUUAUAUGAGGCUUUGGUUACUCGAGCCUUGUUGCUAUUUUCGAAUGAGAAUGAGUCAAACUCCUCGACUUUUUUAGUUGGAACCUUUUCUGCUAUUGCCAGAAAGUGUAUUAACUCUUCUGCACUUUCAUUCAAUAUCGGUUUAACCUCUAUGUUAGUGUUUAAUUCAUCUUUUACUUAUACCUCUAUGGUUAGAUCUAUUACUAUGUGAAUUGGAUCAGAUACCAUUUCAACUAUGUUCAACUCAUCCCCAUAAUCUUUAGUUCUAAGCUCAAGUUGAAUCUCAUCAUGGCUAUCGGUAAUACUAAGGUUCUCAUAAUCCAAGUUUUAAAGGUCAAACAUGUCCUCUUUGAGGUAGCACUUCGGAUAUUUUUUUCAUCAUUUGCACCAUCAUGUUUGACAUGUUUGAUAGGACCUUACAGUUGACCAUCCUUGUGGUUUCACAUGGAAACAUCUCAGAUGAAUCACAAUGAGGCUUGUCCGAAUGUUUGGGCAUAUCAUGUUCUUCAAGUGUUAGAAAUUGUAGGUUGCAAAUUCAUAAUUACUUAUAAGCACUUAUUAGAAUGUGAUGAUUUACUCAAAAGAUACAUUUGAUUCCAUGAGACAUGUUUUUCUAAGAAGUAUGUCCAAUUGAAAUCAGACAUAAAGGAUUGUGACUCUUAAAAAUAGUGUCUAUUGGGUGUAUAUAAAUAGAGGGUCUAUGGUGCUCAUAAAUUACAAUUACAAUCAAUCCUAUUUUUAAAAAAUUAAAGUAAGAGUUAGGGAAUUCCUUGAUUUUUCUAAUCAAAGGAAAUUCAAAAACUUCAUUGUAUCCUGGGAGGACCUUUGUCUUAACCCUUUAGUAACUUUGUGUGGGGGCAAAUAGUUCAUUUUAGAACGCAUCACCCACUCCUAGAAGUCUACUAUUUAUUUCAAUAUCUUCUCCACUCUAUAUAUCUAACAAUCAAAGAGAAAUACUUUGGAGAUGGCGAUGGAGGCUACCACACAUUCAAAGUAACGAACUAAGAGUUUGUGAAACUUGACCGAUUUGAUGGUUCAAACUUCAAUCGUUGAAAGGACAAGAUGUUGUUCGUUCUUACUAUCUUAAAUGUGGCAUACGCUCUGAAUCUGAACCUACAACCCGUGGAGGACCCUACCCUCAAUGCAAACCCCGAGGAAAUUACGAAAGUGGCCGAACUAAAGAAGAAGCAUGAAGAAGAAAAUUUCACAUGUCAAUGACACAUUCUCAACACCUUGUCUAAUCGAUUGUAUGAUCUCUACAUGUCGAAGUAAUCCCUGGUGGAAAUAUGGAAAGCUCUUGAAGAAAAAUACAACACUAAGCGGUAAGGUACUGAUAAAUUUUUAAUAAUGAAGUAUUUUGAAUUCUAAAUGCUCGAUAGUAUCCUGAUCAUAGAUCAAGUCCAUGAAUUAUAAGUCCUUGUAAGUAGGCUUCAUGACUUGAAAUUUGUUAUUUUGGAACUGUUACAAGUCAUCUUGAAGUUCCCCUUGUCUUGGAACAAUUAUCGAAAGAAACUUCAGCGUAUGGCAGAGGACUUCACUGUGGAGAAAAUACUUAGGCAUUUGAUAUUGAAGAAGAAAGUCAGAAGCGUGAUGCGGUGUAUCUUUCCCCAAUUUCUAAAGUGAACCAUAUGAGUGACUCCAAGAACUCUCGAAAUGGUAAGCGAAAGGCCACAUCCGAGGCCAAUGACAUGCAAGACAAGAAGAAAAAAAUCUCGCAAUUGUUAUAAUUGCAAUAGGAAAGGACAUUAUAUUAAGGAUUGCAAACUUCUCAAAAAGAAGCAAGAUGCCACAAAUUCUAAAGCCAACAUGGUGGCAGACAUGGACUUAAUGGCCAUGGUUACGGAAAGGAUCGAUAGUUUGGAGAUUGUUAUGAUUACUGAACUCAACAUAGCCAUGACUGAUAAGUCUUGUAAUUGGUGGCUCGACUCUAGAGCUACCAUCCAUGUGUGUAAUGACCGACAACAAUUCAAGAGUUAUGAACUAGUAGCAAACCGUGAAGUGCUUAUAGGCAACUAUCAAUCGAUUAAGGUACUCGAUCAAGAGACGGUGGAACUCAACUUCACAUCUGAGAAAAAAUUGACUUUGACCAAUGUGUUGCAUGUUCCUGAUAUGAGAAAGAAUUUAGUGUCCACGGCUAUUCUGUGUAAUAAGGGGUUCAAGAUUAUCUUAGAAUCUGAUAAGUUUGUCUUGCUUUAGUGUCCGCGAGGGUAUGUUCAUGUUGAGCAUUGAUAUGAAUAAAGUUAAUUUUUUUGCGUAUAUUGUUGAAUCUAAUCCUUUGUGGCAUGCGCGUUUAGCACAUUUUAAUUUUAAAACUUUACAAUAUAUGCAAAACAAUGGUUAUAUAAGUCUAAGUAAUGAUGAGUUUGUGGAGAAAUGUGAAAUUUCUAUUCAAUCAAAAAUUACCAAAAAUUGGUGUCCUAAUAAGUAUGAAAGGAAUUCACAAGUGUUAGAUUUAAUUCAUUUAGAUGUUUGUGAAUUAAAUGAAACUCUAACAAAAGGUGGAAAAUGAUAUUUUAUCACUUUUAUAGACGACUUCUCUAGAUUUACUUAUGUGUAUCUCAUGAGAAGUGAAGAUGAGGCGUUUGAUAUGUUUAAACAUUUUAAAAGUGAGGUUGAGAAUUUGUUUAGUUAGAAAAUCAAAGUGCUUCGUAGUUAUAGAGAUGGUAAAUUUUUCAAAUGAACUUAAUAUAUUUUGUGAGGAACAAGGUGUGGCACAUGAGUGUUUUGUGCCUUAUACUCUGCCAACAAAAUGGUUUGGUAGAAAGAAAGAAUCGUACUUUAGUAGAUAUGGUUAACUCGAUGUUGUUAAAUGCUAAACUUCCAUAUAAUCUAUGGGGUGAAGCAUUAUUGACUAUAUGUUAUAUUCUUAACAGAAUACUGUAGAAAAAAUUCAAAGUAUCUCCAUAUGAGUUAGGGAAGAGUCAGAUGCCAAACUUAGAUUAUUUCAAAGUGUAGGGGUGUUUGGCUUACUAUAGAGUUCUAGACCAACGGAGAACAAAGUUAGGUCUAAGAGCCAUCAAGGGUGAAUUCAUUGGAUCUGCCCAACACUCUAAGGCUUAUCGUGUUCUUGACUUAGUGUCAAAUACAAUAAUUAAAACAAGAGAUGUCGUAUUCAUUGAAAAUAAGGUUUUUAAUGAUUCAAAAGAUUCAGAAAAAGAAUAUCAACCAAUGAUCUCAAGUGAUCAAACCAAAAAAAUUCUUUGUGACAAUAAGGAUAUGGAGCCGAGGAAAAGUCAAAAAGUGUGAAAAGUAAAGAACUUUGGUCCUGAUUUCAUUUCCUCGCAAUCUCUAGCAUUACUUGUUAAGGGAAAUAAAGAAUCUGUAAUUAGGAAGAUUGUAACGUUGAGGUUGGUGCAAGUGUACACAGUCAUUAUCGAGUAAUGAGUAAGUAUCGAGUUAUCGUCUCCAUAGGGAUUGUAUUUGUGCUAAGUCACUUAAUUUGUAGAAUUAUAUUAACAAUUUGGUAAAUAAAAACACAAUAUAGUUGAGAAGUGGUGAUUAAAAUAUAUUAAACUAAAUGCAAUGAUCCCUAAUGCAAAUUAUCCUAAGUAUGCAAACUAUAUGAAUGAAAUAGAUUUUAGUAAAAUUAAACACAAUUUACAACAAUUAUAACAUAAAUAAACUAGGACAAUUACUUUUAUUAAACUCAAUUUAUUAUCAACAUGCUUAAUAACAUUCGGAAAAACAUUCCAUGACAACUCGAUCUUUCAUGAGUUUGGAAACCACAUUAGGUCCUUUCGGAAUCCUUUACUUAGUAAAUACACAUUUUACUGAUCCUUAUUUACUAAGGGUUUCUUGGCAUUCGUGUGAGGUAACAGGGACGUGUUAGGUUUGAAACAAUUUAAUCACACAAAUCUAAAAACUAUGUAGAUAAUAGAGCUUGGUUAGAGUUGUUAUGCAACCUACAAUUCAAUCGGGUUAGGAUCUAAAUUGAGCAUGCACAUUUCAAUGAUGCGUCCAUUACCCGUCAUCUGGUUAGGAUCGCUCAGCUAAUUCAGGUGCAUUUCAAUCACGUAUGAAUGAAAUACAAAGUUGAUUUUAAUUGAAAACAUGAUCGAUUGAGGCACAAACAUUAUAAGCAUGAAUCAAAUAAAUAUUAUUUAAUAAAAAUAAUCAUCCUAGUUUAAAUAAAAUUAAGCUAUCAUUAUUGUAAACAAGAACAAAGAACACAUAGCAAAUAUCUUUAAAUUAAAUUUAAAGAAAAGGAAGAUUAAACCCAAUUCAGAGUGGAUGUCACCCAAGACUAUGACUAACGAGGCUCAUUCGCUUCUUUGCAUUUCUCCUUUGCUGAUGGCUUUCCAAGGUGGCCGACCAAGGGUUAUUUAAGAGGCUCAAUUGCUAAAAUCCUUAUGCAAGGAUGAUGAAGGGGAAAGAUAUCUAAAAGAGUUGAGAGAAUGAUGAAUGAGUGAGAGAUGAUGGGAUGAGGGAUGAUUGAAAAAGUAAGAAAUGAGCUUUUAUUUAUACGUGAGGCAAGGGAACUAGUUUGCUAAAAAUAGGUGUGUCAAUCCUUUGAAACUUCCUCCAAGAGUGGCCGGCCAUGAAUUGAGGAAAGGUGGCUGAUUUUUCCUUCAUUUUUGGUCAAUUUGAAUGCCACAACAACUCAGGACUAAGACUUGGUUAUCAGUAAAUCUUCGGGAAAAUCUCCGAUUUCUUUAACUCUUCAAGGACUUUGUAUAAUUAAACCAAAAAAUGGUUUAUGACAUCCAUGUGCAGCCAAAAAUUGGGUUGACUUGAUCCCCAAUUUGGACGAUUUUGCAAUUAGAAGUAAACUCUCAGACUUGUCCAAAAAUAGUAGAUAGUUUAGAGGACCAAAUAAUAUAAUUUAACCACUUUAAUUAAUCAAUUUACCUAAUUAACUAAAACCCAAUUUAUUAAUGAAUUAUUAAAAAUGAACUAUUAAACAUAACUUUAUAUUUUAUUAUUUAAUUUAAUCAUGCAUGGCCCACUUUAUAGCUUAAAAAUAUAAUAUGCUCAAAUUAAUAUAAAAUAAGCCAUUUUAUGCAUGAAAACUAUAUAAUAAAGUAUAAAAUCACAUUCUAAUAAUUUCUAUGUCCUAAUUUCAUAUUUUCUCAUUUUUUAUUAAUUUAUUAAACAAUUACUUGGUUUUAACAACAAAUUUAAGUAAAAAUGUGAUGAAUUAUAUAGGAAAAAUCCUAUAUAUUUUUCAGUUUACAAAGAUCCCCAUAAUGUUUAAUGUGGAUGGUGAUUCACAAUCUUAUGGUGAAACCAUGACUUUUAGGGAUGCAAGAUUUUGGAAAGAGGCGAUCAAUGAUGAAAUGGAUUCAAUAUUAGCCAAUAAUACUUGGAUUUCUAGUUGAUCUUCCUCAAGGAUCGAAGCCUAUCGGGUGUAAAUGGGUGUUUAAAAGGAAAAAUACUCCAACAGGGGGUUCUUCUAGCUUUAAGUCUAGGUUGGUGGCUAAAGGAUUUAGGCAAAAGGAAGGCCUAGACUAUUUUCACACUUAUGCACCAAUGGCUAGGAUGACCUCCAUUCAAAUUCUUAUAACAUUUGUAUCUAUCCAUAAGUUACAUAUACAUAAAAUGGAUGUUAAGAUAACUUUUUUAAAUGGUGAUCUCGAAGAGGAAAUCUACAUGGAGCAACUAGAAGGCUUUGCUCUUCCUAGGAAUGAACAUAAGGUGUGUAAGUUUAUCAAGUCAUUAUAUGUUUUAAAACAAGCACCUAAACAGUGGCAUGAGAAAUUUGACUCGAUUAUCUUGUCAUAUGGUUUUUUAAAUAAUGGUGCAGCUAAAUGUAUUUACACUAAAUUCAGCAAUAGAUAUGGUGUAAUUAUUUGUUUUUAUGUAGAUGACUUAUUGAUUUUUGGUAUGAACAUGGAAGGUGUUCGUGAGACCAAAGAGUAUUUAGCCUCGAAUUUUAAGAUAAAGGAUCUCAACGAGGGAGAUACAUUUCUAGGUAUAAAGGUGAAAAAGCAUGAAAAGGGCUUUGUACUAAGCCAAUCUCACUAAAUCGAGAAAGUAUUGGAAAAGUUUAAACACUUGAAUAUGAAGGAUUUGAACACGCUAUACGAUUGGAACUUCAAGUUAAGUGAGAAUAAGGGUAAGGUUAUAGUGCAACUUGAGUAUGCCAACACAAUCGGAAGUCUAAUGUAUGCAAUGCAUUCCACUAGACACGAUAUCGCAUUUGUUGUGUGCCAAUUGGCGAGAUUUACAAAUUGUCCUAGUACCAAUCAUAGGAAAGGAAUUUGUAGGAUUUUUCGCCAUCUUAAGAAAAUAAAAAAUUUAGGAUAAUUCUAUAGUGAUUAUCUCGCGGUACUAGAAGGUUACUCGGAUGCAAGUUGGAUUACAAGUCUAACUGACAAUAAGUCCACAUCGGGAAGGAUUUUUACAAUCAGAGGUGGAGCCAUUAGUUGGGCCUCCAAACAAAAACAAACAUCUCACAUUCAGCUAUGGAGGCUGAAUAGCGGAAUGGCUAAGAGAUCUUUUGCUAGAUAUAAAGUUAUGGCCACAACGUAAGUUCGCCAUUUUCGUAUAUUGCAAUAGUGAAUCUACCAUGUCUCAAGCAUAGAAUAAGGUGUAUAAUGGAAAGUCUAGACAUAUAAGUUUGAGACAUGAGUAUGUCAGACAAUUGAUUAGUGAUGGUGUGAUAACUGUUACCUAUGUUAAGUCAGUUGACAAUUUAGUGGAUCCAUUGAAAAAAAGUUUUUCAAGAGAUUUGGUUAAGAGUACCACCACUAAGAUGGGAUUAAAACCAUUCUAAUCGCUUCAUUGAUAAUGGAAACCCUACCUUAUUCUAGCUAAAAGUUAGUUUCGAGGUUCAAAGGGUAAUAACAAGUUAUUGAAUGACAACGUGAACUAAGGAUCAAGAUUUAAUGUUUACAUUAUAGGAGGAUAAGUUUUACUCUUAAUAGAUUGACAUUAAUUGUCAUGAAAUCCACCAAUAUGGACAUGAAGUGGUGUCGCUUCAACGAGAUUUUCUUUAUGGUUUUCUCUCAUACAUGUUCAUGAAACGGGAUGAGCACAUGGCCAUAACGGUGCUAAAGCAAAUUAAACUCUUACUCUAAUACUUUACGGUUAUGUGUGAAAUUUUUCCAGUACUGACUUUAAGAAUGAUGGUCCAAGCAACUAGCCACCAUUUACUUUGUUGAUAUUUUGAAGAGUUUGCACUAAAGGAAGGUUCAAUCUAUGGACACCUUUCUUUAUGCAUAAUCGUUGUGUACUUAUUUUUUGGAAUUAGCAAUCUAUUUGGGGACUGUAAGAAAUUGUAGAUUGCAAAUACAUAAUUAUUCAUGAGCACUUAUUAGAAAGUGAUGAUUUAUUCAAAAGAUACAUUUGAUCCAUGAGACAUGUUUCUCUAAGAAGUAUGUCCAAUAGAAAUCAAACAUAAAGGAUUGUGACUCUUUAAAAUAGUGUCUAUUGAGUGUAUAUAAAUAAAAGGUCAAUGGUUCUCACAAAUUACAAUCACAAUCAAUCUUAUCUUUUUAGAAAUUAAAGUAAGAGUCAGGGAAUUCCUUGAUUUGCUAAUCAAAGGAAAUUCAAAAACUUCGUUCUAUCUCGGGAAGAACUUUGUCUUAACCCUUUAGCAACUUUGUAUGGGGGCAAAUAGUUCUCUUUGGAAAGCAUCACCAGCGCCUCGAAGUCUACUAUUUAUUUCAAUAUCGUCUUCGGAUUUUUCUUCUCCACUCUAUAUAUCUAACAACAAGUGCCUCAUACAAAUUACUAGUGAACUCAUGUGGAUGUUCAACUAUAUUAGUCCCUUGAUCAUUACUCCACUAGUGCAUUGAGGCUUCGUUUCCACACUGGCUUAGCUCUAUAAUGAAAAUUCUUUUAUUCUCCGUAAUUUCUAAUUCUUUAUAUACUCCCUCUUCAAAUAUUUUGUCAUCAAAAAUUAUCUCAUCGUUAAACCACAUGUAAUUAGUUUCAUCCAUAAUUAAAUGGUUUUUCAAGAUUAAUCUCUAUGGAUUAGUGAAUAACUAAAUAGAUGUUCCUUUCCACUAAAGCAUAUACUGAAAUUAACAAAGAAAAAGAAAGAAGUUAGUAAACUAAAUUAAUAAAUUUCAAAUUACAAAUUGUAUCUAUAAUUCAAAUAUUUCCUAAUUAUUCUAUUAAAACGUAAAAAUUACAUUAAAUUUAGUAAUGUUGCCUUCACAGCAACGACGCCAACAACUUGACCGCCUUCGGACGUACCAACAUCUAGAGUAUGAGUACUACAACUAAAAGAUAUGGAAUUAAGGUAGUGUUCGCAAGUAUACAGGUUAGGUUGUAAUAUAGUUACAACGAAGCAAGUAUGUACUCCGAGGAUCGUACCCAACACAGGCUAGUACUAAAUUAAUGUCAACUUGAACGCAAAUAGAAGUAAUUAGUAGUUUAAAUAAAUUAUAGUACAAUAAAACAUAAAAGAAUAUUUUUUGGGAUUUUAUAAAGAAUAAAAUAAAAAUAAAAAAAGGAAAGUGAGAUUCGAAAAUAUAAAUUCUAACUUAAUUAGAUCUAAGUAUGGUUGAUUAGUUUGCUUUGGUGAUCAUAACUAAUUCAUAUUUCGGGUUUCUACUCAACCAACUAGUCGCUACCCUAGAAGGAUCUCUCGAUCUUCCACUAAACUAAUGAGUCGACUAGAACUACUUAUCUCUCAACCUCACAAUUCAAACCGAUUCGGGGUAAAGGUGUUCACAAUAGGCCAUACCAAUUUUGGGUUAAUUCCUACCUGAAUGACUUUCUAAGGUCAUGCCUAGGUUUUAAGUUCUUUCUCUCCCAACCAGUUGCUCCACUAAGAAAACCCUACAUAACAAUUAAUUAAUCACACCUCCACCACAAAUCCCCCAUAAAAGAUUUAGCUCCUUAUGGAUCUCAUGAACACAGUAAUCUUGAUAAUAAAGAUAAGCAUGAAUAAUGAAUCAAGAUAAAGGUUAAAGAGAAUCCUGAAUUGUAUUGAUUGAAAUGCAGAAUCCACAGUAGUUUGAUCACAAUUACAACUCAAGUUCUUCGACAAAUACGAAAUAGAACAGAACUGAAAUAAACCUAACGCCUAAAAGAAAAUAAAAACUAGAGACUAAAUUUACAAAGAAAAUGUUAGAAUUUAAAAUAUGUCCUAAACAAGUGUUUUAAGAGCCUAUUUAUAGAGUUAGGGUUGUCGUCGUCCUCAACCCUAGGUUAGUUGAUGUUCUCCUGUUUUAAUUUCCAUUGUGCGGGCCAAAAUGCCUUUGGCUCGUUAAUACUUCCUGUAAAGGACUGAUGUCACGACACCCUAGUUCCUGUUUCAUGACAUUGAAGGCAAUAUGCAUGGUUCAAGGCUAACUACAGCGAUGUGUCGUGACAUCCCUUAGCUAUGUUAUGACAUCCAAGGUAGUACAAUUGUAACACCCCAAACCCGGCCUCGAAGUUAUGGCCGAAUCUAGCGGUGUCACAUUGAGGUGUUUAGUGAAAAUUGAACUCGUUGGUAAAAAUUCGUUUCUAGGUUUAAAAACCCCUUUAUUAUUAUUUAACAAAUCAUCUAGUAAAAAACGUUUACCUUGUUAUCUGCUAUUGUGAUAAAAGUUUGAUCUAAAAUCGCAGAAGCUUUUGAAAACUCUAAUGUUUAAAUUUCGUGUCUUUAAAAACAGUAAUUAUUUUGAAAAUUCAUCUUCUGCUAAACUAGAAGUUUAAAAUAAGUAAGCAAAAUCCCAAUUAAAAAUUUAAACAAACAUAAAUGGCCUUAUUACAAAAACAAAACCCAACAUAAACUUUAAAUUUAUUUAAAAACAAUAUAGAUCAGUUGCAGUUGUGUGGCCACCUCCGAGUCCCUCACAGCACCAAAUCGCCUAUAGCUGAGGAUUACCUGUACAGUAAAAAGGAAAGGGUGAGUUUAUGAAACUCAUUGUGUAAUCCCUUACCAAACAGUUAGCAUACAACAUUCAGUAACAGUCUGGGCUUGAGCCCUAAACAGUAAUAGUACAGUGUGGGCCUUAGCCCAUUACAGUAACAAUAUGUGGGCCUUAGCCCAAUAUAGUAACAAUGUGUGGGCCUUAGCCCAAUACAGUAACAGUGUGAGCCUUAGCCCAAUACAGUAAUCAAUACAAUGCAGUAAUGCAACCCAUCCCAAUCCAACUAACAUACCACUCCGUACCACCAACACACCAUGUGGGGAUAAAAUCGACCCACCCAGCCAACACACCAAUAUCGCAGCAAAGCUGCCAGUAACAGUAUCGCAGCAAAGCUGUCAGUAACUAUAUCGCAGUAAAGCUGCUAGUAACAGUAUACUUCCUCCAUAACAGUAUCCCAACCCCAUACAGUAUGUCAUGUCAUAAAUCAUAUGUGUAUGCUAAAUGUCAUACUCAUUCAUAGUCAUACAUAUCAUAGAGCAAAUCAGUUAUACAUAACAUAAGGCCAUAUCAAUCAUUUCAUCUCCUAGGGGUAUAACAAUCAUUAUUUUACCCUAUGGGGGUAAUUUGUUCAUUUUACCCUAUGGGGGUAAUUUGUUCAUUUUACCCUACGAGGGUAAUUCAGUCAUUUUACCCUACGAGAUAAUUCAGUUAUUUUAUCCUACGGGGGUAAUUCGAUCAUUUUACCCUACGGGGGUAACUCGAUCAUUUUACCUUAUAGAGGUAAUUUGGUCAUUUUACCCUACGGGGUAAUUUAGUCAUUUUACCCUACGAGGGUAAUUCAAUCAUUUUAUCCUUCGACGGUAUUUAAGUUAUUUAACCCUAUGGGGGUAUUUCAGUCAUUUUACCCUUCGAGGGUAUUUUGAUCAUUUUACCCUUCGGGGGUAUUUUGAUCAUUUUAACUUAUGAGGGUAUUUCGGUCAUUUUACCCUAUGGGGGUAUUUUAAUCAUUCUAUCCUAUGGGGGUAUUUCGAUCAUUCUACCCUAUGGGGGUAUUUCGGUCAUUCUACCUUAUGGGGUAUUUCCGUCAUUUUACCCUAUGAGGGUAUUUCAGUCAUUUCACCUUAUGGGGGUAUUUCGGUUAUUCUACCCAAUGGGGGUAUUUCGAUCAUUCUACCUUAUGGGGUAUUUAAGUCAUUCUACCCUAUGAGGGUAUUUCGGUCAUUUUACCCUAUGGGGGUAUUUCGAUCAUUUUACCCUAUGGGGGUAUUUCGGUCUUUCUACCCUAUAGGGGUAUUUCGGUCACUUUACCCUAUCAGGAUAUUUUGGUCAUUUUAACUAUUUUGGGUUCUCGAUGCAGAUAUCGACCACCCAGAAUUCCUUCCAGGGCCUGCUGAAUUAUUUUUAUAGAUUCCGUCAUUUCACUAAUUCGGACUAAAUAACGAGCUAAUGAAUCUCCUUCUUUUUGCCACUGGAUUUCCCAAUCAAAUUCUUCGUAACACUCAUAAUGAUAAACUUUCUGAAGAUCCUAUUUGAUUCCAGAUGCUCGUAGCAUUAGGCCGAAUAAACCCAAUUUAUUGCUUCUUCUCCACCAAUAACGCCUAUCCCUUAAACUCGUUCUAAAAAAAUAAGAUUUCACGUAAUAAUUUUUUGAUAUUCAAUGAUUCCUGUUAAAAAUAAUCAAAGAAAUCCAAACAUUUAUCUAUCCAGCCGUAAGGUAGAUCGGCCGCCACUCCUCCGAUACGAAAAUAAUUAUGCAUCAUCCUCAUACCGGUGGCAGCUUCGAAUAGAUCAUAUACUAAUUCUCUUUCUCUGAAAAUAUAGAAAAAGGGGGUCUGUGCACCAAUAUCUGCCAUAAAAGGUCCAAGCCAUAAUAGAUGAGAAGCUAUAUGACUCAACUCCAACAUAAUUACUCUGAUAUAGCUGGCCCUUUUAGGGACUUGAAUAUUCCCCAACUAUUCUGGUCCAUUUACGGUUAUUGAUUCCGUGAACAUAGUGGCUAAAUAAUCCCAACGCGUUACAUACGGCAAAUAUUGUAUAAUUGUUCAGUUUUCUGCAAUUUUUUCCAUUCCUUUGUGUAAAUAACCUAAUAUUGGUUCAUAGUCAACAACAUCUUCACCAUCUAGAGUAACGAUGAGACGAAGAACACCAUGUAUUGAUGGGUGGUGAGGCCCCAUAUUGACUAUCAUAAGGUAUUUUUCUGUAGCUGAUAGAUUCAUAAGUUUUUCCUCGAUUCAUUCUUACAUGAAUUGUUGAAAACGAAAACAAGUACAUCAAAAUGAAAAUUUAAUAAAUCGACUAAUUCAAAAUUUGCAAAUUAACGAUUUUUUGAUUCCCGAAUAUCCAACUCACCAAUUAAUUCUUUAUAACAUAUUUUAUUUGUCUCGAAAGGUCCACAAUCUCCUUGACCGACUCAGGUAACCUAAAUGGUCAUAAUAGUGUAAAUGGGCCCAAGGCCCAUUACUCAGCCCAAGUGAGCCCACACACUUGUGUGGCCCGUUCAACCCAGAUUUCGCCACGGCUAUGAGAUCUACUUAGCCCAGACCAGUAUUUGCCACAAAUCAAUGAUCAUAGCACCCUUGGUUCCCAGGAAAUGUGCCAAUCAACCUCGACCACCACCAGUUAGGAAUGAAAGCAAUGCAGGUUGGAGAGAGCGACGAAAACCUUGAAAACCUCGCCGAUCUCCCAUCGAGAACAAGGAACAAAUGAGAUGAUAUAUAUCUCUCCACAAUAACAACCUCCCCAAAUCCCAAUAUUCUCUCCUCAAAUCUCUCCAAGUAUCCCUCCUUAAUUCUCUCUAUGACCAGUUCAAACUCCAUUUAGCAGUAUUUCAAUCCAACUCUACCACCCACACGAAUUAGGCAGCAAAAUAAAUAUUCCCUUUCUGAUACGCCACCACUCAAACCUUAGACCCCAUGUACACUCCAUACGCCCCUUACCACUAGACCAACAACUCAUUUGUAUCAUAUUUUAACCACAAUAAUUUAAGAACCUACUAUCUAGAUCCAAGGAUUUUAUUCACUUAAAACAAAAAAUUUUGCAUAAGCCAAGGCUUGAACCCCUGACUUCUCAGACACUUCCAAACACUCCUAAGUCUUUUAACCACUAAAGUAGAUAUUCAUUUAUGUCACUUCCUUGCACAACUAAAUAUUUGUGUGCAGUCUCCUAACUGUUCCCUUGUUCAAAACCUAUUUCUUCUAGGCCCAAAAUUCGGGGUGUUACAAUAGUGGUUCUGGUCUUCUACUGCCUUUGAAUAGUCUUCUGCACACUUACUAAGUACAUUAGCCCACUUUUAGGCCUCAGCCGGCCCUUAAGGUCAAUAAAAGACUCAAAAUGAACUUUUCAUUGGAUUUAACUAAACUAAGAAAACAUAAGUAAAACAUACUAAAACUUCUCGUAUUCAAGCUCUUCAAGUACAAAAACUAGUUUAAUUAGCUACACCGAAUUACCACAGAUCAGAAACUCCGUGUUGCAGCACCACUGACAAGAUCAAUGAAUAGAGCAAUUUAGCUCUAUGUCGCGACACGACACCUUUAUUUCAUGACAAAACAGUCAGAUUGUCCCAAAUUCUAAAUAUUUCAAGGUGUGUUGCGACAUCAAUCCCUGAUGUCACGACAUCAGUAUCCUGCCAAGGGUGUCAGGACAUAAAACCCCUAUGUUUCAACAUCACUACAAUUUUUUAUAGGGUCGACCUAACCCUCCAUGCAACCCAUUGGUUUUAACACUUGUUUAACCCGAUUUUUAACCUAAAAACACCUACAAAUUUUAAAUCUAAAACACUUUUAACUUGUUUUUAAACUUUCUCUAACUUUAAACUCUCUCUAAAACCUUCCAAACUCUUGAAACUCAAAAACCUUGUUUACUUGUCUUUCUCUUUUGCUACAAAUUUUCUCCUAUUUUUCUUAUGUUUCUAUUUUUUGUAAGACAAAAGCACCACGACAACAAGGAACUUGCAAUGGAUUUUCAAAAAGAAUCACAAGUUCUCAAGCAAGGUUAAGGCUUUCAAAUAGAUUUUUACUAUUUUAUUACAUUAUUUGCUUGAUUUUUGUUAUUUUUUUAGUUAGAAUAUUAUUCAAAAUGCCUCCUAGGAAAUCUAGAAGUACUAGGGAACAAAAACCAUUGAUGGUUGCAAAUCUCUUGAAAUUUCCAAACGAGAAUGUGGAAAAAUAUUUUUUAGAACUAUAAGGAAAGACAUUCAUUCAAGAAUAGGGUUUUGAACCAUCGACGAUUCUUUACAAAGAAAUUUGGCCGUUAGUUUGGUAUCAUAGAUGGGAGAGAUUUUGCGUGACUCCCAAAGAAAAUGCGAUAAUCCUCAUAAUCCAAGAAUUUUAUGCAUUUUUUAAGGAUUAAGAGACAAGGAGACUAUAUACGGCUAUUUGGAAAACCAUAAUAGUACUAGGGAAAGAGGUGCACUCACCUCUUGUGAAAUUUGUGAGUUUUAAAAUAAAAUGUUUUCCUUGAAAACACAAAUUUAACAAGUUUAAAUGACAUAAAUAUGGAUAAUAUAGUGACCUACUUAACUGAAGAGAAGGUUGAGUGGAAUCAUUGACAGCAUACCGGUCUACCGAUCAAUUUUAAUCAAGCAAUAAUGCUCCCUACUAUGAAUGUUUCUAAUGUAAAUACUUUCUAAGCCAUUUUGUUAUAUGGUAAUUUGCAGAAUAAAUAGAUAUGCAUCGGGGAAUGGAGCAUGAAACAUUGUAUCAACGACUAGAAGGUCGGGGUUUUCUUCCCUCACCUAGUGACGACAAUACGCAAAAAGGCUAAAGUUCCAAUAGAAGCGAAUGAACAAUUCACGAAGCCAACGAAAAGCUUAAUAGGUGACUCUACGUAUACAUAGUAUGUCAAGCUCAAGUGGAAAAAAAUAAAGGAUUGGAACCAGCGAAGAAAGCAAAAGAUGGAUGUCCUGGCAUGUCUAAAAAGAAAAAAGGUAUCAAAAGCUCGAAAAAGAAAGUGAAAUUUCGAACAACGAAUGGUUGAUUAGAUGGAUGCAAGAAACAGUCCCAGUUAUUCAAGAAUUUGCAUGGAAAAAUGGUAUGAGAAUACCAAAAUUACCGCCACCCAAAUAUGCCCCAUUCGAUCCCAUAGCAGAUCCAAAGAGUAAUUUUAUAUAUAUAUUGGUUUUGAAUUUUCUAUGUAGGAACCUUUCAUGAAGGAAAAACUACCAUAAGAAUACGUCAAUGUCACAAUCAAUUGGGUAACUUCAUUCCUAAUCUAUUUAAGGGUUGCACAUUAGGGACAAUGUGCUAUCUAAAGUGUGGGGGGUAACAUAGGAAAUUUUAGUUUCAGUUUUACAAUUUUUCAUUUAUUUUUCUUGUCAAAAGUGUGCUUGAGUUUGUAGAAAUGCAAGUGAUUGGUUAAGAGCAUGCAUAUAGGGUGAUUGUAUUUACGAUAAAUUUGGCAUGAUAGUGAAUUAUUUUAAAUUUUUAGUUAUUAGACUACUAAGUUUUAUACAUUACACUGUAAAUAGGCAUUAAGUAAUUGAAUAUACCAAAUGACAGAGAGAAUAUAGGGAAAUGAGCAUGCUAGUAUGUAUGAUAAGUGGCUAAAUUGUGAUUACUUGAUUGAUUAAAUUUAUGAAUAUUGAGAUACCUAGGGAUGACCUAAGACAAUGUUUGGUAUACACCUAGAGCUAAAAAGCCAACCUUAUUCAUGAAUCCUUAAAACCCAUAUUUGAGCUAGAAAACUCUUCUUGAUAAACCUUCAUGCAAAACCAAAGCCAAAAUAUGAACUUGUACUUGCCUUUUUUCUUUGGUCCCUGAAACGCACGAAUUUACACAUCAUGUCAUAUGUAUUGAGGGAUAAGUAGAGACAUCAUGGUGGUUUUGUAAAUAUAACAGUGAAAUAGAAAGGAGAAACGUGAUAUAGUUAUUAUAAGGUUCAGCCAAAAUGUGUAAAACAAAAGAAAAUUUCAGAAAAAAAUCAAAAUGAGUAGAAAAAGUACUUGAACAAUUGAAAACAAAAUCAUUGUGAGUGGGAAUCAUUGGAAAAGUAAAAAAUGACUCCAAAAGUAAAUGUAAGGCCCAAAAAUAGGUCCAGUAGUUUCGAGUAAGUUUACCGAGUUUCGAGUGAAAAUUGGGAAUUAAUUGGGUUAAUUAGCGAUUUAUAUUCUUAAUUAGUUAGCUUAAUUUUAUCUAAAAAUCGUUAAAUAAUAUUUGGAAAAAUAAAAAUAUUUUUAGAAAAAUUAAUUUCGAAAAAUAAAAAUAUUUUUAGAAAAAUUAAUUUUAUGGUUUUAAAUAAUUUUUGGGUAAAAAUAAAUAUUUUGGGUUAAAUUGGAAUAUAAAAAUAAUUUAAAAUUGGGGUUUAAUUAGGUGAUUUAAAAUAUUAAUUAAAUGAGACUAAUUUGAAAAAAAAAAGGGAAAUGUGUAAGAGGUUUUAUAGAAAAUAAAUCAUAUUUUUAGAAUUUUAGAGGAAAAUGAGCAAAUUGUAAAACAAGGGAAAAUGGGGAGUGGCUUGAUGGCAAAUUCCCCAAAUUUUGAAAAUCAGGUGGGGGUUUUAAGUUUUAAAAACUCUGCAACUACCUCACUUUUCACUCAUUUUCACCUGAAUUGAGAGUGCUCUCUCUCUUUCUCUCUCUCUCUCUCUCUCUCUCUCUCUCUCUCUCUCUCUCUUUGCUUAUUUUCAUAAACCAAAUAUCAUAGAAUAGAUUUAAACAUUUUCUCUCCCAAAAUUCUCCCUAAAAUCUCUCAAAAUAAUUUUAAAAGUUGUGCGAAAAAUCAUCCGAAUUUCUUCAAGCAUUUUGAUUCAAACUUCCAAAUCAAUGAUUUGAGUUCAAUUGAAGGUAAUUCACAUCUUUAAACUUUUUUUAAGUUGAUUUCAAUCAUUAUUUGUUAAUUAAAGUGAUUAUAAUGGAUUUUUAACUUUAAUUUCUUCUUCCUUGAACUUGAGGAUCAACAAUGGUGGAUCUUUAAUUUUGAGUUGGAAUCCAAAUAUUAAUAGAUGUGAAAGCUCAAAAUAGGUCUAAUAAGAGGUUUUUAAUCUUAAACCAAAAGAUCAAACAUGUUUUAUGGAUCAAUUUUGAUAAACUCGAAUUUGAUGAAGAACAUAGAUGAUUUUUUCGAAAAAUUAUGAAACCGAUUAAAUGAUGAAAUUAAUACUUAAAAUACAUGUUAUUGGACUAGGAAUGAAGAUUAGAAGUGGUUUGAGGUGCUGAAAAGGGAGUUUAGUUGAGGAAUUCCACAUUUCGACUUAGUUUUCAACAUCGGUAAGGGAGUUUAGAGCAAUGAUCUAGAUUCAUAUUCUUUAUCAAAUUUCAUUUUUCUUGUUAUUAUUCUUAGUUUGUAAUGCAUAAUUUAUCUCUAUUAAAACUCCACAUCAAGAGGAGGAACAUGCAAAUCAGAAUUGAAGCUCAAACUUGCUUGUUUGAACACUUUGUUUUUUGCUUAAAGAGUUAAGUGUGGAGGUGAGUGAUAUUGAGAGAAAUUUGGUAAAUUGGCCUGAUUAUGUGUUAAAUUAAAGGUUUAAUUGGUUUUAUUAAUGACUUAACUACAUAUUGGAUGGUUGGAUUUGCAAAAAUAUGUUUUAUUUUAUAAAAGAGCAAAAUGGCAAUUGGUUUCGUAAGUUGUGUAUUAUGCUUUUAGCAUGAUUAAAUUUUAUAGAAUAAAUUGAUAUUUGGAGCAUGAAUUGUUGAUUUAUUGAACAUUUGAUAAAUGUGUUCAAUUGGUAUAUGAAUAUUGGGAAAAUGAUAUUUGCCAUGAUUAAUUUUAUUGAUGUUAAAAUUGCUUAGCGACAUGCUUUUUCUUGCAUUUUAACAUCCUAAAUUAAGUGAUUAAACAAUAGAUUUGAUGCCUUGUAUGUAUGAUUAUAUUGGCAACAUUGCAUGGUGAUCCAUUAGAUAUAGUUGGCACGCCAUAUUUGUGAGUACUCACCAUUAUUUGUGAUAUUGUGAGCCUAUGGCUCUUGGUGGAUUGAUUUGUUUGGAGUAGAUAAGAGAGUGUUGAGCUUGAGUCUUCACUCACCAGGUUAUUUGAAGCGCUAUAAAGGAGCAUGUGGCUUUGGCCCACUCAAUUCGGAGGACUUUAUUUGAUUUAUAGGAGUUCGGAGAUGCGUUUAUCCAAUAUAUGAUCACACGUUUACUUAUUGUCAUGGAUGUAUUAUGUCAAUAUAAUUGAUUGAUUGUGCCAAUAUAAUUGAAUUUUUAUGUGUUAAAAGAUGCUUUUAUAUGCCAUGAAAAAAAAUUAUUCUUAAUUAUUGAAAUAGUAUGUGAUGUUAUGGUGAAAUAUUAACAUGUUGUGACUGAAAAUUUAAUGCUUAAUUGCUUUGAUUUAUGCCUGAUUGGGUACAAAUUACUUGAUGUUUUUACUAUCAUUCAUUGAGCUUUUUAAGCUCACACCCUCACAUUACGUGCAGAGAAUUUUCGGGCGUAAGGAGUCGAGAAGCGAGUGCAAGGGCAAUCCAAGAAUAAGGCUUGGCAGUGGCUUAAAAAUUUUACUUUAGAGACUAUAUAGGGGCAUUGUGAUGCUUUUGGGACUAGUGUUAUUUUACUUGUAAUGAACAUUGGACACUAAAUUUUGGACUUUAAUUUUGGUGAUUUUAUAAUUGCUUUAAUACAUGAUUUUAUGUCUCAUUGAUGUUUGAUUUAUGGUAUGUUGAUGAGUGUUCGUACGGUGGUUGAUAACACGAUGAAUGAAGCAUGUAUUUUGUACUAACAAUGUUUAAUUGAAGCUUACCAUGGAGUGGAUUGCUUGCGACUAAGGUAUGUAGCUUGUGUGGAUUAAUUGGUGUUUGCUAAGCGUGUAAUUGGGUGUUAAAUUUUGAUUAUUGCAUAUGUGUUGUAAAUAAAUUAAAUUGGAGACGUGUGGAUGUUUAUGGUGAUUAAUUGUAACUAUUUCAAGUUUAAUGUGCAAGUAAAAUAUGUAAAAUUGGGUAAUUAAAAUGGAUUUUAAACAAAAUAGGUGCAGUGGUUUGCACACGGGCGUGUGUCUUUUCACACGGGAAUGUGGGUUUUGGGGGGUUUAAUUUUUGGUUUUUGUAAUCUAGUAUUCUAAUUUGCUUAAUUUAUAAUUUAGUCCUAAAACUUGAUUAGAUUAAUUAAAGCCUUUGAUGAUAGGUAAACUUGGUAAUAUUUUAGACUUGCAACUAUUAAUAUUUGGUAGAAACAAUCUUAAUUUUUAAUUUGAAAAUGUACUAAAAGUUUGUGAAAGUUACGAUUUAGUCCCUAAUAAUAAAACCUAAAUUAGAUAUAGUAAAUGAACUUGAAUUAAGUUGAAAUUUUUAAGGCUUGCAUAAUUUGACUAAAAGAAGGUAGAUAACUAUUUAGAAAUAAAAUCAAGAUAGUUUAACCUUAGGUGGUAAAAUAACCAAAAUACCCAUAUGUUUAAAUAUUUAGAAAAAGUUUUAAAAUGGUUCACAAAUUGCAUCCGUAUUAAUAAAUGAUAGUUAAUUAGUCAUAAAUGAGGUAUUAUAAGGUUGAGGUGCACGUCGGGUGGUCGUCAGCUAGAGAGUCAAUUCGGUGGCUAAUGUAAUGCUUCGAAUUCGGGUCGGUCCAUCCCAGUCGGGUUUGGGGUGUCACAAUAAAAGUCACAAAAUUAGAAACCUCAACAAUUAGUGCACAAAAAUUUGUGAGCUAACCAUAGUUGCUUUAUUAUACCGUGACUUGCUAUAUGGAGAAAUAAGGAAAGUAAAAGAAUGAGAAAUAAGGUGGUGAGCAGGCAAGGGAUAUUAAGGGGAAGAAUACGGAACAAUGGAUGUGCCAAACUACUUUUGUGCUUGAAAUUGUUUUGAUGCCCUUUUUAUUAAAUUUCAUACCAACCUUAAGCUUUAGAACGUUACAAGUCGAAAAGUCCUAUGUGACGUUGAUAAAUCUAUUCAUGAAUGGACAUUAUAUCAAGUAAUUGCAAUAAUGGUUGUUUGUAUUCUGUUAGUAUAAUCAAAUUACAUGUAUGAUUUAGCAAUGGAUCCAUAUAUUUAAGGACCUUAUUGUUUAUAUAUUUUGUAAUAUACUGAAUUUAGGUGUUUGAAGUUGAGAAUGUUAAGCCAUUGAUGUUGGAUUGUCAGUAUGCCCUGUGACGCAACGAAAAAUUUAUUCCGAUGAUCACCAUCAAAGGAUCAAAGUACGAGGAAUGAAUCGGGUUGAAACAUAAUUGGAAAUAUACCUUUAGCAAUCUAAUUUCCUUUGUGGUGUCGAUUCCAAGCCGUAACAGAAUCAUUUUGGCAUCUACGUAAUCCACUCAAUCAAGCAUGAACAAUAAAACUCUUUGAACUUUUCAGAGAGAAUUUAGAUUGGCUGCUAGACCUCUUGAAUUUUUCCUUACUUCUCAAUCGCAUCAUCAGGGAUCUUUUUCCUUUUAUUAAUUACCUAUAAUAAAAACGGAAUAAUUCUCUUUUACUUCUAGAGAAAAUCAUGGAAGGUAUUAAAGUUUUCUUCUGUCCAAAAGAAUAUUAACUUCCAUAAAUAUUAACUCUGGAAAAUAGUUGCGAAUCGUAUUCACUAGGCGAUAUGUUAGUCAGGCGAUAUAGUCCGCUAGACGAUACUGUCCACCAGGCGAUAUUGUCUGCCAAAGAUGUAUAUAGGAAGGUAUAUGGCCAACAUUUUGUAUGAAUUCUAUUCGCUUUAACCAUAGAGUGUGACCUUGUAGGUUAUUGUAACAGUAGUAGUAAUACUAGAACAUUUCUAAUGUUACAAGCAAUGAGUGGCAUCUAGUAAUGCAUCAUUGCUACCUAAGUUACAAGAAGUUGUGAUUCGACAUAAAAUUUCUAUGAUAAACUUUUAUCCUUUAUAUCUAGAUUGGACGCAAGUCAUGGUAUAGUCACACUUGUAUAGUCCAAUCUCAUAGUUCUUGAUAUUUUGAGUAGACUAAAAUAAACAAAUAAGUGUGAUAUCUCAUAUCAACUUAUUUGAGUAUGGCCAUGCAUUUCUAGUCUCACUUCAUCAAAUGGCCCAAGAUAUUACUCCCAUUAUGUAUGAGGGAUAAAUCAUAUUUUGAUCAAUCAUAUCCCACUACAUGGUUUGUGGUAUAUCCAAUAUCCGUCUUUAUAGUACAACUUUGACUACAUCAAAAUAUACAACUCACGAUGUUAGGACAAUGAUGAUCUCAAGUCUGAGGAUCAUAUACAUAGUUAUCACUGUAAUGUUGUGACUAUUACAUAAUAAUCUAAUAAACAUACUCACAGUGGGUCAAUCCAAUAUGUUGUUCUCUAACACAUACUCAUGUAUUGAUUUUGACAUCCCUAUGUCAAUGACGACACUUUGUCAUCAAUCAACUACACAUUAGUCUCAAUGCAUUAUCGCUGUCCACCCACAAUAAUACUUGACUAAGGACUUUUUAAGAAUAAUCAUAUUAUUCUCAGGACUUUAUUAUUUAUAAGUUUAUUUAUACACACAAAAAUUGAAAUAACAAUGACAAUGUCUUAUAUUAACAACGUCAAUGUCUUAUAUUAACAACAAGGUAAAGACGAGAAUGUAAUUACAAUAAUAUCAUGCCAUAAUUACAUGUAUAUAUGAUUAUUCCUAGUUAUGUGUUCCAAAACUGGUAUUUGUAUCAUAUUUGCUCAAGAGUUGUCUUUUAUUUUUCAAUUUUUAUGUUUUCUUGCUUGAGGACAUGCAAUGACUUAAGUGUAGAGGAGUUUGAUCUACUGCAAUUUGUUGUAGCAGAUUAAACCAUUUUUCAUACUUAGCUUGAAUAAAAGAAAUUUCAUCAUGUUUUACUUAAUUUUUCACUUUUAGUUAUCAAAUAAUAAAAAGUGUAAUUUGAUUCGUUUAUAUGACUUUAGGGGCCAAAAUCGGCCUAAAGGAAGACUAACGUGUUUUGUGAGUGUGCAGGACACCAUUCGAAAGCAUGAAAACACGAGCUGGUCGCCAUGUUGCAACACGGAGGUUCGACGACGCAACAUAGUGAGCAAGACACCUAAAAUAGAAAGAUUGCCUUCGGUGUCCCGACGUAGCUAGAGGAUGUCGCGACACAGCCUUGAAUCUGAGCCUGAGCAAAGUAAACUACCACCAAUGUUGCGACACCAGCUUGACGUGAAGAAUUAAUAAGCUAAGAGUGUUUUGGUCCGCACAAUGAACUUUAACGUAAAAACGCCGGCCAGACUAAAGCUAUGGAUGGCAACCAACCCUAAAUCUAUAAAUAGGCUUUACUGAACACUUCUUAGACAACUUUUCUGUGUCUUUAAACUUUUAUUCUAGUUUAGGUUGCAAGUUUUAUUUAGUUUUCAGUUUAUUUUAACUUUUGUCCGGCAGAGAAUCUGAUUGGUAGAUUCAUUAUUCUUGUGGAUUUUUGUUUUUUCAAAUCAUCAAUACAAUUUAGGAUUUCUCUUAAACUUUUACUCUUGAUUUAUUCUUCAUGUUUAUAUUUUUUAUCAAGUUUAUGUUGUUUAUGAGAUUCAUGAGGAACUAAUCCUCUUAUGGGGAAUUAACGAGUGGACGUGAGAGUACUUAAUUUUUGUGUAAGGUUUAUUAGCAAAUCAACUUUUUAGGAUAGGAAGAACUUAAACCCUAGGCCUAACAACCCUAGGAAGUCAUCUAGGUGGCAAUGAACCAAAAUUUGUAUUGCCUAUCUGUGAACCCAUUACCCCAAUCAGGUCUAGACUGUGAGGUCGAGAGAUAAGUAGUUCUUAUGGACUCGUUAGUUUAGUGGAAGAUCAAGUGAUCCUACUAGGUUAGCGACUAGUUGGUUGAGUAGAGCUCAACAUAGGAUUUAGUUAUGAGCACUAAAGUGAGUUAGUCUUCCAUGCUUAGAUUUGAGUGAUUCAACAAAUUAGUUUUCCAUUUUUUAUUAUUUUAUGUUAUUUAUUUAUUUUUCUUAUAAAAUAAUUUCUCUUCACUUUAUGUUUUAUUGUAAUAUAAUUUAAUUAAAAUACUAAUUAGAUCUAUUACGUCAGAGAUAUUAUUAAUUUAGUAUUCGCCUCCCUUGGGUACGAUCCUCGAAGUACUCUCCUACUUCAUUGUAAAAAACUAUAUUACAACCUGACCUAUAUACUUGCAAAAAUUGCCUAACUCUUAUUUGGUUGCCAGAAUUAUACUCUAGACGUUAGUACAUCUGGAGGUGGUCAAAUGCACAACCACAUUUUGCAUUCAGAGAGCAUACCAACAAUCAUUUAUAUAUAUCCAUGGUAUUAUGCAUGCAUAGUUUACCCUUUAUCGUAAUCAUAUACAACCAUGGAUUUUAGACUGGACUCAAAACAAACACUCGAACAAAACAUUUUAGCAGCAUGAUAACAAAAAAUAACCAAAAUAGAUUCCAGAAACUCACCUUAAGUCCUUUGUCCUCGCCAGCUUAGCUUGUCCAAACACCAGAGUCUCUUUCGUCCUAGAAGCUAAGUAUGACAACCAUAUAUAUUGGUUAAACCGAAAGUAUUCAAAUCUUAAAACUUAUAAUUCAGUAUCAUUCAAAAGCUUCCUAGAGAUUUCAGAAAUCCUUAUUUCCCUUUCUCAAUCCAUGAAUAAAAAAAGAUAGAAAGACUUACCAGUUCCUUAGAUUCUCUACUCCCUAACCUCAAUCCUCACGAUCACUGCCCCAUGCAAUGUUUCAUCAAUUUUCUCUCAUUCGGAGCAACCAGAAAAGACAAUGGAGAAGGAAGGAAAGUAAAAUAGAAAUGAGGAGAAUUCUGCCUUUAAAAUAAUCCUCCUCUCUCAUAUAUAUAACGAUUCUUAUGCACGGCUUAAGGCCCCAAGUAACCAUCCAUCGGCUAUCAUUUUGUCUCCCACUAAGGAAUCAGCUGGUUCCAACGUAACCAAACUAGAAUUGGUUCCCAACUAAUUACCAUUCAACCACCAAAAUUUUCCAAGUUUUCCAGUAGAGCCCUCCAACUUACUAUUUUAUUCAAUUAACUCUUAGCUCUCCAUUAAUUUCUAGAACUUAAAGAAAACCGGGUGUGACAAAUAUUGUAGCAAGACUAAAAACAACCUUAUUGUUUUAUGACCCUCUAGAUGGUCCAAUUAGUUAUGAUUUUUCUAUUUUUUUUAUAAUUAAUCCCUGAUGAGAUUCUCUCUUAUUUUGGAAGAGGCCUUCAGCCCUCCCAUUAGGAAAAAAAUUAUGUAAUCUUUCUUUUCUAUCCAAGUUCAUUUUAUUACCAAAAAGAAAAAAAAGUAGCAGUAUCUUUAGUUUCUUCUAGUGUCACGGGUAGCACAAAGAAGCCCGCAACCAAAGCACACUUUGAUGUUCCCUCUUGUUCAUUGGGGGUCAUUUGGCCUGACAAGAUUGACCCAUUCCUUGGAAAAGACUCAAGGCCUAUCUGCUUGGAUCCUGGCUAAAUUGUAAGCAUUGUAUUUUACCAAGGUAAUUAUUGUAAAUCCUAAAAGAUAAACAUGUAUAGAAUUUGAAUCCCUUAGGACUCUCUUAUUGUAGAUAAGAACUAAUCUCAACCAUUAAUGUAAUUCGAUCUGUACAGUUGGAUUUGAGGGAGCUAAACUAUAAAUAGAGUCAUCUCCCUUCAUUUGUAAUAAUUUCAUUCUUGAGUUAAAGAAUAUAUUGAGAGCAUUUACUCAAACACUUGGUGUGCGAUAUUUCUCUUUGGCUUUUUUGUUCAUUCUUUGCUCUUUUGUUUUUAGUUUGCUUCCAUUUUGCUUUGGUGUAUUAGAGAAUUUCUGCAAAAAUUUUCAUUUUUCGAGAGUAGGCUGACUUGGACGGGAAUUCAACCUAAGAAAUCGCCUAAAGCCGCGCGGUUUGCCAAACUAAAUUUCAAGCCCCAUGACAUUAAUAAUACCAUAUAUUCCUUGAUGGUCAACAUUUCUCUCCAUCUCCUAUAUAUAAAUGGUUAAAAUGUGCUACAAGUCGCUGUACGUUUCAAAAAUUAGGAAUUUAGUCCAUAUACUUCUAUAUCAUUGAUUUUAGUUCCCCUACUUUUUAGAUUUCAAAAUUCAUUUAAGUCCAAUUGUUAACAUUACUUUUUUUGUGACAUUUUUGAAAUAAAAACACUCAAUUGAUACCCAUGUAAUAAAAAAAAGACUUUGUAAUUAAAUUGAAUUUAACAAAAUAAUAAUAAUGUUAACAAUUAAACCUAAAUUUUAAAAUAGGGAUAAAUUUUAAAAUUAUACAUGAACUUUGAUUUAAUGUGUAAUUGUAUACAUAAACUUUAAUUUGGUGCAAUUAUACAUGUGAAACUCUAAUUGUGGUUCAAAUGUAUACUUGAAACUUUAAUUUUGAUUUAAUCGUACAUAUUUAAAAAAAUAAUACAUCAAUUUAUUUUUAUUUGGGAUAAAUAUAUUUAUUUAUGUAUGCAAUAUAUAAAUAUAAAAUGAUGUUAUAUCAAUAAUUGUGUUAAUUAUUUACAAAAAUUAAAUCAAAUCAAAAUUUCAUAUAUAAAAUUAUACAAAAUCAAAAUUUAUAUAUACAAUUAUAUAUUAAACCAUAAUUCAUAUAUAAUUUUAAAAUUUAUCCCUUUAAAAUAUGAAAAAGUAUAAAAAUAAGUUCCUUCAAUUAAGAGUACAAGGUUCAUAUUCUCAAUUUUCAAAAAGUAUAGGUACUUGUGCCACAUUUUAACCUAUAUAAAUAGGAUCGGCGGAUUUAGACCAACGGAGUGAAGGAUCGAAAUUGGCAGAAGAUGAAGGUUUCCGUCAAAACUCUCAAAGGCACUCACUUCGAUAUCGAAGUCAAACCCGAAGAUGCGGUUCGCUUCUCUCUCCCUCUUUUUCCAGGGAUUUUACGUUUCUUGACUAGGGUUUUCCGUUUUCCCCUGUAUUUGAACAUUAAUUCGCGUUCAUCUAGGACUGUAUUAGUUGGAGUUAUUAUGCACGUAGUUGAAUUACCAUGCUUGACAUGUGAAAUCGGAGAUCGUGAAUGAUUUGUUCAAUUUUAGUGUCUAAUUCAUUGAAUAUGUUUAUUUAGCUUGUGAAUAGUCUAGCUACUUCGAUUAAGUUUUAGUGGACUGAUACUCGUGUAGCUUGAACGGCGGUAUCCUUUUCUUCUGGCGACAAUUAGCAAUUAAGUACUUCCUACGUAAUGCUUUUUACCAGUUCAUUGAAAUUAGUGAAUAAUACUUUGAUUUCUGGGCUUCAUUUUUGUCUUAGUAUUUCAUUAACUUGUAUCAUUGAAUAUUGAUGCAUAGAUUGCCAUGUAAUUUCUAGUUGUAGUUUGCUAGAUUUAGGUUUGAAUUUGAGUAUACACAAGCUUUGAUCAUUGCCAUAAGCAUCUCAUAUUUUGCAAUGCUCUUUCACUUCUUUUUAAUUAGUGUGGUUAUGAACACUGGAUUAAAUGUACAGAGGCUUCUUUUAAUAGAUCUUCUAUAACCAAGGAUCAAGUUCUGCAUUCUAUGGUUACAUCUAAUCAAGGGUUGUGUUUUUUAAUGAUGUGGAUUUUCUAACUAUAUAAAUAAGCUAUUAUUAUUUUUAUUGUUUUUUGCUACUUUUUAUGCUUUUAAGGUUUAUAUAUACAUAUAUACAUACAUAUAUAUAUGCAUGUAUACAUACAUAUAUAAGCACAGACAUGAAAGUCUUGGGAUAAAAUGCAUUCUGCCUUCUGCCUUUUUCAUUUCUUUGUCACUUGUUAUUAUACAAUUCCGCUGCUAAUGCUUGUCAAUUCUUUCAGGUUGCGGAUGUAAAAAAGAACAUAGAAACUGUUCAAGGGACUGAUGUUUAUCCUGCUUCACAACAAAUGCUUAUCUAUAAGGGAAAAGUUCUUAAAGAUGACACGACACUGGCUGAAAACAGUGUCACUGAAAAUAGCUUUAUUGUGAUCAUGUUGACAAAGGUGAGAUUGUUUACAAUAUUCUGAUUUUUAUGUUUGUAAUAUUUCAUCUAACUUGUUCGAACUUUUCUGACCAAAGUAUGCUGACUUUGUCCUAAUAAAUGCUCAACUGACAUCAUUAUUUUUCACACUGCUGUUGAACUUGAAAGUUAUCUUAGUUAUAACUUAUGACGGAGUGUUGUAUCAUUAUAUUUUUCUUUUGAAAUCUGGUUGUUUCUUUCCUGUAGGUGCAUCUUAUAAAUCAAUUUGUUGCUAAACUAGAAAAUUUUCUUUGUGCUACUUUUUGACCUUUUACCUCCUUGUAUUUGUAUCUGAAUUUAUUUUUCAUGACUGUCAUUUUCAUACUAAUAUUGUCCUUUUUGCUUAAAUAAACUAGAAUAAGGGUACAACUGGUGAGGGUUCAGCUGCUUCAACAGCUCCUACAAAGAAAGUAAGAUUGUUGUUACCUCUCUUACUACUACUUGCAUGCAUAAUUGGUUGUAAGCAAUGAUUGUCACUGUACCUUUUUAGCCACAUUUCUUGAGACAUUUUGCAAUAAAUAUGACAUGAAAAGUGUUGGGAUUCUGUUUUUUCCAUGAUGGUAGAUGUUCUUUAUUUCAAUGCUAUCUAGAACUUGAAGUGAUAGUCAAGCAUCUUGAACAAAUAUAAUUUGUAAACGAGUAGAUCAUCAAAAAAGUUAUAUACAGCAAAUAGAAUGCUUUUAAGAUUUUGGGUUUUUAGAUAUGGCCCAGGUUUGAGUUGUUUUGUGUCCAACUGCUUUCUAUGUUACACUAUUGAGCCAUAAACAUAUUGCAUAAUUUGGAGUUUGAGUUGGUAUUAUUACCAAAUUCAACUGCCUUAAAUGUUUAUGAGUUAGUUACACGAUCUCUUAUCCAUGUUUCUCAAUUUCACAAUUGUUUUCCCUUUCUCCUUUCCAGUAGCAUAUCAAUAUGAAAGAAUAUUGACUCCUUCUUAGAACUAUUUAGCUUGAGCUAUUAACUCUCACAAUCAUUAUGCAAAUUCUGAUUUGAUCUUCAAAUUUCUUUUUGAGUAUGAAUAUAAAUUUCUGUUUUUCCCCCACUAUACAAUCUUUAGGGUAUGUUGCUUCUGAAAACUUAGCCUGUAUCCAAAGAUUAUUCUGGAGUGAGUAGUGAUUUUGGAUUCUUUGUAGGAUCCUGAGGCAAGUAAUCUGCCAACAGCUCCAGCACCAGCUUCUACUGCACCUGUUGCAACAUCAGCUAUGUAAGUCCUGCUAUUCUACACUUUUGGUCAGAUACAGCACCUUUGCAAUUGAUUAAUUGCUUAUUAAUUUUUUUUCAGGGCUGCAGCUGCCACUGAAUCUGCUCCUGUUGCUUCAAGUACUCCUCUGUGAGUAACUUAUUCUUGAUAGUAAAUUUCAUGCUUCUUAUUUGAAGGAUAGAAGCUUUUGAUUUAAUCGAAUUGCUUUUAGUAGGAGAGAUCUUGAGUUUUUCCUUGUUUUCCUUUGCAUACUUGUAAUAUCUUGAAUAAUGUCUUUGGAAACAGGUCAGAUUCUGAUGUUUAUGGCCAAGCAGCAUCUAACCUGGUUGCAGGGAGUAACUUAGAGGGAACAAUCCAACAGAUUCUUGAUAUGGGUGGAGGGACCUGGGACAGGGACACUGUUGUCCGCGCCCUUCGUGCUGCUUAUAAUAACCCAGAGAGAGCUGUUGAAUAUUUGUAUUCUGUAAGUACCUUUCUUGUAUCUUGAAGAAUAUGUGCUUUCUUGCGUGCUUCUAGUUGCUGUUGUUUUAUUGUUCUCCUUAAUGUAGAUGUGGGAAUAACCUAAUAAGCUGAGCUCAUCCUGAGAGGUUUUCUUGGAAUGAUGAUUAUGCCAUUGUCAUUUUUAAUUUGAUGUAAUUCUAUUUGAAACUUGGCCUUCUCCUUGCCAUGAUUUAUUGGUCAAUGAUGAUUGAAUUUCUGCACACCCAAAAUAUGCCUCGUAUCUUCCAUUUUGCUGGUCCUUUUUGACUUGGUGGAUAAGUUGACUUCACCCCCCCCCCCAAAAAAAAAAAAAAAACAAUAUGAACAGGAAUGUUGGAUUUCUAUUUCAAUCACAUGGUGUGUCUUAAUUUGUUUUAUGGUGGGUUUUAAUGGUAUUUUAUACUGCACCCUUAUCUUUCUUUUCUUCUUUUUUUAAAAAUAUAUAUAUAUAACAAGCAUGCAUUUUGUUUCCUAAGCUGCAUCUUGUCAUCGUGUCAUAAAUUAUUGUUGCAAAUGCUAGGGCAUCCCCGAGCAAGCUGAAGCUCCACCUGUGGCCCGUGCUCCUGUAGUUGGGCAAACCACUAACCCUGCAGCACAACCUCAACAGCCUGCACAAACGGCAGCUGUUCCUACAAGUGGACCAAAUGCAAAUCCAUUAGACCUCUUUCCCCAGGUAAAAUUGUCAUGCGGUAGACCUUUGAUAAAUUUGAUGAUGGGCAAAUGAACCAGUGACUUGAUGACCUUUUAUUGAUACAGGGCCUUCCCAACAUGGGUGCAAGUGGUGCUGGGGCUGGCACUCUUGAUUUUUUACGGAACAGUCCACAGGUCUCUCUCUUUCUCAUUUGGUUGUAUAUGGGAAUGUUAGCAUGACUGUCAUGUAAAUACCUACCUAGAACUACACUCAAUUUGCAAUUCUCUUUUCAGUUUCAAGCUUUGCGAGCAAUGGUGCAAGCCAACCCACAAAUAUUGCAGGUUAUUCUCUGGUCCCUUGUUUCCCCUCUUCAAUCCUAGUGUGUUUUUCAUUGUCUUUUUAUCUUUUGCUUUUUACCUUUCACCUUUCCUCAAUGUCUCCCUUUUUUAUAUUUUUGGCAGCCUAUGCUUCAAGAGUUGGGGAAACAAAAUCCUAAUUUAAUGAGACUUAUUCAAGAGCAUCAGGGUGACUUUCUUCGCUUGAUCAAUGAACCUGCUGAAGGUGGAGAGGGGUGAGUCUUGUUGUUUUUAGUUGCUCAUUUCUUGAAGUUAUAUAGUGUGUAUGUAUAUCAAGUGCUUAUUUGACAUCUCCUGUUGUAAAGAAACAUUUUGGGGCAAUUAGCUGAGGCGAUGCCACAAGCUGUGCAAGUCACACCUGAGGAACGUGAAGCCAUAGAACGAGUAUGUCAUCUUUUACAUUAAGGCUGACUUGGAUGUGUUCACUAUUCUCUGUAAUCAUGGAUUAUUUAGCUAUCUUCCCCACUGACUCUGGAAAUGCCUUCAUUUCCUUGGCCUUUAUCUGAGUUAUAUGAGAUAUGCAUCACAUCUUUCUUUUAGGCUAUGGUUUUACUUUUAGAUGAUUAAUAAACUCAAAUUUGUUGCAUUGAUCUUGUGCCUACAAAUACUUUUGUAGUCUCCUUAUUCUCUUGUGCAUUCCCCAUCUCUUGCAGCUUGAAGCAAUGGGGUUUGACCGUGCAACUGUGCUCCAAGUGUUCUUUGCGUGCAACAAGAAUGAGGAACUUGCGGCCAACUACCUUUUAGAUCAUAUGCAUGAUUUUCAUGAUUGAGCUGGUAAAAGAAAUGGCUAGGGGAAGUACAAUAUCAUUUUCUCUUUCGUUCUUUGGGUCCAUUGUCAUUCAUGUCCCCCCUCCCCUCCCCCCAAAACUCUACCGACUUUAUUCUUAAUCAAGUGAUGUAAGUGUUUGGUGUAGAGACAAGGGAUGUGAAGAUGUUAACUUCAUUUUUUUCUUUUUUCUUUUUCUUUCCGAAGGACCCAUUAUCUAUAACGUUAUAUACAAGUUUCUUUCUAAGCUUGUGUGUAUUGUACUUCACAUUUUAUGCUAUUAUAAGCACUUGCCACAACGAGCUCCCCCAACUUUCAAGUUUUUCGAUCAAUUUUCUUCCCUAAAAUACCUUGUGCAUGAAUUUGGUAGCCCGUCAGAAUGGUUAGAGUUGGCAGUGGAAACUCUAGAACCGUGGAAACAGUGUGAAUAAUAUGCAGUGAUGUUGGCCAUGUAUUACACCUUCAUUGUACUCCUAAUACAUUAUUGAAUAUCAAAAUUAUCGACGUGCCCUCAAGGUAUUAGCGUCUUAGUGUCUCAGCGUCUCAUUUCAUGUAAUGUAAAUAAAUCUCAAUCUCAAUAUCUUAAACAUAACCAAUUGUAUAUUUUAAUCAAAAUUUUUGUUUGAAAUGAUUUAAUGUGUCACAUUAAUUUACUGUUAUACUGUUAACAGUAAUUAACGUUCGGUAACUAAAAUGUGCAUGAAUUUGGUAGGCCGUAAGAAUGGUUAGAGUUGACAAUGGAAACAAUAGAACCAUGGAAACUGUUCAAAUAAUAUGCAGUGAAAUUUUUGGUCGCAAAACACGUAAAAUUUUGCUAUUUGAAGAACUUGUUGGCCAUGUACACUACUCUAAGAUGUGGCAAAAUGGUUCGGGAUUGGGUUAUUUUUGGAUUUGGAUCAUUUAGGAUUUGACUAGAACUUGAUUCAAAUUAUUUAAGUUUUAAUUAUAUAUAUUUAAUCAGUUCCUCUUUUAGUUCAAGAUAACUUUGUAUGGAUUGCUAGCUUAAUACAACUUUGUACGGAAUGCAUGAUAAAAGUUGCAUAAAUGAAUGUAUGAAAACGACGAAGAGAAAUAAAUUCAAUGUAUUACUAUAGAGAAAUAAAGGUAUGUUAAUAAUGUAAGAAAUAAUAAAGUGAUAAUUUAGUAGUGAAUUUAGUAAUGUAACAAAAAUAACAUACCAUUAUGAAUAUUGAAUUUAGUAAUGUAACAAAUAAAGGUAUGUUGUAAAAAAAAUACAUACGAUUAUGAAUAUUGAAUUUAGUAGAUAAUAUAUAAAUAAAUGUAUGUCACUAAUGUAAGAAAUAAUAAAGUGAUAACUUAGUGAUCAGUGAAUUUCAUGAAACUAAGGAUUAAAUUAUUAAGAGUGAAAAUUUAUUUAUUUGUCAUAAAUUGAUAAGUGAAUAGAUGUGGUAUAGUAAAAUUACUAUAGAGAGGACUAAAUUGUAAAGUGUAUAAAAGGUGUUAUGUGAAAUUAAUAUUGUGAUUAAAGACUUAAAUUUUAAAGUGUAUAAAAGUUACUAUGUGUGCUAAAAUAGUGAAAUAAAAUAUUUAAGUGAGGCGUUAUAAGAAAGUAAAAUGUUUAAUGAUAGUGAAUUGAAAUCUAAAGUGCUAAGUGUUGUGAAUAUAUGUUAUGCUUGUAUUUUUAUCAAUUGUGAAUAAAGUGAACAUGUGAAAUAAAAAUGUAGUGAAUGUGUUUAUGUGAUUCAAAUUGAAUAAGUAAUAUGAUACAAAGUGAUAUAUGUGUAAUAUAUCAAGUAUGUUAUGUGAAACUGAUAUAUGAAUAAAUAACUUAGUGAACUCAGAGGAAACAUGAUAUAUGAUAAUGAAAUGAUUCGUAGUUGAGAGGGGCUGGGGGUUCGGAUGGGAACCAAGUUAGUGAUACAGGGGUUUGGAGGGGAUUAGAAAAGGAGGAUCAAGUUAUGUGAUGUGUUUGCUAGAGUUCCUGUAUAUUUUUCUAGAUUUCCCGUUAUCAUAGUUCCGUUAUAGACAGAGAGUUUGUCUUUGGCCUAGAUUUUUGCAUUGUAUUGAAAUUAUUGAACUCCUUUGAGAUUCAUUAAGAAUUCAAAAGUGAUAUGUGAAAGUAAAAGUGUAUGUGGAUGUGUAAUAAUAUGUGAAAAUAAAAAUAAAAGUGAACAUGUGAAUUAAGUGUUUAUGUUAUUUUUGUGAAAUGAGAGAAAGUUAUUGAUACGUAAAUGUGAAAGUUAAUUAGUGAUAAUAUAUAUUAAACUAAAAACUAUAAAUUAUAAAGUUAAUUUAAAUGAUUUUAUGUUUUGGAAAUGAAUUAAAGUUUAACUAUAUCAUGGAAAGAAAUUGUGUGAAUAAAUAUUAUUAAAAUUAAUUUUUUAUAUAUAUAAGGUAAGAUUGAAUUCAGUUGAGUACAUACUAAGCUAUUCACGUAGCUUAACGCAUUUUUUUUAGGUGAUGGAUAAAUUUUGAAAAGAAUCGAGGAUUGCUACUUCAAUUUGGCAUGUAUUUAGGUUUAUUAGUAAAAAAAUGUGAAUUGUGUGUGAAUGACAAUGUUUUGUGCUAUAAGUUACCUUGAUUAGAAUGAAACAAGAAUAUGUUUCAGUGGUGAGUUUAGUGUUUAAAUGGUGGGUUUAGUGUCUAAAUGUAGCAUCUCUUAUUCGGAUUAGGUGAGGAGUGUUACAUUGAUGUUGCAACCUAGAGUUCUCUAACCUCAAUGUCGUGACAUCACUUUUGCAUGUCGCGACAUUGCUUGUUCAUCUUAGCCAAGGAGACAACCUCGAUGCACCUCAAAUGUCACAAUAUUCAACCUUCAAUCUCACAACAUGGAGCUCUCUGAUGUCAAAGUUGCGCCAUUGGUCUUGUAAUGUUGCAACAUUGACCCUGGACUUGGGUUGAAGAAACCAAGCGAGAGACUUCCAUCCCUCAAUGUCAUGACUUCGAGCCUUUUGAUUCACAUGUCGUGACAUUGGUCCUGUAAUGUCACCGCAUCGGGUUCAUCACAACCAAAACCAAAAGGAUAACAUGAAGACUUUCUGGGUCAAACUUGUCUUAGUUAAGUUUAAUGAUAGGGACAUUUUUGUAAUUGAAGAAUUAUCAUUACUGUAACAGCCCAAUUUUCAGUAGUGUCAGAACAAUGAUUUGAGAUCACUAAAUCCGAUGAAAAUUUUAAAAAAAUUAUUAAUUAAUAAUUAUAAGUUAAGCGUGAUUUUAGAAAUAUAUUUGAAUUAGUGAAUUUUGUGAUUUAAAAGAAAUUAUUAAGUAAAUUGGGUCGAAAACAAGGUAUCGAGACCUCAAUAUUAUAAACUGAGCCGUAAAUAUUUUUAUAAAUAUUUACGGAGUGUCAUUAGGGUAGUAUUAAAGUUUCAUUAAGAAAUUUUAAUGUUUCGAUGGUUAAUUGAUUAAAAAGGAUAAAAUUGAAAAAAAAUAUAUUCCCGAGACUCCAUUUCGGUAAAUUGGACUCGUAAAUAUUUAUCAUAAAUAUUUACGAAGUUAGUUGUGUAGUUAAUUAGGUUUUAAUUAAGUGAAUUUGUCUAAAUUGAGGUUAAUUAUGAAAAAUGAUUAAAUUGCAAUAGAGAUAAAAGUUUAAUUAUAGAUUAAAGAAAAAUUAAAAGGACCAAAUAGGAAAUUAUGCCUUUUUCUAAAGUUGAGGCAGCAUAAGUAGAUAUUUUAUUUAAAAAUCUAAAGUUCAAAUAUAUUAUAAUAUUAUAAUAAUAUUACAAUAUUACUUAAAAGUUAAGUAUAUAUAUUAUAUAUUAUAUUAUAUUAUAUAAUAAAAGAAACAAUGAAAUAAAAGAUAGAAAAAGAGAAUAGAAACAGAAUACCAAAAUGAAAACAGGGGAGAAAGGAAAGAAAAAAAAAAGGGAAGGAAAGAAAGAAAAUUUAGGAUUUUAAGGUUCAAGGUUUGAUUGGUAAGUCAAUUUAGUCUUUUUUUUUUCCUUGUAAUUUUGAUAUUUUUGGAAUCCUAUAACAAAAUACUACUUGAUUUAAGUUGAAAUUUUGAAAGUUAGUAAAUUUUUAGAUGUUGUUUAUGUUGAAUAAAUUGAAGAAUUAGGGAUUAAAUUGAUUGAAUUUCAAGUUAGAAGUUAGUAAAAGGUUGAUUUGUAAAAUAAAACAUAAGUUUUGAAUUAAUAAGGACUAAAUUGAGAGAAUUUUAAAAUUAGGGAUUUAUGGUGAAAAUGAAGAGUUAAAAUGAGUUUACGGUAAGAAUUAAGAGAGAAUAUGGAGUUAGAUUGGGAAAAUAAAAUUAGUAUUGAUAAGGGAUUAAAUUAGAAUUUAGGUAAAGUUUAGGUAUAAAUAAAAAUAUUUUGAUGAAAUUGUGUAUUAAUGAUUUUUAAUUGUUUAAUUACGUAGCUAAUGUCGUGCAAAAGUCAUUGUCCAAGAAAGGAAAGGAAAAGGUGGACAAGGAGUGAUUCGAGAAAAUUUCGGUUAGUAUUACCAUAAUUCGAAUUUAAUUAUUAAUUGUUAAAAUUUAAAUUAAUAUACAUGAUAAGCAAAUUGAGGUAAGUAUCAUGAUUGAAUUGAAUGAUAAAUACGUAUUGGUAUUGAAUUUAUUAAUAGUAAUUGUUGAAUUUUGAAUAAUAUGUUUAAUAAAUAAAAAUAAGGUGAAUAUCGAUAUUGAAUUAAAUGAUAUUGAAUUGUUUGUGAAUUGAAAUAAUAGAGGUUUUGAAUUGAUUGAAUAUUUGAAAUUGUUGUGGAAAUGAAUUCGAAAUUGGAAAAGUAAAAUAAUACCCUAUUAACUUAUCGAACUAGAUUGGAUACAAAUGGCAUGCCAUAGGAUUUGUGAUGUGAUGAGGAGAUUUGUAGUUCGGCCGAGAAGAUAAUUCUGUUAAUAUAUGCUUCGGUUUAUCCGAAGAGGCAUCUAAUGCCUUAUUGGUGUGUUUGGGAGGAUAUGAUAUACUGGUGUGUUAAGGAGGAUUUAUAUUAUUCCGGGUGUGUUAGGUUGGAUAUUCUGGUGUGUUUGGUUGGAUUCGUGUAUCCGUCAAGGUCCGAGUCUUGUUAAUAGGGGUAAAUAAUUGAAAUGAGAAAUUUUGAAUAAGUGUGAUUGAUUGAGCUAUGGAAAGAAAUGAGAAAGUGAAAUUGUGAAUUGAUAUGUGAAUUGGAAAUCGAGAUAUGAGAUUUGAAUAUAUGAACUCAAAGUUCAUGAUGUGAUUAAGAAUAAAUUUUUGUUAUAUGAUAUUAGUGAGUACAAAUUGCAAUAGAAUUGAUAUUGAAUAUAGUGAUAAAUUGAAUGAAUUGUAUAUGAAUUGAAAUGAACUAUUGGAAUGAGAUGUGAAAAAUCUAAUGGAAUUGAGAUAGUGAAAUAAGGUAUGAAUACAAUUCAAUACAAGAUUUGAAAUAUUGCUUAUUGUUAUUAAUUAUCAAGUUGAUUUAAAGUAUGAGAAAAUUAAUGAAUAAUUGUACACAUAAAUUAAAUGUAUAUAAUUUAUCGAUUAAUAUUAUAAAUUUGAAUUAUGGUAAUACCACUGAGUAUACCCAUACUCAGUAUACGGUUGUUUCUGUGUGCAGGUUAGUAGAAAGCCAGUGUCCGGUCCAGCAUCCAGAGCAAUCCUGACCUCAGAGAAAUUUUAGUGAUGUACCUUUCUUUUGAUAAUGUGACAUGUAUCUAGGUGAUGUAUUGAUUAAAGUAUGCUAUGUAUGUUAUUUAUUUGUGAAUUAGUUAUAAGUUAUCUGAUAUGUCCGAUAAUGCUCCGUAACCUAGUUCUGGCGACGGAUAAGGGUUGGGGGUGUUACAAUUACUUUGUCUAUAAAUACCAUCAUUAAUAAACUAUUUAGGGAGGUUAGAAAGUUAAUAUAGUUUUUAAAUUAGAUUAUUUUUAUAUAAUUGCUAGAACUUUAGGUUAAAUUAGCACAAAGAUCAUUUUCUAGGUUAGUUUUAUUUUUUUACAAAAUGUCUUUCAAAUCUUUGUUUUACUCUUUUCAAUUGACAAUUUUAUCAAUUGGGCAUUCAAUAAUUUCGAAGAUUGAAGUUUUUUCUACCGUGGAAUCAAGAGUUCUUCUACACUAAUCCUAAGCAUUUCUCAACUUUUACAAUUUCAUCCUUACACUUUGUUUUUAUUGUAUGAAAUUAAAUUAUUUAUUUAUUUGCAUUAUUGUAUGAAAGUUCGGUUCGAAUUAUUAGAGUUGUCAUCCUGGGAGUACAAGCAACCCAAACCGUCAAUAGAAGAACCAUCCGAGCUAGACCUAAAGGUUGUGAAAAGGCAUAUGAAGGAUAUCGAGUAGACUAUUUCAAAUAGUCGAGGUAAUUAUCCUUCUUCGUACACUUACAAGUUAUUGCUAGGAGUAACUGAAAAGGUGUCUAUCAAGGGCUAGAGGAGCUUGAUUCAAUAUCGAAUAUUUGGUUUCAGGAAACUCAAGUCUUAAUGUUUAAAAGAGAGGAUCAUUUAUCCCAUCUAUGAUAAUUUUUGGAUGGACCCUGUUCAAUAUGCACUGAAGGAAGGAGGUAUCAUGAUUGUGGAAAAUGAAAAUGGCGAGUUGAUUCCAACAAGGAUGGUUACUUGUUGGUGAAUCUUUGCAGACUACAAGAAGCUAAACAAGGCUACCAAGAAAGAUAAUUUCUUGUUUCUUUUCCUGGAUCAAAUACUUAACAAAAUCGCUGGGAAAGAUUUUCCUUCUUUUUAGAUGGGUAUGAUUGGUAUGACAAAUGACCAUUUGACACCUCCUUGGUUAAAGACGAUCCCUAAUAACAUUAAGGGAGUUCUCUUUCUUUGUCAUUAUUUUAUAUUGUUAGUUUUGUUUUUUUUAUUUGAAUAAAAUGGCAGACUUGGAUAAAAUUCUCAUUGGAUUAUUAUGUUAAAAUAAAUUAUGUCUAAGAGACUGGAAUUUAAGUGGGACUGAUUGUUACCCCUCUAACCGUUCUUGGGAAUUGAUUUUAACAUAAUGUUCCAAAAAAAUAUUUUCUAAGUGGAAAAAUAAAUUUUAAUUUGUUGAAUAAAAGGGUCAAUUUUGAUCCAAGUUUCAGUUUUCUGCUUUAUUUUCAAAUUAUUUUCUAGUACAAGUAUUUAAUUUAAUUGCUUUCAAUAAAUAGUUGUGUUUUCAGUAAAUAUUUUAAACUAAAAUAUUUUUUAAAAAUUUUAUUUUUAAUAAAUAAGAUAAUAAAAAUUAAUAUAUUAAUUGUUAUUAACUUUGUAUAUCAUUAAGAGUAGUAAUAUUUUAAUAAUAGUCUAUGUAAUAGCUCAUUUUUCAGUGGUGUCGGAAACAGUAGUUUCGGAGCCACCAAAUCUGACGAGUAAGUUCGUAAAUAUUAUUAUUUAAUAUUUAUGAGUCAAAUGUGAUUUUUAAAAAGGUUUUGAUUUGAUAAUUUAUGUUAUAUAAGUAAUUUAUUAAGUUCAAGUUGUUUUAGAAAAUAAGGUAUCGAGACCUUGUUUUUAUAAACUGAGCCGUAAAUAUUUUUAUAAAUAUUUACAGAGUGUCAUUAAGGUGGUAUUAAAGUUUCGUUAAGAAAUUUUAACGUUUCAAUGGUUAAUUAAUUAAAAAGGAUCAAAUUAAAAAAAGUGCAUUCCUAGGACUCCGUUCCCGUAAAUCAGACUCAUAAAUAUUUUUAAUAAAUAUUUACGAAUCUAUUUGUGUAGUUAAUUAGUUUCUAUUAAGUGAAUUUACUUGAAUUAAAAGUAAUUAGGUAUAACGACUAAAUUGCAUAUAGGGUGAAAGUUGAAUUCUAGAUUAAGGAAAAAGUAAAAGGACUAAAGAAGCAAUUAUACAAUUGCUUAUAAAUGAGGUGGUAUAAGUUUUUUUAAAAAAAUUUAAAUUUAAAAUAUAUAUUAUAAUAUUAUAAUAUUAUAUCUUAAUGUUUAAGUAUAUAUAUUAUAUAUAUUAUAUUAUAUAAUAAUAAAACAAAGAAAUAAAAGAAAAAGAAAUAGAGAAAGAAACAAAGAAGCAAAAGCGAAGCAGGAGAAAAAGAAGGAAAGGAGAAAACUAGGGUCUCAAAGUUCCAUGUUCAAUUGGUUAGUCAAUUUAGUCCCUUUUUCUUUUAAAUUUUAUGUUUUUGGAAUUUGAUAUUAAAUACUACCCGACACAUGUCAAAAUUUUAGCAAUUAUUGAGUUUUUAGAUGUUGUUAAUGUUGAAUAAUUUUAGUAUUAGGGAUUAAAUUGAUAGAUUUUUAAUUUAGAAGUGAAAAAUGAUUGAAUUGUAGAAUAAAUUAUAAAAUUUGAGUAAUAAGGACUAAAUUAUGAAAAAUUCAAAAUUUAGGGAUUUAAGUGAAAUUAGAGAGUUAAAUCUAGUUUAAAGUGGAAAUUUAAUGAAAAUAUUGAAUUGAUUGUGAAGAAAUAAAAUUAGUCUCGGUUUAAGGACUAAAUUGGAAUUUAGACAAAUGUUGAGUAAAAAUUGAAAUAUGCAAUAUGAAAUUGAAUUAUAUUGUAUUGAUGAAUUAUAAUUGUUUUAAUUCUGUAGCUAACGUCAUACCGGAAUCCUCGACUAAAAAGGGGAAAGAUAAAGUCGACGAGGAAUAGCUCGAAAUUUUUGGUUUAUAUUUCUAUAAUCCGAAUUUAGUUGUUAAUUGUUAUAAUUCAAUUUAAUGUAUAUGGUAAAUGUUGAGGUGAGAACUAUUGUGUUUUGCAUUUGAAAUGGAUUGAUUUAGUAUGUGAUGAAUUUAUUGAAUUUAUAUUGAUUGAAUUGGUAUAUAUAUUGAAUAUAUUGAUUAUUUGAAUUGAAAUGAUUAUUGGUUGUAUUUGAAAAGUGAAUUGAAACCCUAUUAAUUGUAUCGAGUUGAGUCGAAUAUAGAUGGCAUGCCAUAGGAUUGGAAGAGUUCAGGAAUUUCUUCGACUUCGAGUCAAUGAGACACUGGGUGUCAAUUUACUACUUCGGAUUAAUUCGAUGGGGCACUGGGUCCCAAUUUACUUAGGUUUAACCGAUGAGACACUGGGUGUCAAAUUAUUACUUCGAAUUAUCCGAUGAGGCACUGGGUGUCAAACUGGUGUGUUUUGGUUGGAUCCGUGUAUCCGUUCGAGUCCGAGUCGUGUUAAUAGGGGUAAAUGAAUAAUAAAGUUUUAUAAUUGAUAUUGAAAUGAUAUGGUAUGAGAAAUGGAAGUGAAAUAGUGAAUUGAAAUAGAAUGUGGAAUAUGUUGCAAAUAUAUGGAAUAUAUGAGUUACAUACUCAUGAAAUGACUAUGGAAUGUAUAUUGCAAUUGUAUAAUGAAAUAUGAAAUAUACUCAUGAAAUGACUAUGAGUUUAUACUUAGUGUACGGUUUUGUUUCCCAUGCGCAGAUUAGGUACUUAACUUUUGAUCGCUGAUUCAGCAUCCAACAAUGAUCCCGAACUCAAAUGUGGUGAUGUUUAUCCUUUGUGUCGGCAUGUACCUAGGGUGUCUAAAUAAUAGUUAUUUUGUGGUUUGAUUGUAAAUGAGUUUAUAAGUUUAAUUUUGGUUGGUUUUAUACAUAUAAAUAUGUGUUUGUUUUUGAAGCCAUAUUAUGGCAUGAUAAAUUGAACUAAAUUUAGAUAGGUGCAUGUGAAUUUAAUUCUAUGUUUAAGUGCUCAUGAACUAGGCAAACUGAUUUGGAUUUGGUAUGUUUAUAAUUUGGAUUAAAAUGAUGCUUUGAUGACUUGUUUUGAUAAUAUGAAAUGUUUGAAAUUUCUGUCUGUUUGAUUUGUAAACUCUGAUAAUGCUCCGUAACCCAGUUCCGACGAGGGAUAUGGGUUGGGGUUGUUACAGUUUAAGCUUAUUUUUAUUAGAGUUUGUGUUAACUUUUACCUUACAAUUACUUUAAAUACCACCACCUUCGCUCUCUAUUCACAUCACCUACCAACCAAGGGCCUCACCGUUUUUCCCUUUCCAUUGCCACAUAUCACCUACCCUAACCCCCCAACCAUCGACACCCAUACCUACUAGCAGCAACAGCCGCACGCCCUAGCUGUUAACACCUUGCAUCGCACCUCUUUUGUUGCAGCAUUAUCGAACCCUACAAGCCACCAUUCGGCCAUCCGCUAUAAGCUACCAAGCCAUCUCACCUUCUAUAUCCACCGCCCAAAUUGCCGUUAGCCAUCUAACCAACCCUUACCCAACACCAAUUGCUUCACCCUCACAUUAUUUUCUAAAGUUCUUAUUACGUUAAUUACAAAUGUGGUAAGAAAUUUCUUUCCAAAAUUUUAAUUUGAUUUGAUUAUUUAAAUUUUCAAUUUUAUAUGAAUUGAUUAUAUUUUAUUCUAAUUAAAAUUUGGGAAAUUAUUAUUAUUUUCCAUCUUAUGUGAUGUUCAAGUUGAACCAUGCCUCCUAAAAGAACUCGUGCCUCUGUUUAGGACGAAAAAUCACAAAACAAAUUCCAUUGCGAAGAAGCUAAGAUGAGAUAUGAGAGCAUCUUUAAGAAAAAAAUAAAUGCUUCCGGAGAAAGGUUUUACUUUGGGGAAAAGUAACUACACUAAUUUCAUGGCAAACAUUCAAAAAUUUGCUGAGGCUUUAAAAUGGGAAGUGUUGUGUGACAAAAGGCCAAAUUCAAGCGAUGAGUUAGUUCUGAAAUUUUAUGCGAAUUUGACCUUAGGUGCUUUAACAAAAUUUUCCAUCUAAGGAAUUAAGGUACCUCUAAACCCGAGUUCCAUUAAUGAAUUUUAUGAUCUACGUGAUUUCGAAGAUGAUGAAUAUUCUUCCUUAAUGGAAAAUAUUGAGGUGGAGAAAUUGUAAUAAAUCUUAUAAGAACUCACAGUUCCGGGUUCUAAAUGGACUGCCGAAACACGAGACUCAUACUUGUCACAAAGAAUACUUGACCCUAUUAGCGAAUGUAUGGUUUUAUUUUUUCAAAUUCAAUAUUAUGCCUACCGCACAUGGGACUACAAUUUCAAUAGAACGAAUGGUUUAACUAUACUCAAUUAUGACAGCAAAGACAAUUAAUGUAGGAAAUAUCAUUCUUAAAGAAAUUUGAAAUUGUGUCGUAAGACGUUUGGGUACAACCUAUUUCCCUUUUACAAUAACAAUUUUAUGUUUGAAGGAUAGUAUUCAUGCAAACGUAAAAAAGACAGGAUAAAAUCUAGGUACAAUUGCUGAUUGGGACCUUAUUUGAGUAGCAUGAAAUUCUAUUCUUCAAAAGCAAGCAAAGUCGAUCGAUGACAUCGAAGAAUAUGAAAUUCCUAUAGAAUCAGAAACAGUGCAGCCAGUUGAAAUUCCUGACUUGGCAAAGCCAACUAAACCAGUCUUCGAACCUGACAUGACUACCCCCAACGUUUAAAACUCAUUCUCCUCACCUAGAUCUUCGAGAUGAGCUAUCAAAAUUGUUGGAUUUAAUGCAACAUAUGUAGUGGCAAUAAGAAGCUUAUUGUAGAUACUCAAAAAUACAAGAUGACUCAAUUAGAGAUGCUUUUAAGAAAAUAUUUCACAACCCAUUUGCUUUUAUUCCUGAAUUUCUAGAUUUUAUAUUUGAUCCAUGGAUUUCGAUGUUGAGGAAGGAGCGAGGUGAUUUAAGAAAAAAUAAGGACAAUGAAGCAAAAAAUGGGUAGAAUUUUGGAGGGUCUACAAAUAAAUAAAAAAAGGGGGAUCUUGUCUUUACUUUAUUUUUCUUUCUUAGGAUAUUUUAAGUUUUUAUUUUUAGAUUUCUUAGGAUAUUUCUAUUUCUUGCAUAAUAAAAUAAGAUUCUCAAAUCAUUAAUAAAAUUGAAAAUUUUGAAGAAUAAGAAGUGUAGCAAUAGAUAUGUACAUAUUUAGGAUUGGAUCUUUCUAGGAGAAGCUUGGCAUUUAAGCAGUCAACUUGACUCACCUCCUUUUCUUGAGAUCCUACCUGGUGUACAGUAUCUAUUCACUUAUGUAUUUUCGAUCCAUAUUGUUUUUAACAAUGGGGGCAUUGUUCAUCUUAAGUAGGGGGACCACAAAUUGAAAUUAUUUUUUUCAAAAUUCAUUUUUCAUAUCCAAUUAUGAUCAAGUUAUAUUUUACUCAAAAUUUUGAAUAAAGUUACAUUAUCUCAAUAAUUAUUAUGAUUAGCUGAAUUAUGACAUAAAUGCUAUUUUUAAUAAAGUAUGUAAAUCAAACCAUGAAAUUUUUAAAUCCUUAGAAUAGCUAAGCAUGCAUGAAAGUUUAAGUCUCUAGAAUUGACUUAGUAAUUUCUUGAGGCGCAAUCCUAGGAAGCAUGGAAUUUUGAAAUUGAUUUAGGCAAACUUUUAUUUGGACCGUUUGAGCCUUUGAAGCCAACCUUAAUGAAUAACUAUCCUUUGAAACCCAACUUUGAGACUAUAUGGCCUAAUUUUAUUCAAACCUUGCAAUAGUAAGUCAUCCCUUCUCUCAUAAUUAUCUCUAAAAUGUCCUAAACACUAGACUCAGUCUAUCCAAAAUAUUCUCUAAAAAUAAGUUUGGGGGAGUUGAGAAGAAGUAUUAAUACUCAAAAAAAUUGUAGUACAUGCAAUAAUAUGGUCGAGUGUGUUAAAAAAGAGAGCAUAUGUACUCGAAAAAAACAGAUGUACAAAGAGCAUGUGUACUCAAAUGUAAAAUUAGUUGGUAAAUUUUAAGGUAUUUAUUCCGAAGGUCCAAAGCAAGUCGAGUCUAGGUUUUUUAGCUUCAAAAUUAUCUAUCUUUUACCUACCCCUAGCCAAGCCAUGUUACAACCUACUCAAAAGACCUAUUGAUUCAGAUUUCUGUGCUGACUACAUUAGUGGAGAGAAAUUGUUAAACUCAACUUAUGAAGGCAUAAUUAAACUUAGGGAUGCAGUUUAGUAUUGAAUGAGCAAAUACAAGUUAAUUGGUAAGAAUUUAGCAUAUCUUUAUUGAGAAUACAUUUAGUCUAUUCUUGCUAUCAUGAUAAUAAAAAAGAAUAAUUCAAACAAUGUGUAUACUUUAGUUGCAUAAUUUCAAAAUUCUUAUUCUUGAGCAUAAUUACACUAAACUCAUAAUUGUGGGAAAUGAUUUUUGGAGAAAUUUUUCGAAGGUGAUUUUCUUAAAUUUCUUUUUCAAUUUUUGCAUUACUUAGGACGAGUAAUCAAUUAACUUUGGGGUGUGAAAAUACUAAAAUACAUAGACUUUUUAGCACCUUUUGAGCACUAAUUCAUGCAAUUUCUAAUAAUUUCUGCCGAAUCUUAUAUUUUUAUUAUAAAAUAAUUAAAUUGAGCUUAAUUUAUAAAAAAAAUUGAAUCUUAGUUAUUUUUAUAAUAAUUUUUCAUAAUUUGGGUUAUUUUUAACAAUUUUGCACAAAAGGUGAAAAAUCAGCUCAGCAGUCACCUUGAAAGAAUUAAUUGACGAGGCACAUUGGGAGCUCAAGAUGAUGAAUUAACAACCAUGGAGGACUUAAAUUUAUGCUCUUGUCACAAAUUAGAUGACCUAGUUAAUUUUUUAUUGAAGAAAAAUGGGCAGCUUGAAGUAGAGAAAAGGACCUGAAUUGAGCAAAUAAAGGAGGAUGAACAAGCCCAAGAGAGCAACCCAAACCUGCCUAUCUAGCUGAGCCAAUCAGCUAAUUUUGGCUGAUUUUAACACUUACAAAUCAGCCCUUUAACUCUUCCUAAAUGUCGUUCAAACCCCUCAUCUUUUUGUGCAUUUCUUUUCUAGCCACAAGCUAAAAAUAGCAAAAUCAAUUCAACAUCUUCUUCCACCUAGCAUGGCCAGCCAUAAAGAGGGGGAUUUGGUGUUAUUUUUAGCUAAUGCAUGCUACCAUCUCCCACUAUAAAUACCUCUCACCACCUCUUUAUUUUUCAUCAACUUAUUCAUCCAUACAGCUUUUCAUUCAAUUCCCUCUUUCACUUUCUUUACCUUUCGAAUUUUCUUUCUUCCCUUGCCAAUUUACCCUUUUGAAAAAUAGCUAGCACGCCCCUUGGAGCAGCAACAAUCAAGUAUUCAUGAAGGCUUUGGAUCGAUGGAACAAGUAGAGAAGAAGAGAAGCACACUAGACUGGCUUCAGAACAAUUCCGAGAUUUGUUUUUUAGUUCCCUUCUAUUAAUCUAUUUUUUUAGUUUAUGUUGUGAUCAUGAAUAUGAAUACUUGUUGGGUUGAUGUUCUUAAAUUAUUUAAAUUGACUUAAAUUUCAUUCGUUUUAGAUUAAUUUCAUCUUGUCCACUUAAUUUGUUAAAAUCAUGUUUGUGUUGUUAUAAGCCUUGGUAGUUUGUUCAAUUAACUAAAAUCAUGACUAUGUAUACUUGCAUUUUAAUUGUAAGGUAAAAAAAAAUAAUAAUUAUUAAUCGGAUUGAAAUUAUAAUUAACCGACACAAUAUCUAAUUGGUGUAUGUUUAAUCUUUAAGGUAGUUGAGGGUUAAAUUAACGAUGGUAUUAAACAAUACUUUAGCCUUGCAUAACUUGUAAGAUUAUUUUUAUUAAAUUGUUUCAAUAUAGGAAUAUAUUAUUACCUCACUUUAUCUUAUACUUGUUUAUGAAAAUUGAUUAAUUGUUUGAAUUAACAUAGAAACAUGUUUAAGAGAUUAAUUGAUUUAGUAAGUAUGUAUGUGCAUUAGUUAACAAAAGACCAAGUUUCCAUGAAAUUAUUCAUAACAACAUGAACAUAGUUUUGAUAAAUCUAAGUUCAAGAAUAAAAUUGAUCUAACACAUUUAUGUCAUAUUGAUUAAAACCAUUUUUAGAAGUUGUUCAUUUGGAAUUUUAUUUUCUUAGUUAAACACUUAGUUCAUUUUUAGUUUUCAUAUCACCUUUUUCAAAUCAAAAUCUUUUUCCUCACCAAAUUAUUUAAUUUUACAUUUAAUAAAUAAUCGCUUGCACAGUCCCUAUGGAUAUGAUAACUCGACAUACUUGUCACUUUAUUACUUGUUACAAUUGUGUUCACUUGCACAUUUCCAACGUUCCAGUAUGACACUUGUUCAAUUUCCUUAAGAAGGAUGAGUCAUAUUUAUAUGUGAGUGUGUGUUCUGAAAUGGGGUUCUUCCUUCUUCUUUCUUUUCUUUAGGUGGUAUAUACUAAAACCUUUCUUAAAUCUGAAUGUAUCCUACCUCGAUGAUCUAAAAGCUAAGGUUCUUUUAUGACCAGUAGUUACUUCCCAUCAAGGUAAGUAUUUUAGCUCUGCAUGUUAAGUAUUGAAUGAGUAAAUCUGUAUAUGGUAAUUGAACAACGAGAUUGUAAGUAUAAGGUUUCUGCAUGGGAAUGACAUCGAUUGAAAUGAUAAGUACUUUUUAUGUACAAUAAUAUUAAUGGUGAAAUUAUGUUUCUAAGAAACGGUUGCUGCUGGUUCGUGAUGGAUAUAUGGAUCUGGAGCUUUUAACUGCAUUAAGUAAGAUUCAGGUAAGUUCCAUACUGACUCCUGCAUUUAUAUUGUUCAUAUUGUGAUUCAUCUAUAGAAAAUCGAUUGAACUAUAGAUCUGAAGUCAUGAAGAUUAUAGUAUGUGAUGAUUGGGAACGAGUAUUGAAACAUUGAAUUAUGGCUAAGUAUGCAUAUGUUUGAAAUGUAUACUAUGAGACACGUGUUCUGUUUGGGUGUAUAGUUGAAAUUAGAUUGUGUCAAUGCAUGAAAAUUCUGUCAAGAGAGUUUGUGUCUGUUCACUGAGGUGGUGUCUAAUGGAGUUUGUCGGGCACUGAAAGAAAGAGAAGUGACAAAACCAUUCCAUGAGAUACGAACCUUUGUUAAAGUCAGAGGAGUUAAUGUCCUAGUAACUGAAAGAAGUAUUUGUCAGUUUUAUGAUACUCCAUAUCUUUAUCAUGAUUACUUGUACGAAAUAGAUCUCAAGGAAUUCAAGAAUGUAGACAUAAAAGAGACUUUGAUAUUCUUAAUAGAAGGAAAAUAAGUGUGGACAUAUAAAAUGGCAACAAAAAUACCUGAAACAUUCAAUCAAGCAUUGAUGACCCUAAAAGAAAAAAUAUGGAUGAAAUUUGUAUGUUCAAGGAUCUGGCCUACAGCUGAUCUUUUAGAUAUUAACCCGAUCCAAGCUAUCUUAGUUUACGCCAUCAUGCAAAAGAAGCAAGUAUGCAUUGAUACAUGGAUAUAUCAAAAUAUGAUCGAAUUUGCACGAAAUAAAAAAAAAGGAACAUUCUUUCCGCAUCUGAUUACAGGGUUAUGUAAAAGAGUAGGAGUGCCUAUGGAGCAGCUGGAUAAAGAGAUGAAUCCUCCAAAGAAGUUGCUAGGAGAUAAUGUUUAUAAAUGGUACAUGAUUUUAUAGAGGAAACAAAAGGAGGAGAGGAGGACUCCAAGAGGAAGAUGAAUAAUGCAUAAAAAUAUAUAUUUUUAGUAUAUUUAUUUAGGUUAAAAUUCUAUUAAGAAAUUAAGUUCAUUGUUAGGAUAUUGUAAUUAGUAAUGUUUAAUAAACUAUUAGAAUUCAAUUGACAUAUUUAUUAGUUUUUGUACAAACUCCUUACAUAGUAGAAACACAAACAAUAUGAAUUUUCAGUAAUCAACAGAGGAAGCACUCAAAAAAUUACCAACGAAACUAUUACAAUCAAUCGAGUAACUUCUUUCCUUUAUUCUUAUGACCAUACAUUGAGAACAAUGUAUUUUCUAAAGUGUAAGGGGGUAACAUAGAAUUUUUUGUUUAGUUUUUACGCUUUUCUUUGAUUUUCCUUGUCAAUCAUGUGCUUGAACUUGCAGAAAAACAAGUGAUUGGUUAGGAGCAUGUACAUAGGUUGAUUGUAUUUACAAUAAAUUUGGCAUGAGGAUAGGUGAUUUUAAAUUUUUUAUUAUUAGACUGUUAAGUUUUAUAUAUUACACUAUAAAUAGGCAUUAAGCAAUUGUAAACUUGAAAUUAUAUGGGGUUUUUCUAUAUAUUUUUACUACCUUUUUACUUAAUAAAUAUGUUUAUCUUGAGUAAUUGUUAUUAAAAUAAGUUAAUUUUACUUAAAUUAGUAAUAUUGGGCAUGAAUUUAUUAAGUAUGUGAAAUUGUGCUUAAUUACAUUAUUUUUGUACAUAUUUAAUAUUAUUUCAUGUUAAUUUGUUAAUAUGUAAUUUUUCACUAUGUAGAAGGAUCAUUGAAGAUGUGAUUAAUGUGAUUGAAACAUGGACAUGCACAAAUAAAUUCAUGUGGAUGGCAAGACCAUGCAAUUUAGGUCAUGAGGUUGAUAAUUUGACCUAGUAAAAGAGGUGCUAAAAGAUGGACAUGUCUACUAAGUUAUUGGACUAAGAAACUGUCCAACAAGGGGGAACUGAAGCUUAGUUUCGAAAAAAGUAGAUGGCAGCCCAAAAGCAAGCUUUGGGGUAUUUAAUUGAAGGUCCUUAUAGUUGGAAAAUAAUCAAUAAUCAUCCCAACUACUUUACUGUUGAAACCGUCCACCCUAUGGCUAUUAAUAGUCUUGGUCUGAAUUCAAAUUGAGGAGACUUAGUCAUCCCCUUCUCCUUGAAAUAUGGUCGGUCAUGUGUGGUAGAAAAAGUGUUAGAGUAUGCCCAAAGAUCAAUCAUGAGAUGGUUGUAAUAACAUACUUGAUUUAUCAUGUUUAUUAAUAUAAGGCGCUACCAUUAUUAUUUCAGUUUCUUUUCUGUGUGUAUAAAUAAACUAUUUUAUAAUAAUGUCUUGAGAGUAAUAUGAUUAUUCUUAAAAGGUCCUUAGUCAAGUAUUAUUGUUGGAUAGGACAACAAUAAUGCAUUAAGACUUACAUGUAGUUGAUUGAUGAUAAAGAGUUGUCAUUGAUAUGGAAUGUCAAAAUCGAUGCAUGAAUAUGUGUGUUAGAGAACAACAUAUUGGAAUGACCCGUUAUGAGUAUGUUUCUUGGAUUAUUAUGUAAUUGUCACAACAUUACUCAUAGUGAUUAAUAUGUAUAUGAUCCUCAAACUUGAGAUCACCAUAAUCCCAACAUCAUGAGUUGUAUAUUUUGAUACAGUCAAACGUACACCGUAACUGGUUGUUCUAUAAAGGCUGAUGUUGGAUAUACCACGAUCUAUGUAGAGGGAUAUGGUUGAUCGAUAUAGGAUAAGUCUCUCCUACAUAAUGGGAGUAAUAUCUUAGGCCACUUGAUUGAGUGAGACUAGAAAUGCAUGGCCAUGCUCAAAUAAGCUAAUAUGAGAUGUCAUACUUAUUUGUAUAUCAUAGUCUACUUAAGAUAUCAAGGAACAUGGAAUGGACUAUGCAAGUGUGACUAUUCCAUGACUUGUGUCCAAUCUAGAGAUAAAGGACUUAAGGAUUAUUGCAUGAAAGGUUAAUCAUAAAAAGGUUAUGUCGAAUCAUGAUUUCUUGUGACUUAGGUAGCAAUGAUGCAUUGCUAGGUGCCACUCAUUGUUUGUAACAUUAGAAUCGUUCUAGUAUUACUGCUAACGUUACAAGAACCUACAGGGUCACACCCUAUAGUUGAAAUGAACGGAAUAAAACAUAGUUGGUAUUGUGUUUGGUUUUCACUUGAAUUAAAUUAAUUAUAGAAUUAAUUUAAUUGGAUAAUCAAAUAUCGAACACAUUAUGUUCAAGGCUGUUGUACGCAUAAUGAGAACAUAAAUUUGGUUAGUAUAUAAAUUCAAAUAAAUAUAUAGUUUACCGAAAUCAUUAUUAUAAUUAAUGUAAUUAUAAUUUUCGGUUUAAAACAUAGUUAUAUUUAUUUAAUUUCUAGAAACCCUAAAAUAGAUAUAAAAAUCUCGUUUUUUCUUUACUUGGUGUCUAGCAGCCGUCAAAGUAAAAUUUUUUUCCAAAACAGUUUUAGGGAUUCCUUCCGUUCAUUGUCAACUGGGUGGAUUACGUAGAGGCCGGAGUCACGAUAGAUUGAGGCUUGGUUCCAUAGUAGAUCAGAUUACUCGUUGCUGAGGCGUUGCUGUCUACUCAGAAUAAAGAUUCGGUAAUUUCGAAACCUUUAUUUCACCCCGAUUCGUUCCUCACACAUGGAUCCAUGGUUAGGAUCGCCGAAUAUUUUAAUUUUCCGCUGCGCCGUAGGGGUGCCGACGUUCCAACAAAAAGAAGGAAUUUUGAAUCUAUUUUUAGCUAACUCUACCCUUUACCUUCACUUAUAAAUACCAUGCACCAAUCCCUUCAUCCAUCAUCCCUCAAAACUUAUUUCUCUUCUCUCAUUAUCAUUUUCUAUAGAUUCCAUUUCCCUUUCCCUUCCCUUGCAUAUUCACCCAUCCCCUUUCUAUCUUUUAGCCACAAAAGCUUUGUCAAAAGCAUUCUUUGGCCGACCUCCUUAGGAACUCCUUAGCAAAAGAAGCAUCAAGUAGAACAGAGGAGCACAUUAGUUAGAAUAGAUCCGAAAGGCUGCUGAACUGAAUAGAGUUUACUCUUUCCUCUUAUUAUUUAUUUUAAUCAUGUUUUCUUUGAGUUUAUUGUUUUUGACAUCAACGAUAAUAUUUUAAAUUCUAUUUGCUAGGAUGAUUAUGUUAAUUCAAUAAGAUUUAUUUUAUUCAUGUUUAACAUGUUUAGGCCUCAGUCAAUCAUGUUUUCAAUUAAUAUCAUGAUGCAUUUCAUUCAUACAUGAUUGGGUGAACUCAAAUUAGUUGAGCGAUCCUAACUAGGGCUAGUAGAUGCAUAAUUGAAAAGUGCAAUGCUCAAUUUAGAUCCUUAAACACGACUAAGUUGAGGUUAGUAAUAUCUUUAGUUAUCUCUAUUGUCUUGCAUAGUUUUUAGGUUUAUGUAAUUAAACUGUUGCAAACGUAAAUGUCCCUAUGACAUUACAUAAAUGCUAAAAAAACCCUUAGUCUAAUAUGACAAGUAAAAUGCAUAUUUCACUAAGUAAAAGAUCCGAGAGGACUUAAUUUGGUUUCCAAACUCAUGAAAGAUCGAGUUCCCAUGGAAGUAUUUUUGAACAUUGCUAAGCAUGAUAAAGUAAAUUGAAUUGAUUAAUAUAAUUAUCCUAGCCCAUUUAAUGUUGACUAUUUUUGUUGCUAAAGUCAUUAAUUCAUACAUUUAGGUAAAUUGCAUCUAAAUUAGAAUUGCAUAGGGAUCAAUCUUUGCAUCUAAUUAAUUUUACUUAAUUUAAUCAUCACAAUCCAAAUUAUUGAGUUUUUACAUCAAAUUGUGAAUUUAUAAUUUUCCAAUUAAUUGAUUAAGUUUAUACAGUCUCUGUGGAGACGAUAACUCAUUUCACUUGCUUAUUACUUGAACAAUUGUGUACACUUGUGCAUAUUUCUCGUUACAAUAAUCAAAUGUACCAAAUGAUAUAAAGAAUACAAGGAAACGAGUAUGUUAGUAUGAAUGAUAAAUUAUUGUAUUUAUGAUUAUUUGGUUGACUAAAUUUGUGAAUAUUGAGAUACUUAGAGAUAACCUAAAGCAUUAUUUGGCAUACACCCAAAGCCAAAAAGCUAACUCUAUUUAUUCAUUUUUAGUGCCUAUUUUGAGCCAGAACCCCUUUUUGAUGAACCUUUAUACAAAACCCGAGAUAAAAAUGAUAACUUGUGCUUACCAUUUUCUUUGGUCCUGAACUGCAUGAUUAUAGACGUCCGGUGUAACAUCCCAAAUUUUAGGCCUAAAAGAAAUAGGUUUUGAACAAGGCAAACAUUUGGUUAGGUGUUCUGUUAAACAUUAAUAAAGAGGUUACCAAACUUAAGAAACGAGUUUUAUCAACAAGUCUAAAUUUUUGGAAGACACUUCGAUGUGACACGCCAGAUUCGACCAUAACUCCUAGGCCGGGUUUGGGGUGUUACAUUUAGUGGUAUCAGAGUCAGGUUGCAAAACUCGGCUGUUGAAUGGGUUUUGAAAAUAUUUGAAAUUUCUGGAAAACUAUUUUUGAAGUGUUUUGGAAGGUUUACAAGUGUGGCACAUCGAGUCUCUAGCGUCGAAUCCAUAAUUUUUCUUUAUACUAUAGACUGCUUGAACUGAAAUACACUAAGAGACUACUAUAGAUAGUAGGACUAUACUGAAACUCAUUAGUUAGAGUAAACUGAGACUGUAGGAAGCUAGAAACUGUACGGAGACCUUGAUUUGCGAAAACAAAACUCUGAUUACUGCUUUUCAUAAGACAUCUGUUAAUAAUUACUGGAAUUACAAACUGAUGCAUAAAACUUCGUAAACAAAUAAUACGUUAUUUGAUAUGAGCACUAGAGGUACACACGGACGAGGUACAAGAGACCAUGGUAAAGGUCGUAGAGGUGCUCGAGUUGGGUCCUCGUCGUAUGGCCAUACACCUAAUUUGGAACUAGAGUGUGCAGCGGAAGCGUAGUGGUGGAGUCUGUGUUAUGCGACUGAUCUGAUAAUUGGAAAUUUCGAGGACGAAAUUUAUUUAAGGAGGGGAGAAUAGUAACACCCUGAAUUUUGGGCCUAAUAGGUUUUGAACAAGGCAAACAUUUGGUUAGGUGUUCUGUUAAACAUUAAUAAAGAGGUUACCAAACUUAAGAAACGAGUUUUAUCAACAAGUCUAAAUUUUCGAAAGACACUUCGAUGUGACAUGUAAUACCCCGAAAAUUACUACAGUAAGAAAGUAAGACAAUAUCCUUGAUAUAGUAAAAUAAGGAAAUAAAGUGAUAAAAAGGGUAAUAUUGAGUUAUGUCAACAUUGGGAAGUAUAUUAAGACAUAUUAAUUCAAGAAAUAAUUAAAUUGCAAAAGUGAGAAAGUUUUGUUGCCCAAUAGUAAAUACUCAAAAUUUGAGGGGUUAAAGUGUAAAUACAAAAAAGUUGAAGGACCAAUAGUGUAAAUAUUUAAGGGUGGAAUAAUUUAGAAACUAAGGAAAAUGGAUGAAUUAGGACCAAAUUGAAAAGGUGAAGAAUUUUGAGGGACUAAAUUGCAAUUUUACCAAAUUUAGUGAUGACUCAAGAAUGGAAUUUCAAAAGAUUAUAAAGGGCAAAAUGGUCAAAUAGAGGGAGAGAAUUCUAGAAGGUAAUGAUGAUGUUUGUGAUAUUUUUAAUUAAUUAAUUAAUUAAAUGUUAUUUAAUUAAACAUUUAAUUAAUAUUUAAUUAAGAUUUUUAGUAUUAUUUUAUUAUUAAAUGAUUAAUAUAAAAGGGAGGAAAGAUGAUGACAGAUCAUCAUCUUUCCAUGCAACCAACAGUAGAAGAGAAGAGAAGAAAGAAAGUUUUCCUUUCUUUACAAUUUGGUCCUUUCACCAAAAAUUCACUAUUUCCACUUAGAAAUCAAAAGAAUUUCCAUAGCUUCCAAGAAAGAAAAAUAAUAAGGAGAAAUUGGGGAGCUAGAAUGUCAUGUUAGGUUCAAGAAAUAGAGGCUGGAGGAGAGAGAAAAUCAAGUUAAAGAUUGAAAUCAAUAGCAUAAGGUAAGAACAUCAAGAUUUCAAUAUAUUUUUAAGUUUGUUAUUGCUGAAAAAGUAUGGAAAUGAUGUUAUAGUAGAGUUUUAUUAUAUAAGGUCUUACGUUCUUGAUAUAUUAGUGAAGAGAAAUAAGUGAAAGUGAUGGGAAAUAUUAUAGAGAAGGGGAAUAAGGGAGUUAUACACCUAGUAAUCAACAUUUUGCACUAAAACAGUUUUGGACAACAGUAGUAGGUUAACUUCGAAAAAUCACCAUAAAUUGUAAAAACAAAAUUAGAGUAUUAAUAAAAUGUGAAAAUAAAUAUUAUUUAGCCUAGUUUCUCAUAGAAGAAACGGUGUAAGUAAUGGAAUUGUAAAUCAUGAGAUAUAAUAAAUUUUGUGAGACAAGGUCAGAAUGAAUUUGGGUUCCCCUAUUCUGACUUGGAAAAAUUAUUAAAAAUUGUAAAAAAAUAAUUAUGGGUUAAAAUUUAUAUGUUUAAAAUUAUUAAUGAGUCUAUUUUUAAUAGAAACAAACAGGAACAUCAUCUGAAUUCUGUACAAAGAUAUAAUUAAUUUUUAGUGAAAAGGGGUCAGAACUGUUAAACAGUGAAACAGAGGAAACUUUAAAGAAUAAAAUGUACUUAUUGGAUAAACAAAAAAUUCUUAAAAUUAUAUGGUAAGAAUAUACGUGACUAUAGUUUCAGAGAAAAUUUGCGGAUCUCAAUUCGGAGUUCUUUAGCUUAAGAUAUAAUUAAUUUAGUGACUAUGACCAAGUGAACAGCUUGUUAUGAGUAAACAAGUUAAUAGUGGUAUUAUGUAUAUAUCAAGGAUGUGAAAUGGAGUGGAGGAGGAGGAAAAAUAUAUGUUAAUAUUCAUCUAAUAUGAUUUUAUUUUAAAAUAGCUAAUUUACAUGUUUUAGGUUCAGGGACUAAAUUGAAUAAAAGUAAAAUUUUAAGGGUAAUUUUGUAAAAAUGUCAAAAAGUGACCAAAUUGCAUGAAAUGAAUUUUUUUAUUAUUUAAAUUAAUAAAUUGAAUGAAAUAUUAAUUUAUAUCAAGAUUGGGAGGAACUUCGAGGAAAAUAAAAAAUUACCAAAAUGCCCCUAAAUUUUGGUAUUUCUGUAAUUUAGCCUGGUAAGUUCGUGUAACUUGAAUUAUAUUCUUAGAUGAUUGAAAUAUAUAUAUUGGAUUGAGAAAUUGAUUUGAAUUGUGAACAUGAGAAAUUUGAAUUGAAUGAAAUGGAAAUGAAGCUUUGAAUUACAUGAGUAAAUAUCGGGUCUCGUAGGCCCUAUUUAUUAUGAAUAUAAUAUUUCGAGGAUAUGUUGUAAAGAAUUAUAAAAGCACGUUAAAAAUUUGAAAGUUUUAAUUCAGAUGAAAUUUUGUAACUCGGUUUAAUACGCAUGCAAAUGUAUGUAUUCUAGUAAUGUCUCGUGCCCUAUUCCGCCGUCGAAUACGGGUAAGGGGUGUUACAAUGUGACAUCGUCAGAUUCGGUCAUAACGUUUAGACUGGGUUUGGAGUGUUAUAUGACACGCUAGAUUUGACCAUAACUCCUAGGCCGGGUUUGGGGUGUUACAUCUGGCCAAUACAUAUUGAGGGUUAAAUAGUUACAUUACAGUGGUUUUUUUUAAAAUAGAGUGACAGGAAAGAUCAGUGGAGUAUAGUGAUUAUAGGUUAGCUUAAAAGUACAAAAAGAAAAUUAAAUGAGUAGAAUAAGUUCGUGAAAAUAAAAGUAAUUGUCAAUGAGGUACUGUGAAAAAGAAAGAAAAGUGACAAAGUCACAAAUAUAGAAAAACUUGUUCAUUGUUGCACAAAAAAAAACCUCGUGAGCUAGCCGUAGUUACUAUAUGAUGCUGAGAUUUCCUAUAAGGAGACAUAAGGAAGGUAAGAGAAGAAUAAAUAAGGCGAUGAGUGAGAAAGGGUCAUUAAAGGGAAGAAUAGGGGACAAUAUGAUGUGUUAAACUAUUUUUGUGCUUGAAACUAUUUGAUACUUACUAUUCUUGAAUUCCAUACAUGACCUAAGCCUCAGAACAUUACAAGCCGAAAAGCCCUAUGUGAUUUAGGUAGGUUUAUUCAUAAUUUGAAAUUAUACUGAAUAAUUGCAUUUACGACUGUUUGUAUUCUACUAGGACAAUCAAAUACCUUGUAUAAUUUAUUAAUGGAUUCCUACAUUUGAGACCCUUAAUGCUUGUAUGCUUUGUAAUAUACUAAACUUAGGUGUUUGAUAUCAAAAGUGAUAAGUCAGCUAUAUAUCAUGCCAAGAUUAUGUGUGAAUAUGAAAUGCUUAUUCAUGUGCUCCAAAGCUAACAUUUGUACCAUACUUGCUCAAGUGUCGUCUUUUCAUUUAUUAUUUUUGUUUGUUUUGCUUGAGGAUAAGCAAUGACUUAAGUGUGGGGGAGUUUGAAUACAAGUAUUUUUGUUAAGUUUUAAUUAUGUUUUCACAAUUUUAAUUAAAUUCAGUAAAGUGUGUAAUUUGAGUCUUUUAUUGACCUUAGGGGCCGAAUAAGGCUUAAAUGUGAGUUAAUAUACUUUGUGAACAUGUAAGACACCACUAGAAGGUGCGCUAACUCGAUAUUGGUCACUGUGUUACAACACGACGCACUGAAUGUCGUAACAUAGUGAACAGAAUAGAAGAAUUCCAAGACUACCUUUGGUGUUGUGACAUAGCUUAAGGAUGUUGCGACACACCCCUGAAGAUACCCUAAAGAUGAACAUACUACCCUCGAUGUCGUGACAUCACCUCUGUACAGGAAAUAAUUACGAGCCAGAGGCAUUUUAGCCCGUACAAUCAAACAUUAAAUACGAGGAUGACAGCUGACCUAGGUUAAGGAUGAUGACUAAUCUAAAGUCUAUAAAUAGGCUCAUUUAACACAUGUUAUGGACAACAUUCGUUUUGUAUGAUUUCCCCCUUAGAUUUAGUCUUUAGUUUUUCUCUUUUUUUAGACUUUAGGUUUAUUUUGGUUUUGUUAUUUGUUCUUGUCGAAGAAAUCAGAUUUGUGAAACAUAAUCAAACUCUGUGAGGAUUCUGCACUCAUUUCUAAUACAGAUCAGGCUUCUUGUAAACUUUAUACUCUUGAAUUAUUAUUCAUGUUUACUCUUUCUAUCAAGUUUAUAUUGUUUAUGAGAUCCAUGAGGAACUAAUCCUCCUAUGGGAGAAUAGCGAGUGGAGAUAUGAUUAAUUAACUAUUUUGUAGGGUUUUAUUAGCGGAUUAGCUAUUUAGGAAAGGAAGAACCUAAAACCUAAGCUUGACAAUCCCAGGAAGUCAUUAAGGUGGGAAUUAACCUAAAUUUGGUAUGCCCUAUCCGUGAUUACCUUAACCCUGAAUCGAUCUGGACUGUGAGGUUGAGAGAUAAAUAGUUCUUGUUAACUCAUUAUUUUAGUGGAAGAUUGGAAGAUCUUGCUGGGAUGUAUACUAGUUGAUUGAACAAGAAAACUCGAAGCAACAGUUGGUUAUAUUAUUUGAUUUCUUGUGCAUUAUUUAUUUCUUUUCUUUCUUCAUUAUUAUUAGUAUAGAUUACCAAAACUUGUCUUUUUAUCUCAUCGUAAUAUAAUUCAUUUAAAGUACUAACUAGAUCUAUUUAUGCUUACGUUAGAAUUAAUUUAGUGCUCGCCUCCCUUGGGUACGAUCCUCGGAGUACUCAUCUACUAUGUUGUAACUAUAUUACAACCUGACCCGUAUACUUGCAAAUACUGCCUUUUCAUAUAUUUUGUGCAAGAUUUCUACUAUGGAUGUUGGUACAUCUAGAGGCAAUCAGUAGAUCACACAAUCUCGUUAUUGAUUCGAUAUUUUUUCAAUUGUUUUAAAGCUUAAUUUUGUCGCAUGUAUAUAGGUUUUAUGAAUUGUUAAUUUUGAAUGUUGGCAUAACUUGAACUCUAUCUUGUGCUUGAUUUUGGCAAUGUUAAGUUUAAUCUAAAUGGUGAGUUUUUGGAAAAUAUGGUUCAAUUAUGAAUAAAAGUUAAAAUAGCUUGUUUAAACAUAGAUUAGCAUAGUUGAGAAGUUGAUUUUGAGUGGCUAGUUGGUUGGAUGAAUGGUUUGUGAUUGAAUAAGUUGAAAUUGUAAAUUUGGUUCUAAUUUGAAGUUUUAUUAAAAUGGUUGAAUUGAAAUGGUUAGAGGCAAUAUUUUAGUAUGUGUUUGAAAUGUUGUUGCGUAGGAAAAGUUACGUAAAUAUGCACUAAAUGUAAAGAAUGGGAGGUAUCCAUGAAAUAGGUACCAAAUGGCCUAAAUUUUACGAAAAAUAGAGUCUAUGUUCCGACAACCAAUCUUCCUCAUCGUAAUUUUGGCCAGCAAUAAGUCGCGUCAUGACAUUAAGUGGCCUAAGGUCACAACGUAACAAAAUGUUUGGUGACGUCACGUUGUCGGCCUUGAAAUUUUGAAACUUUGCAAUUUGGUCAUAUUUCAUGCUUGAGUCAACAAAAGAGCUUUUCUAAACUUGAUUAAGGGUCGAAUUUAAUUUUGUAUCAUAAUGUGAAGGUGUUUAUGAUAUGAUUGAAUGUCUAAAUGAUUUAUUUACGGUGUAUUUGACGGUAGUUGCUCUUGCAACGAAUGUGGCAUCCUAUGGCUCAGACCCAAUGAUUGGGUUAGGCAAAGGUUUUUACAACCAAAGUGUAUAAAUUGUAUAAUUGUUGUGAUUUUUUUAAUAAUAUAUAAUAGAAGGUCUCAUAAGGAUGUGAUUGAGACUGGUUUCGAAAUCAAACUCAAAAUUAAAAGAUUUUGUUAAUUUUAAUGACUAAAUUGAAUAAAAUGUAAAAAUUUAGGGAAAAUGAAAUUAAAAUGGUUCAUGCAUAUUGGGGGUUGAUAUAAAAAUAUUUGGUAUUGAUAAAUUAAAUUGAAUAAUUGUAUAGAUCGAGAAUUGAACCAAAUCGAAGAUAAUCAAGGAAACGACAAAAUUGAGGAAUUAUUUUUAAAGAUACAAUUUGCUUGUUGUUUUGCCAAGUAAGUUUAUAUGGAACUUACUAAUUUUUUUAUGUGAUGCUGUAUUGUAUUUAUUCUAUCGACAUGUUUAGUCUCAACUGAAAUAGGUGAAAUUGGCAUAAUUGGCUUAUUUUGGACUAAAUUGUAGAACAUGAAAAUGAUGGCUAUUAUGAAAGGGUACAAGGUACCAAUAUGAAUGUUAAAUGUUUAAAAUAUGUAUGACAUGUGUAUAGUGAUACAUGAUUUGAAAUGAUAUUAUUACAAUAAUGAUGACCGUGUGAGCUUAGUAAAAGAUUAGGAUAUGUAUGAUAUGCCAUUAGGGUUAAAUACAAAAUCGAAUAGGGGUAUACAUGAUGUAUGAGAUCCAACAUUUAUUGUAGAUUCUAGAUUUAUAUGUAUCAUUGGUUUAACCUAGAUUGGUAACCUCGAUACGAUGUCAACUUGUGUGAGUAAAUCUGUUAUAUUGUCAGCUUGUGUGAGCAAUAUAAUCUUAUGUAUUGGAGUUCGAUUUACUAAGGUUCUCUCUGGAAAAACUUUAACUUAAUUAAAAUGGAAAGAUUGAAAUGAAUUGAAUAUAGAUAAAUUGAUAUAUGAUUUCAAAUGGAAAUGUGAUUUAUGAUUUAUUAUCUAUUCAACUUGAUAUACAAAUGAACUAACCUAGUGGUUGUUAUGAUUUAUGUGUUAGUUAUUUCAAGAUAUAUUAAAGAAUGCUAUAUUGAUUUUGAUUGUGUUAAAUGAUUAGCUUAUUGAAUUGUUAAGGUAAAUUAAGUAAAUUACAUAUGACCUUACUAAGCAUUCACUAAGCUUACUCCAUUAUUACCCCUUUCCUUGUAGAUUGUUACAUUGCGAAAUGUGUCAAGUGGAAUGUUUGAACCUCACAAUAUCCCGUUUUUGAACCGGUAGUUUAUUUUAUCAUUUUAAGUCCAAAUUUGUGGCAUUCACAUAGGUGUUUUGCAUAUGUUAACUUUGAAUGUGGAACAUAGCUAAAAUCUACCUAAUGCACAAUUUUGGCAAUGUUAAUGUCUUGAUGAAAUGGUAUGUUUUGGUAAAUGGUUUGUGAUGUGUAUGUAGCAAUUGAGUGGGCUUAUUUGGAUAUGAAAUAGUGUUGAAAAGCUAGUAUUUAGGUGUUUGUUUGAUAUUUAUAUGUCAUGUUAAUAAGAUGAUAUGUCUAAUGGUUGAUUAUAAAUUGAUAAGAAGUUGAUUGUAUUAUUUGCAUUUGUUUUGGUAUAUUUUUUGAAAUGUUUUGGUGCAGGUGAAGUUAGUCAUUUGUGCACAAAAUCAUAAGUUUAUGUGGAAGCUAGAAAUAGGUACCAAAUGGCUCAAAGUUUACCAAAAACAAAGUCCACAUCCUAGUGUGCAACUUAGCUCGUUGCAGCAUCGACCAAAAUAGUGAGUCACGUCGUGACAUUGAGUGACCUUAAGUUACGGCCUGACAUACUAUUUUGAAAACAUCACGAUGUGGAGAAAUUAACUUCACAAAUUCGGUUCUAAAGUUUUAAAACUUUGCAAUUUGGUCAUAUUUCGUGCUUGGGUUAUCAAAAGAGCUUUUGUAAGCUCGAUUGAGACUCAGAUUUGAUCGUUUAUCAUAAUUUAAAGGUAACUGACUCGUAUUAGAAUUUAUAAAUGUUUUUUUACUGUGAACUCGACGGUAGUUUCUCCAGAAAAAAAUGUGGCAUCCUGUAGCUUGGACCCGACGAUCGGGUCGGGUGAGGAGUGUAACAUUUAGUGGUAUCAGAGGUAUGGUUUAAUCGAUUCUAGGACUAAAAUGUAGCUUGUGUUAAGUCUAGAAAUACAUGCCACAAUAAUUUGCAAUAGUGUGAUGCCUUGUGAAUCGAAUUGACUCUGUUUUCCAUAUAGUUAAACUAUGUCGGCCGAAUUAAAUAGAGUCAUACUAGAUGAAAUCAAUAGUAAUGUUCAUGCUUUCAAUCAGGGAGCUGCCCAGAGUUUGCCCAUUCUAUAAGGGCCUAGAAACCAGGAAAAAAUGUCUUUUUUUCAUAUGAUGAACAAGUGGUUCACUUAGCUUAUGGGAGCUAACCCUUCAACUUUACAACCCCAAAUGCACCCUUCUCCCUUGAUUGUGCCUCUUGUGGCACCCCUUGUCCUCAAAAUCUUAAUAUGGUACCUAUAAAUUGACUUCUAAUCGAUAAAUUCUAAAAAUGAGUUCCUUAUUCCUCCCUUAGCCAUUAUUGGGAUUCCUACUAAAUUCGUCAAUGCUACGGACACUUAUAUACACAUUUUGGCGUCUCCUCUCACUGUUUCAGACUUGGACACUUGUCCUCCAACCUUGCAUACAUCCCCAAUUGGCUUUCUCUACUACACUCCCCCUACUAGCAAGGUACAAAUCUUCUUUUCUUGGAGGAAACACAUCGGUGUGGGACAAUAUCCGUUCUCCCCCUUGUUGUUCGGCAAAGGAAAUAUAGGGAUUUUCUCUUGGAAUUAAAAUAAUUAGCCUACCCUUCUUCUUCUUCCAAGGGUAUUCACAAACCUACCCUACCAGAGUUGGCGGGUUCUUUUUCCAUGAUGGUUGCAGAGUGUGACUUAUGAGUUGGGCUCUCCAAAGGGCUUGUGAUGAGAUCAAUGCUAGGAAUCUGAGAGGAGAAUUCUCUUUGGUAAGCAAUCUCUUAACCAAGUCCACUAAUCGUAUGAAGCCGUUGUCUGCCAAAAUCACGAGCUUACACAGUCAAUCUCCAUUUGGGAGACUAAGUACCAACCCUCGAUUGUCUAAGAAAAAGAGUUAGAAGAGAGGGUUCGUCAGCUGUAAGCCCUUGAGAAAGAGUACCUCGCCAAAAAAGAGCAGAUAUAAAGGGAGAACAAAAAGGCUCUAGAGAUGUUGAAAGCAAAUUCCAAUGCGAACAUUCGAGCAUUUCUGCCUAGCUUGAGGUCUAACUUAGUGCUGCAUGUACAAGUCGCUAUUGGUCACCUCGACUUGCAUUCUGUGAACUUUAAUUGUGUGCGAAAACUCACAAACACCGAGCUUGACUUCAACAUUCUAAACCUCAAUGGGGCUAAAUGUGAAGAAUUUCAUAGGAAGUGGAAGGAAUCCAAUACUCUUUUAUGAUCAAGACUUAGAGCUGUCCAACUCUGGUUCCUCAAAAGAGGCUGACCUAGAAAAAACCCCAGGGAUGCCGCCACUUCUCCUACUCAAGGGGAAAUUAGAAUUUUGCUGUUGUACCUUGCACUGGCCUUGUAAUUUAAUGACAUUUUUCUUUACCUUCUUUACCUAUCUUUUGCAUCUACUUUAUUUAGUUUUUUCCCUUAUAUUGUCUUCGAAAUGCAUAACGUCAGGCUUGCAACAGUUCACCAAUCUGUACCCAACUUCAUAACACGUAAUAACUUUACAACAACUUAAAGGACUAGACCAGAUCCAAUGUAGCAUGCAUAUAAUGGCUACUCCUUACCUUUCUAUAUCAAAAGGAUUGGCUAAAUCGAAGCUCUGAGACCAUUAAAUUAUAAAACCCUUUUCUCGACUCGAUCGUUGAGUCCAGAGCCAAGUGUCACAAAUAACCUGAGUUACUUAACAUAAAUCUAGCUUUGUUUAUUUACAAAUUUAAGUACACCAUGAUUAAUCUGAAUUUACCAUAUGACUAUGAUAUCUUUAAUUAACAACAGGUUUCAAAAUAGGGCUACAAUUAAAAUUUCUACAAGUUUUAAAGUUCGUACAUCCGCAUCUUUUUAUCAAGCAUGAACAAUUAAUUACAUUAACUUGGAACUUAGUACUUUACUAUAGAUACACUUAAGUAAUUUCCCCUAAGGUGUAGCCUCUAAGGGUGCCCCUCUAUACACAUGGUACAGCUAUGACGCCAUUAAUGUGAGCUUGACAGUGUCUAGCUUGGUCCAUCCACAUGAUCCUCGAGUCACUCAUUUACCCUACAUUUCAAACAGUACAUUUGUAAGUUCAUAUGAACUUAGUGAAAUCCUGUACAGCAAAAUUCAUAAAAAAACUCUUAAAUUAUUAGGUAAAUAAUAAUCAAUGCACAGAAUUAAAACUUCAUGAGUGUCUUAGAAGAUUCCACAGGUUUAACUGGCAUUGCCGAUGCCCAUACGUGCUCUGAACUAACCAUUGGCGGACAUGUCGACUGGUUUAGUCGUAAGCAUGCUCUUCUAGAAACCCUUUUUUCUAGGACUUGACCCUGUCUAGUUUCAACUCAGACUUCCAAUUUUUCUUUCUUGAUUCGACUCAUCAUAAGAUAACCAUAUCCACAAACGUGCGAGUUGGUUUCAAUUAUUGGCAAACAUUCAAAUAUCUCACCACCUGGCAGAUUCCUUCCUGUCUCCUUUCAUUUCAUGCCAAACAUAAUAUAGACAUGUCAUAUUGUCUCGACAUUUUCCCUUUUAUGACUUAACCAAUGUGUGUACCCCUUUCUUUAGGUAAACAUGUUUACUAAUAUUCUUAUUUGCAACUUUGAAUAUUAGAUUUGGCUGAUAAAUAAGCACCACUUUCAUUGCGGACUUGCACCCCCUCUUUAGAACAUUCUACUAAAAUACUCUUAAGAAUAAAUAGUUCCCGAUGAACUAUAUCUUCCUUAGUUUUCCCUUGGCAAACUUCCACCCUUGAUAGUCUUUUGUGGGCUUCCUCAUUCUAUAUGGUCCUAGUAGAAAUCUUAUUCUUUUGUAAAUUCUUAACGGACUUUCUCACCAAAAUAGUCAUUGGCAAACUCCCCUUUUAAAAGGGUCUAUGGCAGACUUUCUCUAUUUCUGGUGGCUUCUUUACCCACAGAUUCUUAGGAUUAAAAUCUACCUAAUCAUCUAGAUUUAACACACCAAAUGUUGGUUUACUCACCAAACUUUGGCGGAUACUUAAAUACUUUGGAGAAAAUACCCCUUCAUUUCACAUAUAUCGCAUUUAAAAUGCUUCUGCAAUUCUUCUUACCUCCAUAUUAUGGAGGAUCCUCUUAUUAGCAUACUUACCAUUGUUUUCAAAUAAGUUAUGAUCAUCAUGUCAGACUGCUCACCGCGAGUGUCAAACAAUAACUUCCCUUUUUAUUCCUUGACAAGCUUCCUUGUUUACUGUUCUAGCAGACUCCAUUUCGCCAUAAGGUGUACCUGUUCACCACUGGAUCGUGCCAUGGCUAACCAUGGACUCUUGAUUCUCAAGAAUCAAUAAACCCCUUUCAAGGUAUCACCACGAAAGACCUGUAUACCAUUUACAUGGUGUCACCCUGAAGGACCUAUAUACCAUUUACACGGUGUUGCCCCGAAGGACCAGUAGAUAACCGUCAACAUGGUGUCGCCCCAAAGGACCAGUAGAUAUCUAUUCCACAAUGCCACCAAACUCCCUUGAAUCCUAUAACAAUCUGCUCAUUCCUCCAUUACACUAAUUAUUCCUAUCUUCAUCUACCCCAUUAAAGUAAAUCCUUCCAAACUCUGCAUUUUAUAAACAUAUAUUUCACGCAAGUCAUUGUACUUAUUAUUAUAACAUACAGUACACCAUUUAUCAAUAAGACAAUGCACAACCACAUUUGGCAUCCAGAGAACAUACUUGCAAUGAUCCAUAUAUUUUCACAACUUUAUGCAUGUAUAGCAUACUCAUUCACUGUGAUCAUAAACAACCAAUAGCAAACACACGAGCAGAACAUUCCUACACAUUAACAACAAACACCUAAGUGGAGCACAGAAACUCACCUUAAACCCUUCAUCCUCGCCAGUUUAGCUUAUACAAAUGCCAAAGCCUUCUUUUUCUUGGCAGCUAAGCAUGGCAACCAUAUAUAUAUCAGUUAAACCAAAGGUGUUCAAACCUUCAAACCUUGAAUCCAUUAUUAUACAGAAGCUUUUUAAGAAUCCUUACUUCUUUUUUCCUCUAAUUCAAGAGUACAAAGAGACAUAGGAGUUUACCAGCUUACUACAUUCUCUACUUUCCAGACUCGAGUCUCACAUUUACCGCCUCAUGCAAAGCUUUCCUUAACUUUCUUUUCUUCGAAGCAACCGAAGAAGACGAUGCAGAUGAUAAGAGAAUAUAAACAGAAUAGGGAAGAUUUUUUCCUUUACUGAAUAAGGCUUCUUACUUAUAUAUAUAACUUUUCUCGUGUGAUCACCAAAGCCCCAAUUAAACCAUCCAUCGGCAAUCAUUUUGUCCCCCACUAAGGAACCAACCAGUUCCAACAUAAUUGAACCAGAAUUAGAUUUCCACUAAUUAUCAAUCAGCUACAAAAAUUUCCAACUUUUCCAAUAAAGCCCACCCACUUACUAUUUUAUCAAAUUAACUCCCAACUCUCCUUUAAAUACGAUACUUUAAUGAAAACCAGGUGUGACAUCUAUAAUUCAAAUAACAAAGUGCAAGUUAUCAACAAAUAUGUCUUUCAUAUCAACUGCAAAACAUCAUGCUAAAUGUACUAUAUUAUCAUACCAUUUUCCGAAUCGAAUUAAUUGAUUCAUCACAAUUCUAUAUAAAUCUUCUAGACUUAUAAAUUCGGCUCAAAUAAUAUUUUAAAAUAGCAAUUCAUUUCAUAUACUAUUAUCAAAAUUAAUUUUUAAAUCCAUAUUAACAUAACUUGGACUCAAAUGGAUACAUGAAUCCAACCAACACACUAAUUUACCACAUUGUGCCUCAUUAGACAAACCAUAGUAAAUACAUUGCGCCCAACGCUCAUCAGUAUAACUGAAGUAAAAGUUGUGACCAACAUUUAUUGACCUAUAGUUGAAGCAACUUGUACUCAACACAUCUGACCGCCGCCGGAUGUACUAAUGUCCAGAGUAUGAAUACUGCAACAAAAGAUAAAGAAUUGAGGUGCUGUAAUAUAGUUUUUACGAUGAAGUAGGUAAGUACUCCGAGGAUCGUGCCCAAGGGAGGCGAGUACCAAAUUAGUGUUAACCUAAACGUAAUAAAAUUAAUUAGUAGUUUAAAUAAAUUAUAGUACGAUGAAACAUAAAGAAGAAUUUUUAGAUUUUUAUAAAUGAUGAAAUAAAAUAUGCAUAAAUAAAGUAGACUUUGGAAAACUUAAUUUAUAAACUUAAUCAAAUCUAGACAUGUAUGAUUAGCUCGCUUUGCUGAUUAUAACUAAUUCCUAUUUUAAGUUUCUAUUCAAUCAACUAGUCGUUAUCCUAGCAGGAUCUCUCGGUCUUCCACUAAACUAACAAGUCGACCAGAACUACUUAUCUCUCGCCCUCACAAUCCAAACCGGUUCAAGGCUAAGGUGUUCACUGAUAGGCUAUACCAAUUUUGGGUUAAUUCCCACCUAAAUGACUUCCUAGGGUCAUCAAGCCUAGGGUUUAAGUUCUUUCUUUCCUAAACAGCUGAUCCAUUAAGAAAACCCUUCAUAACGAUUAAUUAAUCACACCUCCAUUCUUUAAUCCCCCAUAAGAGGACUAGCUCUUCAUGGAAUCCAUAAACAUAGUAUACUUCAUGAUAAAUAUAUGCAUGAAAAAAUAAAUCAAGAAUAAAUUUUAGAGAAUCCUGAUUGUAUUCGAUUGAUGAAGCACAAAAAUCCUAAAACAUUUUAUUGUGUCUACAAAUCAAGUUCUUCGAAGAACACGAAUGAAAAGAACUAAAAAGAAAUCUAAACCCUAAGAGAAAGAAAAAACUGAAAAUUGAAUUACAAAGAAAAUCUUUGAAUAUCAAAAGUUUUCCAUAAUAAGUGUUAAAUGAGCCUAUUUCUAAAUUUAGGGUUGUCGUAGUCCUCAAUCCUAGGUUAGUUGACGCUCUCAUGUUAAACAUUUGAUUGUGCAGACCAAAACGCCCCUGGCUCGUAAGUGUUUCCCAUAUAGGACCGAUGUCGCGACACCCAAGUACUUGUGUUGCAACAUCGAGGGCAACAUGCUCAUAUUUAGGGUAUCUUCAAGGGUGUGUCGUGACAUCCUCUAGCCGUGUCAUGACACUGAAGGUAGUCUUGGAAUUCUUCUAUUCUACUCCCUAUAUUGCAACAUCAAACUCUUCGUGUUGCAACACAACAACUAGCAUCAAGUUAGCACGUCUUCUAAUGGUUUCCUGCACACUCACAAAGUAUAUUAACUUACCCUUAGGCCUCAUUCGACCUAUUGAACUAUAAAUACUUAAAUUACACUUUUUAUUGAACGUAUGAAAUUAUGAAAAAUCGACUAAAACAUAACAAAAGAGCUUGGAUUCAAGCUCCUUAAAUGUGAAAACUAGUUUAAUCUGCUACACUGAAUUUUGACAAAUUAAACUCCCCCACACUUAAGCCAUUGCUUGCCCUCAAACAAUGUAAACAUAUAAUUAAAAAAAACAAAAAAGAAGGUAUGAAAAGAAAAAAGAAAAAAAAUUAGUUGUAAAUAAAAGUAAACCAAACUACAAAACAUAAAAAAAGAAAAUAACUACUUGGUUUCUUUCUUUAAACAAGCUAGAAUUGGUGAAUAUGGUUGUAAAUAAGAACCUCACACCUAGACUCCCCUACACUUAACUUUUGGUUUGUCCUCAAGCAAAUCAAGUCCAAACACAUAGCAUGUAAUAAGAAGACAUCCCUUAGAUUUUAUUGCUACUAAGAAAAUGAUUGUCAAAUAUGAAAGGUAUAACAAUUCUUAUCGCACAAGUAACUUAAUUUUGAUAGUUUGAUGCUUUGAAAUUUUUUAAAGGAAAAAAAGAUUAGUUUACAAAGUUACAUUACUAACAAAUUAGAAGUAAUCCCCAUGACCAAAUAUUUAACAAUAUCACCAUUAACAUAAAUAAAAAAGACAUGCAGUAGACACAAUCAUGUGAAUCAGAAAAUAUUCAUUGAGUAUAAUUGUUAGCAAUUCCGUAAUAUUAUGCACAGAGAACGCUUAAGUCACAUUGGUCUUCUAGGCUUGUAACUGUUUGAGGCUUAGAACGGUAUGAGUUCAAAUAAAGAUAUGGCUCAAAAUGAUUCAAACACUAGAAAUAGUUAGGCACAUGACAUUGUUCUCUAUCUUCCCCCUUAAUGUCCCAUCCAAGCUCACCGCAUUUUGUCUCCCUCUCUCACUUACCUUACCUUUCCAUGUAGGAAGAUACAAUAUAAUACUAGAAACCAUGGUCGACUUAAUGACUUUUGGUGCAUUGAUGACUGAGUUUUCUCUCACUUUUGUGACUUUUUGUUUUGUCACUUGACUUUUUACUCUUUUCUCAGUCAUGGUGUUUUUGUUUCUAUUCUAUAUUCUUUCCACACAUUUUUACUUUUGAAUUUCUUUUCUUUUUCGCACAUUUUUGCUCAACCUAUAAUCACUGUAUCACAUUGUUUCUUCCUUUGUCGCUCUUUUUUUUUGGAACCACCAUAAUGUAUCUACCUAAACACUCAAUAUCUAUGGUCUGACGUCUAUUUUAUAAUGUAUUAAAGGACUAAGGAUAGGGAAGAGUUCAAGUUUUAUGUGUGGUCGUUGGGUUUUAAUUUUGAUGGUUCAUCAAAAAGGAGUUAUCAGGCUCAAAUAAGGACAGUAGGGAUUCAUAGCAUUAAGGUAUGGUCAUUUGAGAACUAACUAUUCAAAUAAAGCCUUAGGUCAUCCCUAAGCAUCCCACUAUACACAAUUUCUUUCAUGCUUCAAAUUAAACCGAAUGAAUAAUAAUCAAUUCAAGCAUUCAUGUCCCUAAGACUAUCUACAAAACUUAUAUUUCAUAUGGCAUCAUUAAACAUUCUUACUUAGGUACUUCUAAUCUAUUAUGCAAUUUAACUAGGUAACCUAAUUAAUUUCCCUUAAAAUAAUCAAAUUAUCUCAUAUCAAUAAAAAAUUCAUAAUUGACAAAAAUCAUUACAUGCUUCACUAUUUUCAACCACUACUCACUAUCUUAAUAAUGCAAACAAGAAAACUUCCCUAAGUAGGUCAGAUCCUUAUUGUUAUGAUAAUCUCAGGAUUUGUGUGCUCCAGGCAAACAAAAAGGUACCUAAAAAAAUACUACGACAAGAAAUAUGAAAUAAAAAUAAAAAUAAGAAGAAAAAGAAAAAAACAAAGAAGUGUCAAAAAUCGAUGGCAGAACGUCUAAAAAUAUUCAGAUGAACUUGGCCUUUUCAUGUUGCAAGGUACGUUCUGCCUAGGAUGUCACGACAUUAGAGUGCGAUGUCGGGACAUCAAGCCCAGUUUCUAGCUUCUUUGAUUUUUUUUUUCAAUUCUAUUCCACCAUAGUAUCUACUCCUAAAAAAACUUGAACACAAAUAACAUUAGUACUAAAAACUAAAAGUAACGAGAAAUAACAAAAAAAUAAAAAUAAAGAAAACUGAAAAAUAAAACAAAAUAUAAAAAUUCUUUAGAAAUUGGGAUGACCCGUAUCGCCACCAUAGAAGAACUUCCUUCUAGUUCUUGACACUUUGAUUCGACGUUUGUUUCUCUGUUGAUGUAUAUGAACUAGCCUUUUCGAUUGAUUUCAUGUUGUCUUAUUUUCAAUCGGCGUGACAUCCACAUUACAAGCCAUUCCAAAUCUGAGCCAACCCCAAAUUACUUUCCAAGGUAUUAUUGCCUCAAGCUUCCUUCCCUCCAUUUCGCGUGAAGUUUUGAUCCCUCCAGAUUUAUUGCUUUUGUUGGUUGAGAAUGGAUCAAACUCAUCGACUUCUUCGACUAGCACAUUCUCUGCUACAACCAAAAAGUGUAUUGGCUUUUCUAAAAUUUCAUUCAAUAUUGGUUUAAGCUCUAUGUUAGUGGUUAGUUCAUCUUCCACUUAUACCUUUAUGAUAAGUUCUGCUGCUAUGUUAAUUGGAUCAGAGAUCGUUUCAACAAUGUUCAAUUCAUCCCCAUGGUCUUCAGUUACAAGCUCCGGUUGAAUCUCACCAUAAUUCUCAUCAUGGUCAUUGAUAAUACAAUGGUUCUCUUGAUCUAUGUUGUGAGCGUCAGACAUUCCUCUUUCCCGGAAGGCAGCACUUCAUAUACUUCUUGCAUCAUUUUGAUCAUUUGCGCCAUCAUAUCUGACAUGUGUGACAAUACCUUAGAGUUGUUUGUCUUGGUGGUUUCACAUGAAGGAAUCUCACACGAAUCACUAGAAGGCUUGUUUGAAUGUUUGGGCAUAUCAUGAUCUUUUUCAAGUGCCUCAUACAAAUUAUCAAUGAACUUAUAUGGAUGUUCGACUAUAUCAGUACCUUGUUCAUUACUUCACUGGUAUGUUGAGACUUUAUUUUUAGCUUGGCGCAUCUCGAUCAUAAAAUUUUUUUUAUUUUCCAUGAUCUCCCAUUCUUCAUAUACUCCCUCAUUGUAUAUUUCGUCAUCAAAGCCCAUCUUAUCAUUGAACAACAUGUAACUAGUUUCAUCCAUGUUUGGAUGAUUUUCUCGGAUUACUCCCUAUGGAUCAGUGACUGACUAAACAAGUAUUACUCUCUUCUGAGGCAUAUACUGAAAUUAACAAAGAAAAAGAAAGGAGUUAGUAAACUAAAUUAAUAAUACUAAAAAUAGAAAUCGUAUUUAUAAUUCAAAAUUUUCCUAUUAUUCUUAUUAAAAUGUAAAAAUUAAAAUCAAUUUAGUAACGUUGCCUCCCUGGCAGCGGCACCAACAACUUGACUGCCUCUGAACGUACUAACGUCUAAAGUAUGAAUACUGCAACGAAAGAUAAAGAAUUGAGGCAUUGUCGGCAAUUAUACGGGUCAGGUUAUAAAAUAGUUUUUACAACGAAGUAGGUAAGAACUCCGAGGAUCGUACCCAAGGUAGGCGAGUAUUAAAUUAAUGUUAACCUAAAUGCAAAUAAAAUUAAUUAUUAGUUUAAAUAAAUUAUAGUACGAUGAAACAUAAAGAAGAAUUUUUGGAUUUUUAUAAAUGAUGAAAUAAAAUAUGUAUAAAUAAAGUAGACUUUGGAAAGCUUAAUUUAUAAACUUAAUCAAAUCUAGACAAGGGUGAUUAGCUCGCUUUGGUGAUUAUAACAAAAUCCUAUUUCAGGUUUCCAUUCAAUCAACUAGUCGUUACCCUAGCAAGAUCUCUCGAUCUUCCACUAAACUAAUAAGUCAGUAAGAACUAAUUAUCUCUGAACCUCACAGUUCAAAUCGAUUCAGGGCUAAGGUGUUCACGGAUAGGCCAUACCAAUUUUGGGUUAAUUCCCACCUAAAUGACUUUCUAGGGUUUAAAUUCUUCCUUUUCUAAACAGCUGAUCCGCUAAGAAAACCAUUCAUAACAAUUAGUUAAUCACACCUCCACUCCUUAAUCCCCCAUAAGAGGAUUAGUUCUUCAUGGAAUACAUAAACAUAGUAAACUUGAUGAUAAAUAUAUGCAUGAAAAAAUAAAUCAAGAAUAAAUUUUAAAGAAUCUUGAUUGUAUUCGAUUGAUGAAGCACGAAAAUCCUCAAACGUUUGAUUGCAUCUACAAAUCAAGUUCCCCGAAAAACACGAAUGAAACGAACUAAAAAUAAAUCUAAACCCUAAGAGAGAAAAAACUGAAAACUAAAUUACAAAGAAAAACUUUGAAUAUCAAAAGUCAUCCACAACAAGUGUCAAAUGAGCCUAUUUAUAAAUUUAAGGUUGUCGUCGUCCUCAACCCUAGGUCAACUAACAUUCUUGUGUUAAACAUUUGAUUGUGUAGACCAAAACGCCCCUAGCUCAUAAGUGCUUCUUGUACAUGAUCAAUGUCGCAACACCCUAAUGCCUGUGUCGCAACAUCGAGGGCAGUAUGCUCAUAUUCAGGGUAUCUUCAGGGGUGUAUCGCGACAUCGAUCAUGUCUUGGAAUUCUUCUAUUUUAGUCCCUAUGUUGCGACAUCAAACUCUUCAUGUUGUAACACAGUGACCAGUAACGAGUUAGCACGCCUUUUAAUAGUCUCUUGCACACUCACAAUGUAUAUUAACUCACCUUUAAGCCUCAUUUGACCCCUAAGGUCAAUAAAAGACUCAAGUUACACUUUCUAUUGAAUGUAAAUGAAAUUAUGAAAGCUUGACUAAAACAUAACAAAAGAGCUUGUAUUCAAGCUCCUCAAAUGCCAAAACUAGUUUAAUCUACUACACCGAAUUACAGCAGAUCAAUAUCCUAUGGCAUGUCAACUAUAUUCGACUUUGCCCGAAUAGUGGCAACUAAUCAUCCAAUUCAUAAUAUAGCUUAAUUUUGCAUUUCAUAUCUCCAAUUCAUCAACCAAGUCAUCAAUAUAUACAUAGCAUAACAUGAGUCAUCUCAAUUCAAAUCCAAUUUCAUAAUUUCAUCAAGUUAUGCUAUUUUUAAUUUUAUUCAAUUUAGUCCUCUAUCUCUAUAAUCAAUCAAAUUCAUACAAAUAUGAUUUGAUCAAUCAUAUUUAACUUACCUCAAUAUCCUACCAUGCAAAUAAUAGAAAUAUGCAUCAAUUCACGUAAUUUGAAUAAUAAAAAUAUUAACUGAACACUCGAGUUACUCAUUAUUGGAUCUCGUCUUUCCAUUCCCUCUUGACGUUUCCACAUCGUCUUUAGCUACGAACUAUAAUCUAACAGUACAUAAUAUUAAAUACCAGCCAAAUCACAACCAAUUACAAAAAAACACACAUUUUACAAUUUAGUCCCUAAAACCAGGACUAGCAUAACUUUCAAUUUGAAGUUUCAAAUUGAAAUCCGAUUUCACUAUUAUUCAUUAGUGGCCUCCUAUUUCUUAUUACUACUAUAAAUUUUACAGUUUAUUCACUUUAAUCCCUAGUGUACAAACCCUUGUUAAUGCAUCUUAUUCUUCUUUAUUUAUUUUGGUUCGUUUGGGGAGGAUGAUUUUUCUCAUUCUUCCCACUGAAUUGCACAUAUAUAUUAUAAUUAACUUAGUUAAUUAAGUAAUCAACCUCAGUUUAAUAUAUAUAAUACUUAAUUUAUUAAAUCUAAUGAUAACAUGCUUAUGUCGUCCAACUUUCAAUGUUUAGACAUGGUAUAUUUGAUAUUUUGAACCUUAGGUUAUUUGCAAUUUAAUUCCUCAAGCCAUUUUCUAAUUAAAAAUCUAUAGCGAUUGAACUUUACAAUUUAGUCCUAGACCUCAAUUAAGCCCUAAUUCAGCUAAAUUAUUUGUCCAAAAAUUUACGGGAUUGAUUACAUUUUUUGACACCACUGGAAAUUGAAUCGUUACAAAUUUAUUUAAUUUCAAAUUUAUUGAUGUGAGUAUGCUUUUAUUGCUUAAUGAUUUUAUAUUAUGAGAUUGAUUUAUGUUUAACACCACUAUAAUUUCUAUGUUCAACGUGCAGUUUGUUUGUACCAUACAUAAAUAUUGGGAGAACACGCAAGUAGUAGUCCUUAUAGUCAUAACAUUUGAGCUCUUGAAUCUGAGCUACAUUCAUUGAACUUUUGUAAUUCCUUUCUUUGGCGUUAAGUUAUAGGCAUUUACCUAGGUCCCUUUUACAUGUCUUAUACUUAUAUCUUUAAGGUUUUGAUACGAUUGGUAUAUUUGGCAUGGAAUGAAAUAUUUUGGUUUGUCUUGGUUCCUUUGGUCACUUUUACUUUGGAUUUGGAAUGUUAAUUCUAUAUGGUGAAUGAAUGGUUUUUAACUUAUAUUUUACUUGCCUAGCCAAACAAUAAUUUAUUAUGUUAGAUGACUUGCAAUUGUAUGUUUUAGUCUUGUUUUCGCAUGUUAAACAUGUUGGAAUUGGUUUGGUCGCAUGUUGCAUGUGUUUAGGUACCUCUAAGGGUUAAACUACAUGACUUACAUUACCUUUUUUUUUUUUUCAUUUUUGGGUUAGUGCUUUGAGAUAUCAAGAACAUGUCUUGAGACCUUAAGAACAAAAAUAAAAUUUCAUCCAUCUCUAGGUGUACAUCACAUGACAUAACACUAUGGUUUCAAGACAUAAGGCCUUAAGUCUGGAGACAUGGAGAUUUUGUCUUGAAACAUAAAACAUCUAGCUAGUUUAGCAGAUAUCCAGUCCAAGGACUUGAGACAUGAUUUCAUUGUCUCGUGACCUCAAACUUCGAAGCUAAAAUUCUAAAAUAGGGGAGGCAUGUCUUGAAACAUGGCUUCACUGUCCUGCAUUUUGCUAGUUUGACUCCGGAUCCGUAACCUAGCUCCAUGUUUGGCCUUUUUUUUUUAUGUAGGAUUGUUGUGUACGAGCCCAACUGACUUCAUUCAUGUGCUUUUAACACUCGUAUUCUCUAUUGACUUUGCCACACUUGCUCUAUUUUUAGCUUCAAUAGUUGUUUUCAUCGUUUCUUUAAGUUACUUCAGCAACUGAUUGGCUUUUUGCACCCAAUCGGCUUCCAGGUCAAGCAGAAACGGUUACAAUGUAGAUAUAUGUGAAUUUUCUUAUAAGUUUUUUUUUAAUAAGGGACAGAAGUAAAAGUUGUUCAACUAUCGAAUUUGAUACUAAUGUUAACUGAAUAGUUGAACAUAAAUCUUUUACUUAUGUCACGAUUUGACCCCUAAAUUAUAUUUGUUUUUCUACUUUUAUCCUUGAACUAUUAUUUUCAUCUUGAUAACCAAAAUAAAAAUUAAAGUUACUGAUAAGAACAUGAUACAUGACAAAUUCUUACCAGACAUGUAUGAUUUUUGUAAGUAAAGUAGGCUCAUACCAUUACUUAUACUUAUUUUUUUUACCAAUUUGCUUUUAAUUCAAUCAAAUUGAUAACAAAUAUUGAAAUAAAAAGGUUAAAAUAUGUAUAGGUCUCUAUACUAUUCACAAACUUGAAAUUUAGUCCCUAUACUUUUAUUUUAGAAACACUGUCCCUCUACUAAAAAAUCACAAAAUGAACCUAAAUUUAACAAAAUAAUUUUAAUAAUAUUAAUAAUUAGACAUGAAUUUUGAAAUUUGAGAAGUAAAUAAAUUAAAUUUUUAGAAAUAACAAUAGAAGAACUAAAUUUUAAAUUUACAAAAGGUACGGGGACUUCUGAGAAAUUUUAAACAAAUUAAAAAACAAAAAAGAAGGUAUAUUUUAUCGAGUUAAAUGAAUGAGAAAAUAUUAAAAUAAAAGAUUAAGGGUUUUUUUUUUCAGUCAAAUGGAUAAGAAAAUAUUAGAAUAAAAAUAACAAAAAAGAAGGAAAGAAUGUUUGUUACCGUUUGAUGAAAAAUAAUACACGUGUCAAAUGAUUAAAGCAUCCAGCACUUUAUCGAAAAGUACAGAAGCAGCGCACGUCUCGGCUUUAGAGUUGGAAUAGAAGCUAGUUUCUUUUAGUACUACCAGAUAUUCCUUGCUUGUCAACAUCUCUCUCCCUCUCCCAUAUAUAAAUAAGAUCGGCGGAUAUUGGCAAACGGAGUGAAAGAUCGAAAUUGGCAGAAGAUGAAGGUUUUCGUCAAAACUCUCAAAGGCACUCACUUCAAUAUCGAAGUCAAACCCGAAGAUGCGGUUCGCUUCUCUCUCUCUCUCUCUCUUCCCCCCCCCCUUUCCUGGGAUUUUACGUUUUGCUAACUAGGGUUUUCCGUUUUCCCCUAUAUUUGAACAUUUACUAGCGUUCAUUUCGGACUGUAUUAAUUGGACUUAUUAUGCACGUUGUUGAAUUACCAUGCCUCAAAUGUAAAAUCGGAGAUCGUGAAUUAUUUCUUCAAUUUUAGUCUCUAAUUUAUUGGAUAUGUUGAUUUAGCUUGUUGAAUAGUCUAGCAACUUCGAUUAAGUUUUAGUGGACUGAUACUCGUGUAGCUUGAACAGCGGUAUCAUUUUCUUCCGGUGACAAUUAGAAAAUAAGUUCUUCCUACGUAAUGCUUUUUACUAAUUCAUUGAAAUUAGUGAAUAAUACUUUGAUUUCUGGGCUUCAUUUUUGUUGUAGUAUUUCAUUACCUUGUAUCAUUGAAUAUUGAUGCAUAGAUUGCCAUGUAAUUGCCACUUGUAGUGUGCUAGAUUUAGGUUUGAACUGGAGUAUACGCAAGCUUUGAACAUUGCCAUAAGCAUCUCAUAUUUUGCAAUGCUCUUUCACUUCUUUUUAAUUAGUGUGGCUAUCAACACUUGAUUAAAUGUACAGAGGCUCCUUUUAAUAGAUCUUCUAUAACAAAGGAUCAAGUUCUGCAUUCUAUGGUUACAUCUAAUCAAGGGGUGUGUUUUUUGAAUGAUGUGGAUUUUCUAACUAUAUAAAUAAGCUAUCAUUAUUUUAUUUUUUUUGCUACUUUUUAUGCCUUUUAAGGUUUAAACACACACACACACAUGCACCGAUAUGAAAGUAUUGGGAUAAAAUGCAUUUUACAUUACUUUGUCACUUGGUAUUAUACAAUUCCGCUGCUAAUGCUUGCCAAUUCUUUCAGGUUGCAGAUGUAAAAAAGAACAUAGAAACUGUUCAAGGGGCAGAUGUUUAUCCUGCUGCACAACAAAUGCUUAUCUAUAAGGGAAAAGUCCUUAAAGAUGACACGACACUGGCUGAAAACAGUGUCACUGAAAAUAGCUUUAUUGUGAUCAUGUUGACAAAGGUGAGAUUGGUUACAAUAUUCUAAUUUUUAUGUUUGUAAUAUUUCAUCUAACUCGUUCUAACUUUUCUGAUCAAAGUAUGCUGACUUUGUCCUAAUAAAUGCCUAACUGACAUCGCUAUUUUUCACACUGCUGUUGAACUUGAAAGUUAUCUUAGUUAUAACUUAUGACGGAGUGUUGUAUCAUUAUAUUUUUCUUUUGAAACCUGGUUGUUGCUUUCCUUUAGGUGCAUCUUAUAAAUCAAUUUGUUGCUAAACUACAAAAUUUUCUUUGUGCUACUUCUUGACCUCUUACCUACUUGUAUUUGGAUCUGAAUUUGUUUUUCAUGACUGUCAUUUUCAUACUAAUAGUGUCCUUUUUGCUUAAAUAAACUAGAAUAAGGGUGCAUCUGGUGAGGGUUCAACUGCUUCAACUGCUCCUACAAAGAAAGUAAGAUUAUAAUUGUCACCUCUUACUGCUACUUGCAUCCAUAUUAGCUCGUAAGCAGUGAUUGUCACUGUACCUUUUUAGCUAUAUUUCUAAAGGCAUUUGCUAUUGAUAUGACGUGAAAAGUGCUGGGGGUUCUGUUUUUGCCAUUUUGGUGGAUGUUGUUUACUUCAAUGCUAUGAACUAGAAGUUGAAGUGAUAGCUAAGCAUCUUGAGCAAAUAUAAUUGAAUAGGAGUAAAUCAUUAAAUAAGAUAUAGGUAGCAAAUGGAAUGCUUUUAAGAUUUUGGUUGUUCAGAUAUGGCCCAAGUUUGAGUUUUUUCUUGUCCAACUGCUUUCAAUCUUUCACUACUAUAAACACAAUGCAUAAUUUGUAGUCUGAGUUGAUGUUAUUACCAAAUUCGACCACCUUAAAUGUUUAUGGGUUAGCUACAUAGUCUCUUAUCCAUGUUUCUCAAUUUCACAAUUGUCUUCCUUUCUCUUUUCCAGUAGCAUAUCAACAUGAAAACAAAUGGCCUUUAUCCUAUUCUCGCCUCAUUGACUCCACCUAGAACAAUGUAGCUUGAGCAAUGAACUCUCACAAAAUCAUCAUGUGAAUUUUGAUCUUCAAGUUUCUUUUUGAGUAUGAAUAUAAAUGUCUGUUUUCCCCCCAUAAUACAAUCUUUGUAGGCUCCUGAGGCAAGUAGUCUGCCAACAGCUCCAGCACCAGCUUCUACUGCAUCUGUUGCAAUGUCAGCUAUGUAAGUCCUGCUAUUCUACACUUUUUGGUCAGAUACAGCACCUUUGCAAUUGAUUAAUUGCUUUUUUUUUUUUUCAGGGCUGCACCUGCCACUGAAUCUGCUCCUGUUGCUUCUAGUACUCCUCUGUGAGUAACUUAUUCUUGAUAGUAAAUUUCAUGCUUCUUAUUUGAAGGAUGGAAGCUUUUGAUUUAAUUGAAUUGCUUUUAGUAGGAGGGAUCUUGUGUUUUUCCUUGUUUUCCUUUGCAUACUUGUAAUAUCUUGAAUAAUGUCUUUCAGAAACAGGUCAGAUUCUGAUGUUUAUGGCCAAGCAGCAUCUAACCUGGUUGCAGGGAGUAACUUAGAGGGAACAAUCCAACAAAUUCUUGAUAUGGGUGGAGGGACCUGGGACAGGGACACUGUUGUCCGUGCCCUUCGUGCUGCUUAUAAUAACCCAGAGAGAGCUGUUGAAUAUUUGUAUUCUGUAAGUACCUUCCUUGUAUCUUGAAGAAUAUGUGCGUUCUUGUGUGCUUCUAGUUGCUGUUGUUUUAUUGUUCUCCUUAAUGUAGAUGUGGGAAUAGCCUAAUAAGCUGAGCUCAUCCUGAGAGGCUUUCUUGGAAUGAUGAUUAUGCCAUUUUGUCAUUUUUAAUUUGAUGUAAUUCUAUUUAAAACUUGGCCUUCUCCUUGCCAUGAUUUAUUGGUCGAUGAUGAUUGAAUUUCUGCACACCCAAAAUAUGCCUCCUCUGUUACAUUUUGCUGGUCCUUUUUGACUUGGUGGAUAAGUGUGCGGGAAUUUUGAAUUUUCCUUUGAUGAUAACUCUUUUGAGUUACCCCCCCCCCCAAAAAAAAAAAUGUGAACAGGAAUGUUGGAUUUCUGGUGGGUUUUAAUGAUAUUGUAUACUGCACCCUUAUCUUUCUUUUCUUCUUUUUUAUUUUAAAAUAUAACAAGCACGCAUUUUCUUUCCUAAGCUGCUUCUUGUCAUCGUGUCAUAAAUAAUUGUUGCAAAUGCUAGGGCAUCCCCGAGCAAGCUGAAGCUCCACCUGUGGCCCGUGCUCCUGUAGUUGGGCAAGCCACUAACCCUGCAGCACAACCUCAACAGCCUGCGCAAACGGCAGCUAUUCCUACAAGUGGACCAAAUGCAAAUCCAUUAGACCUCUUUCCCCAGGUAAAAUUGUCAUGCGGUAGACAUUUGAUAAAUUUGAUGAUGGGCAAAUUAACCAGUGACUUGAUGGCCUGUUAUUGAUACAGGGCCUUCCCAACAUGGGUGCAAGUGGUGCUGGGGCUGGCACUCCCCAGGUAAAAUUGUCAUGCGGUAGACAUUUGAUAAAUUUGAUGAUGGGCAAAUUAACCAGUGACUUGAUGGCCUGUUAUUGAUACAGGGCCUUCCCAACAUGGGUGCAAGUGGUGCUGGGGCUGGCACUCUUGAUUUUUUACGGAACAGUCCACAGGUCUCUCCCUUUUCUUAUUUGGUUGUAUAUGGGCUUGUUAGCAUCACUGUUAUGUAAAUACCUACCUAGAACUACACUCAGUUUGCAAUUCUCUUUUCAGUUUCAAGCUUUGCGAGCAAUGGUGCAAGCCAACCCACAAAUAUUGCAGGUAAUUCUCUGGUCCCUUGUUUCCCCCCUUCAAUCCUAGUGUGUUUUUCAUUGUCUUUUCAUCUUUUGUUUUUUUACCUUUCACCUUUCCUCAAUGUCUCCCUUUUCUAUAUUUUUGGCAGCCUAUGCUUCAAGAGUUGGGGAAACAAAAUCCUAAUUUAAUGAGACUUAUUCAAGAGCAUCAGGGUGACUUUCUUCGCUUGAUCAAUGAACCUGCUGAAGGUGGAGAGGGGUGAGUCUUGUUUUCUGUUGCUCAUUUCUUGAACUUAUAUACUGUGUAUGUAUGUCAAGUGUUUAUUUGACAUCUCCUGUUGUAAAGAAACAUUUUGGGGCAAUUAGCUGAGGUGAUGCCGCAAGCUGUGCAAGUCACACCUGAGGAACGUGAAGCCAUAGAACGGGUAUGUUAUCUUUUACAUAAGGGAUGACUUGGAUGUGGUCACUAUUCUCUGUAAUCAUGGAUUAUUUAGCUAUCUUCCCCACUGCCUCUGGAAAUGCCUUCAUUUCCUUGGCCUUUAUCUGAGUUAUGAGAUAUGCAUCACAUCUUUCUUUUAGGCAAUGGUUUUACUUUUAGAUGAUUAAUAAACUCAAAUUUGUUGCAUUGAUCUUGUGCCUACAAAUACUUUUGUAGUCUCCUUAUUCUCUUGUGCAUUCCCCAUCUCUUGCAGCUUGAAGCAAUGGGGUUUGACCGUGCAACUGUGCUCCAAGUGUUCUUUGCGUGCAACAAGAAUGAGGAACUUGCAGCCAACUACCUUUUAGAUCAUAUGCAUGAUUUUCAGGAUUGAGCUGGUAAAAGAAAUGGCUAGGGGAAGUACAAUAUCAUUUUCUCUUUCGUUCUUUGGGUCCAUUGUCAUUCAUGUCCCCCUCCCCUCCCCCCAAAACUCUACCGACUUUAUUCUUAAUCAAGUGAUGUAAGUGUUUGGUGUAGAGACAAGGGAUGUGAAGAUGUUAACUUCAUUUUUUUUU
rnacentral:lncRNA from 1 species